AACCGCACUGGUUGAGCCAGAUUGAGUGAACCAAACCAGCCACUAAAUGGGCAGCCCAAAACCGUCCAUAUGCUGACCCAAAUCAGCAUUUUAGCUGAAUAAAUAUGCUUGCAAAAAUGCCCUCAAAAGACUUCUAAAUUGCAUUCAAACCCCACCUUAAAUUAUGGCUUUGUAGAUUUGCUCCAAGCUUAAAAUAGCAAAGUUGAACUCUCAACUUUGCCAUGUGUGUGGCCGGCCAAGGGAGGGCUCUUUGGCUGCUGGAAUUUUCUAUUUUUAGCAGCCACAAUCAGCUAUAAAAUCCACCCCUUGCUGAUCAUUCAAAGCAUCCCUCACUUUACAUCAUUCUCUCAUUCCCUCUCUCACUUGUCUCUCAUUUUUUCCAUUCCAUUCCCUUUUGUUCAAGUGCCAAUUUCUUCUCUUGGGAAAGAGGUGCCCAUCAGCCAUUUUGGAGCAGCAAUUAGGUGUUCAUAAGCCACCUUGGUAGCCAAGGCCAAUGAAGAACGAAGAACGGAGCAACUAGUCAAGCCACGGGGAAACACCGAAUUUUCCUUUUGUUCCCUAACUCUUUAAUUUUUGUUGUUGUUUUGACGAACAUGUUUAUGAAUAUUUAUGCUAUUGAAAUGGUUAUUUUAAUCAAUUCAGCUUAAAUUAUGUUUGUAUUGGGUCGAUUAUAUUCUGCCUGCUUGAAUUGUUAAAAUGUUGUUUAUGCUGUUAUAAGCCUCGGUAAGAUGCUUGAUCAAGUAAAAUCAUACCUAAGUUAUUCUUGCGUUACGACUGUAAGGUAACUAAUGAAUUAAUUAUUUAAACGGAUUGCAAUUGUAAUUAGUUGACACAAUACUUAAACAGUGCAUGUUUAUUCUUCUAAGGUAGCUGAAGGUUAAAUUAGCAAUAUAUCUUGCGAUAUUAUUGCCUUGCAUAACUUGCAAGAUUGUUGUGAUUAAAUUGUUCCAAGGUAUGGAUAUCUUGCUACUUCACAAAGUCUUUUAGAUGAUUAUUAAAUUUAAUUAAUCAUUUGAAUUGACAUAGGGAUAUACAAGAGAUUGGUUCAAUUUAAUGAAUAUGUAUGUGCAAUAGCAUGUUUGUUUGCUAGAAUCUGUUUAGUCGAUUGAAUUGACAUAGAGAUAUGUCAAUAGAUGAAUGGAUUUUUGUAUAUAAAUUUUUUCAUAAGUUAGAAAAUUACUGGGUUGUUGUGAAUUUAUUCGUAACAAUGUAAACAUGAGUUUCGUAAUUCUGAGUUCAAGAAAUAUAAUUAAUCCAACACAUGUUACAUUGAUUAAAUCUUAUUUGAAAUCGUGCACUAGAACUCUUUUGUUUUAUUUAAAUCAUUUACUUAAGUUUUUAAAUAGUUUUUGCCCAUCUUCUAAAACCAAAUUAUUUCUACUUCACCAAAGUGUUUUACAAUUAAUUUCAUAAAUAACUCUUUUUACAAUCCCUAUGGGUACGAUAACUCGACAUUUACUUGUCACUUUAUUACUUGUUGCGAUUGUGUACACUUGCAAAUUUUUUUGUCAUUCCAACUUAUCACAUCCCGUGUUGGGGAAAAAUUUUGCCCUAUUUUCACACGACCGUAUCACAUGGCCGUGUCUCCUCCUGUGGUGUGAGCACAGCCUAAGGCACGCCCAUGUUACUGGUUGUGUGGAUGGAAAAACCCUGUGUCUCAAGACUCUGUUAGUAGGUUAGAUGUAAAAAACUAGAAUUUAAAAAUACCAUUACUGUUAGUGCUCGGGUUGCCUCCCGAGAAGCGUUUAUUUAUAAUCUUAAGCUGGACUUAACGCUCUGGUACAUGAUCAUGGUGGUGCGAGGAGUUUACACUCCUUAUCCUUCCUAUCAACUUUAUCAGCAUAAGGUUUAAGACGAGUAUUGUUUACCAUAUAAGUGCCGAAUUUGGGAUGAAUUACCUCGACUGUACCAUAUGGGAAAAUACUGAGUACCGUGAGAGGAAUUUCUUCAUUAGGUUCAGAAGUGGCAAUGCGAGGAUCUGUUGCAUCUAGUAGUACUUUGUCUCCAACCUUAAGUUGAUUUGGUGCGUCAUUGAGCUCAUCAUGGAGUGGUUUUGGUUUAUCGUGUGUCCUCGGUCUAUGUGUCUUCCAUUCAUCUAGUUCCUUGAUUUGUAGCCUUCGUUCUUCAUAGAUAGGUCCUUUGUUGUUGCUUGAACAUGGCUCAUAUACGCUCUUCGAAACUGUUUUCUGCACAGAGGGUUUCACCACAUGAUCAGUACCAGUAGUAUGAUUUAUGCAAUCACCCUCGAUUGUUGAUGUGUUACUCGUCUCAUGAGCUUGAAGGGUGAUUGUUUCGUCUCCCACACGAAGUGUCAGUUCACCUGUACCAACAUCAAUAAUGGUUCUAGCAGUCGCUAAAAAGGGUCGUCCUAAAAUCAAAGGUGCGUUACUAGCCUCUUCCAUGUCUAGAACAACAAAGUCUACUGGGUAUAUAAAUUUAUCAAUCUUAACAAGAACAUCUUCAAUGAUACCCCUAGGAAAUCUAAUGGUUUUAUCAGCCAAUUGAAUGCUCAUCCUAGUUUGUUUGGGUUUCCCAAGACCUAACUGUUUAAACAUUUUAUAAGGCAUAACAUUAAUGCUUGCCCCUAAGUCAGCCAAUGCAUUAUGAACAUCUAACUUAAACAAGGAAUCGUAAAAAUCUCUGGAUCUUUCAAUUUGUUGGGUAGCUUAUUCUGUAGAAUGGUUGAGCAAACUACAUUCAACUCCACAUGCGACGCCUCAUCCAACUUUCGUUUAUUUGUUAAAAGCUCCUUUAAGAAUUUGACUGCAUUUGGCAUCUACAAAAGAGCUUCCGAAUUGUUCUUCUGUGCGGUCUUUCCUUGUUGCGUUUGGGUAUGGCACACGAGGUUUGUAAUCUUUACUUACUAAUUUCUUGUCAUUGUGGUCCACCCCACCCUUACAUUUACUUACCACAGUUUCUUGUCUCGGUUCUGGUUCAGGUGCAACUAACCCUUCCUCAUCUUGAAUGGUAAUUGCAUUGAUUUGCUCCCUUGGGUUAGCUUCAGUGCUACUCGACAGGCUACCCUAUGGUCGUUCAGAUAUCAAUUUAGCGAGCUGACCUAUCUGAGUUUUGAGACCUUAGAUCGAUGCUUGUUUAUUCUUAAGUAUUGUCUCGGUAUUCUAAAAACGAGUUUCUGACACUAAGAUAAAUUUUGUUAGCAUCUCUUCAAGGUUCAACUUUUUCUCUUGUUGGUAAGGUGGUUGUUGAAAACCCGGAGGAUGUUGUGGCCUUUGAUUUCCUUGAUCGCCCCACGAGAAAUUGGGAUGGUUCCUCCAACUUGCAUUAUAAGUGUUACUAUACGGGUUAUUUUGGGGUCUAGAGUUAUUGUUACCCAUAUAUUGGACUUGUUCCUCCUCGAUGCUAGGGUUGAAAGGUUGAUAUUCUGUGCAUGCUCCUCCUCCAUUCGAAUCGCACCUCAUCACUGCAUGUACCUGAGUAGAACCACACAAACUGUCAAUCUUUUUAUUUAAGAGUUCUACUUGGUUAGAUAGCGUAGUAACCGCAUCGAGGUUGAAAACACAGGCUACUUUCAUCUGCUUUAUCCUCAUAACUUGCCACUGAUAGUUAUUCAGUGACAUCUCCUCAAUAAAUUCGUAAGUUGCCUCAGGUGUUUUGUUAUUCAAAGUUCCACUGGUGGCUGCGUCGAUGAGUUGCUUCGUUGAGGGUUUCACACCAUUAUAAAAUGUCUGAACCUGUAGCCAGAGUGGUAACCCAUGGUGAGGGCACCUUCUCAACAGAUCCUUGUAUCUCUCCCAUGCAUCGUAGAGUGUUUCUAAAUCCAUCUGCACAAAACUGGAGAUAUCAUUACGUAAUUUGGUUGUUUUAGCCGGUGAAAAAUAUUUUAAUAAAAACUUUUCGGUCAUUUGUUCCCAAGUAGUGAUUGAUCCUCGUGGUAACGAGUUCAACCACUGUUUAGCCUUAUUCCUCAACAAAAAGGGAAACAACCGAAGGUGAAUCGUGUCAUCAGAAACGCCAUUAAUUUUAAAUGUAUCGAAAAACUCUAGGAAAUUUACCAAGUGAGCAUUGGGAUUUCGUCCUGCAAACCAUCAAACUGAACAAACCGUUGGAUCAUUUUGAAUUGUGUUAGGUUUCAGUUCAAAAGUAUUUGCAGCAACAGCAGGCCUAAUUAUGCUUGAUUCAGUUCCUGUUAAAGAAGGUUUAGCAUAAUCAUACAUAGUUCCAGGAGGUAGUGGAUUUUAUUGGUUUUCAGCCAUCUCUUCGGUUGUGGUUGAAGUAUCGUCCUCUUGCUCUUCCUUUGUGUAUCUUAGGUUUCGCCUUAUUUCUCUUCAGUUUUUACGAAUUGCGCGACCGAUCUCACCGCCAAAAAGUAGUGGUCCUGAUGGGUUUCUUCUGGUCAUAAACUAGAAAAACCUAUCAGAAGAAAACAAAUGAAGAAUUAGAAAAGAAAAUAAAAUUUAAAUUGCAAUAAAAGUAAAAUGGCUAAAGUAAUAAAAAUCGAGUGUUCCUAAUAUCCUAGUUCCCCAGCAAUGGCGCCAAAUACUUGAUUCAUGAUAUUCGCGACAGGUUUUAAAGAUUUAUGAAUGAAUCAUUCUUGAGACUAACUUAUUAUCACGAUUAAGGCAAGUGUACUUAUCGAACAGUAGUAUAGUUCAACAAGACCGGAUUUGUCAAACCCAAAGGAACUACGAGUACUAGUAUUUACUUCCUUUUUAUUAUCUAGCCUAAAAAUUAAGAGGUUUGGUUAUCUAAAGAAACAAAAUUGGGAAAAUUAUUUUUGGGAAAAUUCGAUUGAUUAAGACAAUACCUAAUGAAAAUCCACCUAGACUUCACUUAUUAUUUGACUCUAAAUCAGAUGAUUUAUUCAUUUGACUUGAUCCGUAGAAAUCCCUAAGUUAUAUUAUUAUCUCUCUCGAGACUAAUAACGUCUAACUCUAGGUUGAAUAAUUUAAAUCUCUUUCUAAUUAACACCCUAGAAUUGCAUUAACUCGAUCUAUGAAUUCCCUUAUUAGGUUUCACCCUAAUCCGGCAAAAUCUUAUCACCUUAUCUCUAGGCGCGCAAUCAACUCUGCUUAAUUAUGACAAUUAUACUCUUAGACGGGGUCCAUUCCUCCUCUGAAUAAGAGCAUUAACUUGAAUCAAUAUCCUAGAAUAUUAAAACAAGAAUUAAGAACACAUAAUUAAGAACAAGUCAAAUAUUUAUCAUACAAUUUAGAUAAUAACAACAAGAUCUAUCUUAGGUUUCAUUCCCCUUAGGUAUUUAGGGGGUUUAGUUCAUGAUUAUAAAAGAAAACAUCUCAGAAGCAGAAAGCUAACAAAACAUAAGAAAACCCAAAACGCCUGAAGGAACUUGAAGGGAGAUCUUUAGUCUUGAUGAUGAAUCCGGCUUCUAAGAUGGAUCAAUCGUCUUUUCUUGAGUAAUUCAUUGCUUCCUACUCUGCGUCUCUUCUAAGUGCCUCCUCAGGUGUUUAAAUAGGCUUUUGAAUACCUAAGAGUCCUAAAAAUUGGCCUUCUCCGAAUAGGACUAUACUUGGGCUCGGCAGGGGCAUGCCCAUGUGUGAUUACUCUAACCCGUGGUCAAGGCUAUUGAAGAGGCACGAGCGUGUAGUCUACCCGUGUAAGUCGUGCUUUGAUCCUGCCAAAUGAACAUGGCCAUGUGACACGCCCGUGUGAGGAAGUCCAACCUGUGUUGAUUUCCCAUGUAGUUCCAUUUUCUCCGUUUUCGGCCCGUCUCUCGUUCUUUUUACUCUCCUAUGCUCACCUAAGUAUAAAAGAUGAAAUUAAAGGAUUAGGAGCAUCGAAUUCACCAAAUCUAAGGAGAAACCAUCCAUAAAUGGGCUAAGCAUGUGAUAAAAAUAUGUAUAAAUUACGGUUUAUUAAUUACUAUAGAUUUUGUAUCGGGAUUACCUUUGUCUCCGAAGAAAAAAGAUGUCAUUUGGGUAAAUCGUCGAUCGAUUGACAAAUUUUGUACACUUUAUUCUGGUACGUAUGGAUUUUUCCUUGGAUAGAUUGGUUGAAUUAUAUAUUUUUGAGAUUGUCAGAUUGCAUGGAAUGCAUGUCUCCAUUAUUUUAGACAGAGAUCCUCGAUUUGCAUCCCGAUUCUAGAAUAAAUUGCAAGAAGCUCUGCGUACACAGUUACAUUUCAGUACCACAUUCCAUCCUUAGACUAAUGGACAAUCUGAACAUGUUAUACAAAUUUUGGAAGAUAUGCUUCGAUAUUGUGUGUUAGAAUUUGAAGGUAACUGGGAAAAAUAUUUACCUUUAGUCGAAUUUUCCUAUAAUAACAAUUAUCAGUCCAGCAUUAAAAUGGCACCGUAUGAGGCUCUGUCUGGUCGUAAAUGUAGAACUCCAUUGUAUUGUACAAAGCCCAGUGAGAAGAAGAUACACGGAAUUGACUUAGUCCGUGAAACUGAAGAAAAUGUGAAAGUAAUUCAAGAUAGUUUGAAAACAACCUCUGAUCGUCAAAAAGUCUUAUUCCGAUCUUAAAUGAAAAGAGAUAGAAUUUUAGGUUGGUGAUAAGGAAUUCUUGAAAGUAUCACCUUGGAAGAAAGUUCUCCAGUUUGGUCAAAAAGGAAAUUUGAGUCCACGACUCAUCGGGCCAUAUGAGAUUAUUGAAAGAAUCAGACCUGUUGCAUAUCGUUGGCAUUACUAGCAGAACUCGACAAAAUUCAUAAUGUUUUUCGUGUGUCUAUGUUGCGAUGGUAUCGGUCGGAUCUUUCACAUGUUAUUUCCCAGACAGAAGUUGAGAUUCAGCAUAAUAUGACUUAUAGUGAGGAACCGAUCAAAAUCCUGGCACAUGAAGCAAAAGAGCUAAGAAAUAAAAAUGUAGCAUUAGUAAAGGUUCUCUGGCAACGACAUGCUAUAGAAGAAGCUACCUGGGAACUGGACGAUACCAUGAGAAAGCAAUAUCCAAAUCUCUUUACUAGUAAAAUUUUUUAGGACAAAAAUACUUUUAGGGGAGAGAGUUGUAACAGCUCAUUUUCAGUGAAAUCAAAAUAGUGGUUUCGGGAUCACAGAUCCAAGAUAGAAAGAAAUUUUAUUUUAAUAUUAUUUCUUGGUCUACAUUAUGAUAGGAAUGUUAUAUGAAAAAUCUAAUAAGAAAAUUUUACCGAUUGUGUGUUUAAUUAUGGAAAGGACCAAAUUGCAUAAAAUGAAAAAGUUGAAUUCUAGUAGCUAGAAGGAUCAAAUAGCUAUGGAAUUCAAAAUAAGAGGUCCUUAUAUGAUAACUAGACCAUUAAAGAAAAGUUAGUAUAUAUUUUUGAUGAAUCAUCCAUGGAAAAAUUAGAAAAGGACAAGGACUAAAUUGGAAAUUAAAAUAAAUAAAAGAUGAUAAAUAAAUAAAUAUCAAAUAAUAUCAUUUUAUAUCAUCUUCUUCCCCAAAAUUUCUAUGGAAACCCUAAGAAAGAGAAAACAAGCUUUCUUGGCUUAAUUGGGCAAGUAUCAUUGUCCCGUUUUUAGUAAUUUUUAUAUUUUUGAUAUUGGAAUAGUUUAAUCUAUCUAUUUUGGGGAUUAAUUUCAAAAGUUAUCAAAGUAUCAAAGUUUUUCAUGGAUGAAUAUGUUGAAAUUUUAAAAUUUAUGGUAGAAAAUGAAAAGUUGUUGAUAGGUAAACUACUUUUUAAAGUAAAUUUUAAUGAAAUUAUGAUUUAGGGACUAAAUUGUAAAGAUGUAAAAGUUAUGGAAAAAUUCUAAAGUUUUUGAAAUAUAAGUGUUGUAAAUGUUAUAUGAAAAUUUUGGUUAGGCUUGGAAUAAGGAUUAAAUUGCAUGAAUUUCAUUUUCUGAGCCUAGGGACGAAAUUAUCAUUUAUGAAAAUUAUAGGGGCAAAUUGGUAAUUUUUCCUAGGAUGUAAAUUGAAUCCAAUUGAAUAUGAAAUAUAAUGGAUUGAUGAUUAAAUUCAUUUAUAUAGAUCCGGAAAGACCAAAUACGGAAUUGGAUCGAGGAAAACAAAAAGUAACGAAUUAGUAGACUUUUAUACACGAACAAGUGUCGAGGUAAGUUCGUGUAGCUCAAUUGUGUUUAUUUUUAUGCUUGAUUUGAAUGUGGUAUUUGAUUACAUGAAAUAUAUAAAUUUUAUAAAUAUAUGAAAUAAUCACAUAUCCGAUUAUGUCCGGAAGAUGUUAAGUUCCGUUUGAAUAAGGAAAUUCGAUGGAUACAUAAUUUUUCAUAUUGAUUAUAUUCCUGCAUAUUUUGCGGACAUUAUAGCUCAGACGAGCAUCCUAUUAAAAGUCUUAUCAAGCAUCCUAUUAUAGUCCUUCAUGUGUUGCACACUACCGCAGAUCUUUAUGAGCGUCUUCUUACAUGAUUCGAUCGGUUGUGAUCUUGCAUAUAAUGCGAACACAAACACAGCUCUACGUGAGCGUCCUGAUAUAGACUCUUACGAGCUUCCAGACAUGGCUCGCUUGAAAACCCUAUUAAAUGGCUAUCCAGUGCUCCCUGAUAAUAACUCUUUGGAGUUACCAGUUAAGCUCUAUGAGCUCCUGAAUUAAAACUCUUAUGAGUUUCCUGUAUAGCCCAGAUAAGCAUCAUGUUACAUGGCUCAUUUAAGCAUCCUGAUAUAUGUGGCUCGAGAAUGUGCUACUUGAUUAUAUGCCCUAUCGGGUACCCCUAAACAUGAAUUGAUGAAUCACUGAUUUGUAUACCUUGCCUAUACUACUUGAGUAUCCAUCAAAAUUUCAAUAAUUCAACGGAUAAAACUUCUGAAAUGAGAAAUUAAGAGAUUAGAAGUAUUAUGUCUCGAAUGCUUCUGAAAUACCUGAAAGUUUGUACCAUGAUGAGCUCAUCCAUGUUUGUUUGAUGUACAUGUGAAAUAUGUGACUAACUUGCUUAAUUGAGUAUAUGUGAUUAGGCAAACUUGUCAAUUUGUUGGGAAGCACUUAUGCUUAGUUAAAUGAAUAUGAUUGGUAAGUUUAAUUCCUGUUAUACGAACUUACUACGCAUUAAAUGCUUACUAGGUUUUAUUUUCUCUGUUUUAUAGUGUUCAGAAGCUCGCAAAGGUUUGAGAUUGGUCAGAGCAUCAUCACACUAUCCACCAGCUCAUUUUGGUAUAAAUAGUAAACAUAUUUUUGUAUAAUGGCAUGUAUUGGUUAACAUGGCCAAUUGUUGGCUUAUAAAUGGUUGUUUGUAAUCUUACCAUUGGAAUGGCAAGAGAUGGUUUGAUUUGGUAUAUUUAUAAGGUUACAUCAUGGUAAUUACAUACGUGUUUAGUAUGGUUUGAUUGAGUUUUGUUAAAUAAGUAUGUCUAUAAAAGGUAAGAUUAUAAACAUGAAUGCAUGUGAAGAUAUAUCAUGUUAGAUGUUAGUAUUGGCUUGGUUAUAAUUCUUGAAUUGGUUCGUAUAUAUUUUCAAGUAUUAGUGUAGGUUGUUGGAAAAUUUUAGGUGAGAAAUAAAACUAAGAAAUGGCUUUAUUUUAUCCAAACGGGUAGACACACGGGCGUGUGCCUUGACAUUGUGUGACACACGGCCUGGCACAUGCGCAGUAGGUUUGGCCAUGUGUCCUCUGCAUCUUAAAAUUUAAAAAUAGAAUACUCAGAAUUAGGCACACAAGCAGAGACAGGGGCGUUGUCUCAAUCAUGUGUGAAAAAUGGCCUAGAACAUGGGCGUGUGUCUUGGCCAUGUGAAUCCUGCACCUAAUUUUCAAAAAUUAAAUUGACCACAUGGCCUAGCACACGUGCGUGUGGCUGGUCGUUUGACUCAAGUCAGAGAGUUACACAAAUGAGGAAAUGGGGACACAGUCGUGUGCCUCAGAUCGAAUGCCCACACAGCCUUAGAGAUGGGCAUAUCACUUGGUAGUUUGAGCCACGCGGCCUACUCACACGGGCGUGUGACCCCUGUAUAUAAGAAAAUUUUUGAAACUUCGCAAAAAGUUCUUUAAGAUUUUGAUUUAGUCCCUACUUGUUUCUAAUGCUUAAAUUAGGUCUCGAGGGUCCAUUCAGGGGAUGAUAUGAGUACUUUUGGAUAUGAAUAGUAAAUGAUAUGAAUUAUCUGUAUUUUUUCUCUAAAUGUUUUGGCUACGGUUACAGGUUAGGGGUGUUACACAACCAAAUAGUUGUAACCCUGGAAGACCAACACAAAACCACUUUUACUAGCUCGUAUGGUACUUUUGGUUUUACGAGAAUGCAUUUCGAUUUAUGUAAUGCACCUCCCACAUUUCAGUGAUGCAUGAUGGCAAUAUUAAUUCAUAUAGUAGAAUAUUUUGUUCAUGUUUUCAAGGAUGAUUUUUCUAUUUUUGGUAAUACUUACAAUGUUUGUUUGAGUAAUUUGGUUAAGGUACUUGAAAGAUGCGAGGAGACAAAUAUUGUCCUUAACAGGGAGAAAUGUCAUUUUAUGGUUAAGAAGGGAAUUGUCUUAAGGCAUAAAAUUUCCAAAAGAGGAAUCGGAGUUGUUAAAGCAAAGGUGGAUGUGACUGAGAAAUUACCACCACUAGUUAGCAUGAAAGGAGUUUGAAGUUUCUUAGGUAAUGCCGAUUUUUACUAAAGGUUUAUAAAAGAUUUUUCAAAAAAUUCUAAGCCUUCGUGUAAGCUGUUAGAGAAAGAUAUUAUUUUUGAGAUUGACAAAGCAUGCUUAGAAGCUUUUGAAGAGUUGAAAAGUCGGUUAAUCUCAGCCCUAAUAAUAGUUACACCUAAUUGGAGCUUACCUUUUGAGUUUAUAUGUGACGUAAGCAAUUUCAUUGUUGGAGUUGUGAUGGGUCAAAGAAGGAACAAAGUAUUUCACCCUAUCUACUAUGCAAGCAGAACUUUGACAAGAGCCCAGCAUAAUUACAUGGUAACUAAAAAAGAACUCUUUGCUUUUGACAAUUUUUGUCCAUAUCUUAUAGGUACCAAAGUUAUAGUUUUUACUGAUCAUACAGCCGUUAAAUACUUACUCGUAAAGAAAGAUGCUAAACCGAGGCUAAUUCGAUGGAUACUCUUACUCUAAGGAUUUGACCUUGAGAUCCAAGAUAGAAAAGGUGAUGAAAAUCAAGUAGCCAAUCAUCUAUUGAGGUUGGAGAAAAAAGAGGUAACUCAUUCAUUUUUUCCUAUCAAUGAGAAUUUUCCAGAUAAGCAUAUCUUUUAGGUAAACCGAAUUCAUAAAAUAUCUUAGUUUGCUAAUUUUGCGAAUUAUUUAACAUGUGGAAUAAUUCAUCAAGAAAUGUCAUACCAACAAAGGAAUAAAUUCCUUCAUGAUAGUCAAUAUUAUUUCUAGGAGGAUUUGGAUUCAUUUUUGUUUAAACAAUAUAAAGAUAACAUAACCAGGAAGUGCGUAGCUGGAAGUGAAACUGAUAAGAUCUUGUACCACUGGCAUUCAUCUCCAAAUCAGGGACACUUUGGUGGUUCCCGCACUGUAGCUAAGAUUUUACAAAGCGAGAUUCUUUUGGCCUACUGUGUUCAAGGAUAAGUAUGCAUAUGUGAAAAAUUGUGAUAGAUGCCAGAGGACCUGAAGCAUAUCAAGUAGGAACAAGAUGCCCUUGAGAAGCAUUUUGGAGAUAGAAUUAUUUGAUGUAUGGGGCAUCGACUUUCUAGGCCCAUUUCCUUCUUCUUAUGGCAACAUGUAUAUCUUCAUGGACAUUGACUACAUAUCUAAGUGGGUUGAAGUUGAAGCAUACCCAAUGAAUGAAGAUAAGGUAGUCAUGCGAUUCGUGCAUAAGCAUGUGUUUACAUGGUUUAGGACUCCUAGAGCUAUAAUUAGUGAUGAAGGAUCGCACUUUGUAAACAAAUGGCUUAAGUAAUUACUUGACAAGUAUGAUGUGAAACACAAAAUUGCCACUUCCUAUCAUCCAUAAUCAAAUGGGAAACUUGAAUGGGUAAACCGUGAGAUCAGAGGAAUCCUUAAGAAGGUGGUGUGACCUAAUAGAAAAGAUUGGUCUCAAAGGCUUGAUGAUGCUCUAUAGGCCUAUCGAAUAGCUUUUAAGACACCAUUAGGAAUGAAUCUUUAUCAGUUAGUCUUCAAAAAGGCAUGUCAUUUGCCACUUGAGUUGGAAAAUAAAGCUCAAUGGGUUUUGAAACAAUUAAAUUUAGAUCUUAAGCAAGCCAAUGAGAGAAUGAUGUUACAACUUGAUGAGCUUAAGGAGUUGAGGUUAUUUUCAUACGAGAAUGCCAAAAUGUAAAAAGAAAAGUCCAAAAGGUUGCAUGAGAAUAAUAUACAACCUCAUGAAUUCAAAGAAGUUCAGAAAGUGUUGUUGUUUAAUUCAAGGCUAAAGUUAUUUCUGGGAAAGCUAAAAUCCUGAUCGAAAGGACCUUAUACAAUCUACAAAGUUCAUCCGUAUGGAGUCUCUGAAUUGUACGACAAUAAUAGAGGUACAUUUAAGGUUAAUGGUCAAUAUCUCAAACACUAUUGGGAUGGCAAAGUUGAACGAGUUGAAACCUUGCUCAAUCUAAUAUACCAUUAAUUUUUAUGUUUUUAUUUUUAAUAAAUGUCAUACUUAGAAAUUAUCUUCUUGAAUUAAUACAUUAAAUUAAGCCUGUCUAAGGAGACUGGAACUUAAGCGGGACAGUUUGUGGCCCCUCAAACCUUUCUUAGGAUAUUAAUUUGAUGUAACUUUUUGAAGAGAAAUUUUCUAAGUAAUCCGAAUUUUUUUUUGCAAUUUUAAUUGUCUUUAUUUUAAAUAAAGAGGGUCAAUUUGGCCUAAGUACUAAUUAGUUUAUUUUCCUAGUUCAAUGUAAUUUUUUAGCAUAGCAAAUAAUUGUAGUUUGGGAUUGAGGUCCAAAACAGAAAAAAAGGAGGAAAUUACGAAUCAUUGCCAUCAAUAGAGUCUCUAAAACCCCUAUUUUUACCGCCACUUUUCCCUUCCCUCCUUGCCUUGUCGCCCAAGCAUCCUUAUGUAGCUAAUUUAUUUGCUACAAGUUUAUCCUAAUCUACUACUAUAUAAACCCCUUUAUACCAUCGUAUUCCUCACAACAUUUAAAGCAAUUAGCUUCAAGCCCUAGCCACCUAUUUCUUUCUUCUUACUGUUAGCUUCAAAUCCAGAAAAAUCUUUCUAAAAUCUCCCUUCUUGUCGCAAAACCCUCCUAUCACCACCGCAAUCUUCUUGUUGGAGCAACGCCUUCACCACUACAAUCCUAAUGCUGUCGUACUCUUGUCGCUGCUGCAAUUCUAUUGCCGCUGCAACCUUCAACCACCACACAUUUCCAAUCUCUUUUUUCUUUUGCCGAAAGUGUGCCUAUCUUUUGAGAAAAAUAUCAUGUCUCGCAAAAGAACUUGAUCAUCCAAGAAUUCUAUCGAGAAUCCAAUUAUGAUUCAAGAUGAUGAAGUAAGGGAAAGAUUUGAUUCUAUCUUUAAGAAUCAACCUAUUAUGCCAGAAAGAGUUUUCAAUUUGGAGAGCAAUGACAAGAUGAUAAUGCCAUUGUCACUUUGAAAGAUGAUUAAUGCUUUAAAUUGGAAGCAAUUUUGUGAUGCACGAUCAACGCCAGAUGAAGAUUUAGUGUGAGAGUUCUAUGCCAACUUGACCACACCAAACACUAAUGAAGUUCUUGUUCGUAAUAAAAAGGUACCCCUUACUGCUAAAUCCAUUAAUGAUUUGUUUAACUUACUUGAUGUUGAAGAAGAUUAGUAAUCUACCAUGAUGACAAAUACCAACUGGGAUUUUCUUCAACAAGUGCUUAAUGUGGUUACAAGUUCGAGAUCCAAAUGGAUUAUAAGAAAGUAAGGUAGUCAUUCUUUUCGAAAGGAAUAUUUAAAUCCAAUGGCUAGGGUAUGGUUCUAAUUUAUUCGAUAUUGCUUCAUGCCUAUCUCACAAAGUUCCACCAUCUCGAUAGAAUGAAUGUUUUUGUUGUAUGCAAUUAUGAAAGAAAGAUCUAUCAAUUUUGUGAGAAUUUUUCUCAAGGAGAUUCAAGACUGUGCAAGAAAAGAAGUACUGUAACACCCCAAACCCGGCCUAGACGUUAUAGCUGCAUCUGCGGUGUUACAUUGGAGUGUGUUUUGAAAAACAUAGUUCUAUUGGAAAAGUCCGCUUGUGCUAAAACCUUGUUUGUGAUCUUUGUGAAAAGCUAUCUUAUUAAAUUUAUUUGUUAAGUUACAGGUUCGUUAAGCAAAACAUGUCUCGUACAAAAAUCGUUAUUAUGCUUAAAAACGUUGUCCAUUGCGUAAGCUUUUGAAACCAGUUACGUGGCAUAGCAGUUGAAAACCAUUUACCGUUUUGAAAACCCAAGUCCUACUGCUAACAGAUAUAAGUUAAUUUAAACAAAUCCCCAAAUAAAAUGAAACUUUUAAACGGCCUUAUUACAUAAAAUUUACCCAUAUAAACCUACUUAUACUAAAUUCAAAACGAAGUCAUAAUUAGUGGUGUGGCCAUCUCUGAGUUAAUGCGAUAACUAAUUAGUUACUUAUGUCUCGAUUGGAAACUACCAGAGUUCCAAAGCAAUCGUAAUCACUUACACAAAAGCCAACAAUAAUCGCAUCCUUGAUCCUCAAUCAGGUCUGUCAAUCAACUUCGAUCACUACCUACACCAAAAUACCACCUUCUAUAUCAGACUCACAUUUGAAACAUAAAAACAUCAUCACAAUACUUACCACAACAACUGAGUAGAGUACAGACUAUUGAAGUAACGCACACAGAAGCUCGUAUAAAAAUUGAUCUAUACGGUAAAGGAGAUAAUCGGCAAGAAGAGAUAAAGUUAGAAGAUGGGUCACAAGGUGAAACAUCCCGAAAGGGAAGAAAUGGAACCAUGGCUUACCUAACAAAGUUCAACUAACACAACAACAACCGAGUAGGAGACAAAAGUUGUACGCCUAACCCAACCAGUCACACCACAGUUGCCAAUCGAAAGUAGAAAAAAGAAGUAAGAUGAGUAUUCAGUCAAGCAAAACCAAUGAGGGAGGGAAAAGGAACAAAGCAGAGAUUGUUGAGAGGAAACAACAAUCGGCCAAGAAGGAGGGAAAAGAAAAUAAAACCAAAUGAGAAAGGGGAAAAGGAAGCUAUUAACUAAAGAGAUAAAACCGUGAAGCACAAAAGGAAUAAGACCUGAAUGAACAAGCACAAUUCGGUCACAACAAGCAAGGAAGCCAAACCCCAAAAAAAAUUAGCCAAAUUCAGCACCAAAGGCAAAGAAAGAAACCAAAGCCGAUUUUCCCAAAAAGAAUCCCCUAAUUUGGCAAAACCUCAAACAACCUCACACUAACUCAAACAACCCUUUACUACCUUAUCCGAAACUCUCAUGAACAAGAAUCCACUUUCAGUACAACUUUCCCCACUUUCAAAGUUCCACAAAAUCCUCCUAAAAUCCCUCCUCCAAUAUCUCCUCAACCGUCAAUUCAAACACUCCUCAACAAGCAGAGUUUCGGUCAACUACAACAACCCACACGGUAGAGCUACAAAAAUAAACACCCUUUGCAUGCAAUAAGGCUCGAACUCAAGCCCCUUGGUAUAGCAACACGCCAUUUGCCAGUAGACUAGCAGUCAUUUUAUGACACAUCUUUGCCAUAUUUAUUUAAGAAGCUCAACAAAAGGCAACAGGGUUUAUUCAGGGCAAAAAUCAAAAUUUUGUACAAGCCAAGGCUUGAAAUCAGGACCUCUCCCACACUCCUCAGGACACCCAACCACUGAAACAAGCAUGUAUUAUGCAACAUGGUAUACAAAGAUAAAGACCUAAAUUUUUGGGGCGUUACAACUCAACCUCCUAAAAGAAAUUUCGGCCUCAAAAUUUACCUGCUCAAAAUAGGUGAGGGUACUGCUGUCGCAUCACCUCCUCGGGCUCCCACGUGGCUUCCUCAAAACUGUGAUUACACCAUAGCACUUUACUGAGUGGAACUAACUUCCUCCUCAGAACUUUCACAUCACAGUCUAAGAUCUGAACUGGCUCUUCCUCAAAGGUCAUAUCUAGCCUAACCUCAAUCUCCUUAGUCGAAACGAUGUGGAUAGGAUCAGAAUGAUAACGCCUCAACAUAGAGACGUGAAACAUAUUAUGAAUCUGGUCCAACUUUGGAGGUAACUCUAGCUGAUAGGCAACUAGUACCACACGCUUCAUUAUACGAUAAGGCCCAAUGAACCUAGGGCUUAACUUGCUGUCCAAACCUCAAAACCUUCUUCCACAGUGACACCUUGAGAAAACUAUGUCCUCCAUAGAGUACUCAAUCACUUUACGCUUCAGCUCCGCAUAUGACUUUUUUCUGUCUGAUGCUGCCUUCAGUCGAUCCCAAAUCAAUCUAACUUUAUCUUUAGUAUCUGAAAUCAAUUCAGGACCCAGCAUACGCCGCCUACCCAACCCAGUCCAACACGAUGGAGUACGACACCUACGACCAUACAAUGCCUCGUAAGGUGCCAUUUGUAUGCUAGACCGGUAGCUAUUGUUAUACACAAACUCUACUAACGACAAGUAGUCCUCCCAACUACCUCGGAAAUCAAUUACACAACUCCUUAACAUGUCCUCUAGUAUCUAAAUCACCCUCUCCGACUGACCGACCGUCUGAGGAUAGAACGCAGUACUGAAGUCCAACCUUGUGCCGAAUGCCUCGUGUAACUUUUCCAGAACCAAGACAUGAAAUGAGGAUCUCUAUCAGAUACUAUAGAAACCGGUAGCCCAUGCAGUCGCACUAUCUCAGGCACAUAUAGCUUAGUCAGAUUCUAUAGCUAGUAAUCAGUAUGGACAGGUAUGAAGUGAGCAGACUUGGUCAACCGGUCCACAAUGACCUAUACCGAAUCUUUCUUAUAAGGUGUUAGGGGCAGUCCACCAACAAAGUCUAUAAUUACUCUUUCCCACUUCCAUAGUGGAAUCUUAACUACUGAAGCAACCCUGAAGGCAGUUGAUGCUCUAUUUCAACCUGUUUGCAAGUCAGACACUUACUCACAAAAUCAAUAACUUCACGCUUAAGUUCUGGCCACCAAUAUAACUCCCGAAGGUCUCGGUACAUCUUAUUCCCACCAGGAUGCAUGGCGUAAGGACUACUAUGCGCCUCUUGCAGUAUAGAUUACCUCAAAUCAGUAUCCUUCAGUACACAAACUCUCCUACGAAAACAAAGUACCCAUUUGCUAUUCAGCCCAAAAUCUGAAGUUUCCACAUUUCAAUCUAUCGGAAACGAGAACCCAGUAACUCAUCCUUCAACUGCUUACCUUUAAUCUGCUCAAGCCACCUUGGUUUAACUUGAAGUUCAGCUAGUAAACUACCAUCAUCAAAUAGGCUAAGACGAGCAAACAUCGCCCUUAAAUCAGUAACUUCCCUAUGGCUCAGUGCAUCAACUACCACAUUAGCCUUACCAAGAUGGUAUUCAAUCGAACAGUCAUAAUCCUUCAGCAACUCAAUCCAUCUACGCUGCCUAAGGUUCAACUCCUUCUGAGUGAGGAGAUACUUGAGGCUCUUAUGAUCCGUGUAAAUGAUACACUUCUCACCAUAUAGGUAAUGCCUCCAAAUUUUCAGUGCGAAUACUAUCGAUGCCAACUCCAAGUCAUGCAUCGAGUAAUUUGAUUCAUGCAUCUAAAGCUGAUGAGACGCAUAUGCCACUACCUUACCCUCUUGCAUCAACACACAUCCCAAGCCAACAUGUGAUGCAUCACUGUAGACAGUGAACUCCUUCCUAGAUUCUGGUUGUAUUAAGACAAGGGCCUGAAUUAGAACCUUCUUAAGUUUCUCAAAACUAUCCUACUGCUUAUCAGUCCAGUUCAACGAUACUCCUUUACGCAACAACUUAGUCAGGGGUGCAGCAAUCAACGAAAACCCCUCAACAAACUGUCUAUAAUACCCUGCCAAUCCCAUAAAACUCUGAAUCUCAGAUACCAACUUUGGUUACUUCCAAUCCAAAACCACUUCAACUUUCUGAGGAUCUACCCUAAUCCCCUCAGCAGAUACUACAUGGCCCAGAAAAGUUACCUCACAUAACCAGAAUUCACACUUACUGAAUUUAGCAUACAGUUGCUUCUCCCUCAAAAUCUGUAAAACAACCCGGAUAUGUGCAUCAUGGUCCUCCUCAGUCCUUGAAUACACCAGAAUGUCAUCUAUAAACGCCACUACGAACUGAUCCAGAUAGGGCAGGAACACUCAGUUCAUCAGAUCAAUAAAAGCUGCUGGUGCAUUCGUCAGUCCAAACGGCAUCACUAGGAACUCGUAAUGACCGUAUCGAGUCCUAAAGGCUAUCUUAUAAACAUCUGUUUCUUUGACCCUCAGUUGAUGAUAUCCCGAUCGGAGAUCAAUCUUAGAGAAAAUCAAAACUCUUCAAAACUGAUCAAAUAGAUUGUCUAUCCUCGGUAAGGGAUACUUAUUCUUGAUAGUCAGUUUGUUCAGUUGUCGAUAGUCGAUGUACAUAUGCAUAGUUCCAUCCUUCUUCUUCACAAAUAAAAUCGAUGCUCCCCACGGAGACACACUAAGACGGAUGAAUCCUCGAUCCAGUAACUCUUGAAUUUGAGCCUUAAGCUCUACGAGCUCCUUUGGUGCCAUUCUCUAAGAGGUGAUAGAAACUAGAGCUGUACCAGGCAAAAGCUCUAUCCCAAACUCACUUCACGGUUAGGAGGUAACUCAUCGAGAAAAACAUCCAGAAAAUCCCUAACUGUUCUAUAUCUUUAAUAGAACAAGCCUCAGAACCAGAAGCACUGACGUAGGCUAAAUACGCCUCGCAACCCUUACGAACCAACUUCUCAGCUCUAAGUGUAGAAAUCACAUUUGAAUGAUAGUUCUGACACUCCCCAACCACAACCACCUCGUCACCCUCCGCAGUUUUCAGUACCACCCGCUUAGCAGCACAAUCCAAAUUUUCCUAAUGCUUAACUAGCCAAUCCAUACACAGUAUCAAGUCAAAUUCCCUAAAAGGGAGUUCCAUUAAGUCUGCCAAAAAGAUCCUACAUUGAACCUCCAAAGGUACCCCCUUAAACAGUUUAUUUACUCUCACUGACUGCCCUAAUGGACUUAACAUAGUAACUUCGCUCGUAGUGUUCUCACACGUCACACCCAAAGUCUCAGACACAGUGCAUGCUAUAUAAGAGUGAGUAGACCCAACAUCAAUCAAUGCAGUGUAAGGUACAUGAUGAACAAAGAACGUACCUGAAAUAACAUUUGGGGCAUCUUCGUCCUCUCGACGACGUGCAGCAUAAACUAGAACUGACUGGCUCACCUCAGUAUGACCAGCACCUCUGCCCGGUGCUCCACGACCACGGCUCAUACCAUUCCCAACACUGGCCUGACCACAGCCUCUCGGUGGCUACUGAAAACCUCUCUGCGGCUGAACAGCACCUGUACCAGUAGCUUGCAUCUGAUCGGGCCUCCGUGGACAAUCCCUAAUUCGGUGCUCUAUAGACCUGCACCUCAAACAUGCCCCCAUCUAAACCCAGCACUUGCCCUGAUGGCAUUUCCUACAAAUAGUAAAAGGCUGCAAUCCAGUAGCAACAACAGUAGCUCCAACUCUGACAUGCCCAUUAAAUCUGGCCUUUUUCUUAGGCCCCAUAGUUGAACCUGAGGGCUCCCAAACCCUUUCUUUCUUCCCCUAUCCUUCUCACGAUUCUGACGCUCAGCACGCUUCACAUCCUCAGCGAUCUUCACCUUUUCUACCAAUACUGCAAAAUCUCACUCCCUCUGUGGAGCUACCAAAACUCGCAGAUCAUCUCUGAGGCCAUCCUCAAAAUGAACACGGCGUUCAUACUCAUUGCCACUAUGCCUCGCACAUAGCGACUCAAUCGCAAGAAUUUCGCCUCAUAUUCAACCACAGACUUAUCCCCCUGAGUCAGACUCAGAAACUCCCUCCUGUGGGGAUCCACAUAACUAGCACCCACAUAUUUCCCUUAGAAAGCAUUCUUGAAAAACUCCCAAGUCAAACGAUCAGGCUAAGUACCAUCUUUCACUGUAAGCCACCACUGAUAGGCUUCAUCUCACAAUAACGACACUGCACCUUUCAGUUUCUACUCUGGGUGCAGUCGAGGUCAUCCAUGAUCCUCUCUGUGGCCUCAAUCCAAUAUUCAACCACAUUAGGGGCAACUCCAGUGAUACCCCUAAAGAUCUUAGACCCAUUAGACCUGAGUCGUUUUGUUAUUGACCCACGACCCACAGUAACAGCAUUGGGCCAAGUGACCCUCUCCAAAAUUUGUAACAUAGCUUGGGACAGUGCGUCGUCCCCAGCUACCCAACCAUGUGACUCAGUCUCAGUCACAGGUGAAGCUGAUGCCUCCCUUGCCCCAACAUUAGGCAUAUGGCCUGAUGGCAAAGGUCCAGCCCGAGCACCUCCACGGCCUCCGUCGCGGCCUCUUGUACCCCUUCUAUGGCUACCUCUGGUGCUCAUUAUCAAUUUACGUAUUAUCUGAUUAAUAGUUUUAUGCAUCAAUUUUACAGUUCCAGGUUUAUUAACAGAUGUUUUAUGAAAAAUAGAAUCAAUAAUUCAAAGUUGUUUUGUUUUCGCAGAUCGUAGUCUUACUACAGUUUUAAGUUACCCUAAUAAAGGUUUUAGUAUAGUCUAUUAUCUACAAUAAUCUCAGCAUUUCAAUUAAAUUAAAUAGUAGUUUUAGUGAACUUACAGAAUCGACGCUGGAGACUCGAUAGACCACACAUUCAGAAACAACACCUCAAAAUGUUUUUCUGUCAUUUGAAACAAUUCCUUUGAUAUUUACAUUUUUAGGAAGAACCUAAAUCUACAGCCGAGUUUUGUAACCUGGCUCUGAUACCACUAAAUGUAACACCCCAAACCUGGCCUAGAUGUUAUGGCCGCACCAGCGAUGCUACAUUGGAGUGUGUUUUGAGAAACAUAGUUCUAUUAGAAAAGUUCGCUUAUGUUAAAACCUUGUUUUUGAUCUUUGUGAAAAUCUAUCUUAUUAAAUUUAUUUGUUAAGUUACAGGUUCGUUAAGCAAAACAUGUCUCGUACAAAAAUUGUUAUUACGCUCAAAAAUGUUGUCCGUUGCGGAAGCUUUUGAAACCAGUUACAUGGCGUAGCAAUAGAAAACCAUUCACUGUUUUGAAAACCCAAGUCCUACUGCUAACAGAUAAAAGUUAAUUUAAAUAAAUUCCCAAAUAAAAUGAAACUUUUAAAUGGCCUUAUUACAUAAAAUUUACCUAUGUAAACCUACUUAUACUAAAUUCAAAACGAAGUCAUAAUCAGUGGUGUGGCCAUCUCUGAGUCCCUCGCAGCACCGACCCACCUAAGGCUUACCUACACAGAUAGGCAGAAAAUGUGAGUUUAUGAAAACUCAGUGUGUAAUCCCUAUUUAUCAUACAGUCAAACAUACAGAGUUGAACAAUCUGGGCCCAAGCCAAUAUCAGUAGCAAUAUCAGUGUGGACCUUAGCUCAUUACAGUAAUAGUAUCAGUCUGGGCCUUAGCCCAUCUCAGUACAGUAUCCAAUAUGCAUACAAAGAUCCUACCCAUACAUCCUCUACACUCCACUCUAUCCAACCCUACACUCCAUGUGGGGAUAAAAUCGACCCACUCAUCCCUACACUUUAAAAAAAUAGUAUCGAUUGUGGCAUUAACAGUAUUUGCAGCAAAGCUGCAAGUAAUAGGCUUAUAGCCUUUCAGUACACUUCCUUCAAUAUCAUAUGUCCCACCCCAUGCAAUGCAACAUAAUAUAAAUGUACAUAUAUAAUUAAGAUGGCAUGCUCAAGCAUUCAUAUAUCACAUAGGGGUAUUUAUGUCAUUUACCUCAUAAGGGUAUAACAGUUCUAACAUAAAUUAGGGUCUAAGUGUACUUGCCGACCCAAUAGUAGGUCCACAGUCGUCUCGUGCGACCCGUGCAACCUUAACAAUUUUAACAGCAAAAAUAGGCCCAAGCCCAUAAUACGGCCAUGUAAGCCCACACACUCGUAUGGCCCAAUAAGCCCAAAUAAUGGCCCUGGCCAUGUAACCACACAACCGUCCCAAUUAUCUCCACACAAUAGUGUGGUUUACCCGUGCAGGGCCUACGAGCCCGUGGGCCCACACGACCCAUUUCAGCCAACGCGGCCCAAAACGGCCUAAACCCAUGAGAUCGCUCAUGGUGCCCUCUACUGUCAAACGCACGUUUUAUGUAUUCGAUUCACCAUAUGAGCGAGCACACGCUCAUGUAACGUGUAUCAACAUGCUUUCUGGCUUUUGCCGAUUAAUAACUUUACAGUGUGAUUACACAUCUGUUAUGAAUCUGAAGUUAAACUCGCGCUCUGAACACACUUACGCCUGAAGAACAAAUAAUCCGAUAACUAAUUUACUUUACUUAUGUCUCGAUUGGAAACUAACAGAGUUCCAAAGCAAUCAUAAUCACUUACCCAAAAGCCAACAAUAAUCGCACCCUUGAUCCUCAAUCGGUGUGUCAAUCAACUUCGAUCACUACCUACACCAAAAUACCACCUUCUAUAUCACACUCACAUUUGAAACAUAAAAACAUCAUCACAAUCGUACCAUACUUACCACAACAACUGAGUAGAGUACAGACUAUUGAAGUAACGCACACAGAAGCUCGUAUAAAAAUUGAUCUAUACGGUAAAGGAGAUAAUCGGCAAGAAGAGAUAAAGUUAGAAGAUGGGUCACAAGGUGAAACAUCCCGAAAGGGAAGAAAUGGAACCGUGGCUUACUUAACAAAGUUCGGCUAACAUAACAACAACCGAGUAGGAGACAAAAGCCACGCGCCAAACCCAACCGGUCACACCACAUUUGCCAAUCGAAAGUAGAACAAAGAAGUAAGAUGAGUAUUUAGUUAAGAAAAACCAAUAAGGGAGGGAGGAGGAACAAAGCCGAGACUGCUGAGAGGAAACAACAAUCGGCCAAGAAAGAGGGAAAAGAAAAUAAAACCAAAUGAGAAAGGGGAAAAGGAAGUUAUUAACUAAAGAGAUAAAACCGUGAAGCACAAAAGGAAUAAGACAUGAAUGAACAAGCACAAUUCGGUCACAACAAGUAAGGAAGCCAAACCCCAAAAAAAUUUAGCCAAAUUUGGCACCAAAAGAAAAGAAAGAAACCAAAAUCGAUUUUCCCAAAAAGAAUCCUGUAAUUCGGCAAAACCUCAAACAACCCUCACACUAACUCAAACAAUCCUUUCCUACCUCAGCCGAAACUCUCAUGAACAAGAAUCCACUUUCGGCACAACUUUCCCCACUUUCAAAGUUCCAUAAAAUCCUCCUAAAAUCCCUCCUCCUUAACCAGUAGAUUUUCGGUCUACUACAACAACCCACACGGUUGAGCUACAAAAAUAAACACCCUUUGCACACAACAGGGAUUGAACUCAAGCCCCUUAGCAUAGCAACACGCAAUUUGCCACUAGACUAGCAGUCAUUUUAUGACAUAUCUUUCCCACAUUUAUUUGAGAAGCUCAACAACAAGCGACAGGGUUUAUUCAGGCCAAAAAUCAAAAUUUUGUACAAGCCAAGGCUUGAACUCAAGACCUCUCCCACACUCCUCAGGACACCCAACCACUGAAACAAGCAUAUAUUAUGCAACACGAUAUACAAAGAUAAAGACCUAAAUUUUUGGGGCGUUAAAAGUACAUACUAUCCAUCAUUGAUUACUUCACUUUUCUUGAGGGCCCAAGAAAGAUCAAAACCAAACAUUAAGGGCCAAUAUGUUCAAUGUUGCAUAAUAAGGCAUGACCUUGAGAAGUUACUGAAAAAUGUUGGACUAUUGAACCAAGUGGAGCCAAAUGAACCGAAUGAACUAGAAUCUGAUAAGUCAUCAACUAAGUCUGAAUCAAAAGUUGACUCAACAAAUGCCAUAAAAGAAGUAGAAAUUGAAGAGGAACCAAACAGCCUUGAGUCGAGGGUGGACCUAAAUGCUAUUGAACCAGUGGAGCAGAGUUUUAAUCCUGAGUUGACCAUUCCAAUUCCAUCUUCUUCAAACACUAUGAAGAAACUAAAAUUCUCAACUAUGAUGAAUAUGUGGAAAUUCAUGCAUAACCAAAAAUAAGCUUACUGGAGAUAUGGAAAAAUUAGAGAUGAUUCCAUAUGAAAUACUUUUAAGAAUAUCUUUAACACUUUUGUUCCUGAGUUCCCAGAUCAUAUCUUCAAGACAUGGCCAAGAGGAGAUUGUGGGAUCAAGUGCGACAAAAAAUGAAAAAGGAAAAAGACGUGAAGGAUGACAUAAAUAAAAAAGCGGGAAUUUCUUUUUCUUAGCAUUUAUUUUAUUUUUAGGCAUUUAUAUUUCUUUCAUAGUUAUUAUUUUUCUUUGGCAUAAUAAAUAAGAUAUUGCAAGCAUGUAAAAUAAGUUCAAUGCCUCUUCAUUAGAAAAAACUGAAGUGAUGUGGUAAUAGGAAUUAACAUGUCUAGGAUGGAUUGUUGAGAAAGACUUGGUACUUAAGUAGUCUUUAUGACUCACCUCUCUUUCUUACGACCCUACCUGGUGUACAAUUUUCUUUCAUUACUUUGUUUUCGCAAUGAAGACAUUGUUUCUUUUUAAAAGGGGUAAAACAAUAUUAGCAUGAAUUUUAAUUUUUUUUUCUUAAGAAGGUUUCAAUGGUUUCACAUGAAUCUGAAAUAAAAUAAUGUUCAGAGAAAGUUUUGCUCAUAAGUUAGAUCAAAUGCAAGUAUGAUUUCUGGUUUUGUUUGAGUUUUUUUAUGUUAUCCUGAGUUAUGGAAUGCUUUAUGUUCUUAGGUGAAAUAAUAUGAGGCAUAAGAAUCUAAACAUGAUUUAGGCACAUUUUCUUUGGAUCGUUUGAGCCUUUCGAGCCUACCAUAUAUAUUUGAGCCUUGAAACCUUAAUUUGAGCCUUAAAGCCUAUUUUAUUGUUAUUUACCUACAUUAUAAGCCAUGCUACCAUAUUUUUAAAUUUUAUUUUAUUCUUGCACCUAUCUUAACUAUACUUGUCUUGGUAAGCAAAAAUCAAGGAAAAUUUUGAAAAUAUGUACAUGUUCUUCGUAUGUUUAAAAAAAAGCUCUUUUCAAAUGUUAAGCAAAAAGAGCAAAAUAAAUACUCAAAGUAUUGAGAAAUGUUGGGCAUAUGCUUCAAAAUUAAGUUUAGGGGGUAGAGAACCCAUUAGUAGGAAGAAUGUACCUUGAAAAGAUCCAAGACAAAGUUACGAUUAAGAUUAUUAAACCUAAAAAUUCACUUCUUUUUAUCCCUACCUUAAGCCUAGCCCCAUUAAAACCUUAUAAAAGACCUAUUGAUUUGGAUGAUUAUGCUGAGUACAUUAGUGGAAAGGAAUUGCUAAGUUCAACAUAUAAGGGCCAUUAAUUAGACCUUGUGAUUGCUUUGUUUGGUUGAUAAGGAAACUUUGACCGAAUGGUGAAUGUUAUGUAUGACCGUGAAAAGCAUGUACUCUAUGACUGAUGCUAGCAUUUUUCCGCACUUAAAAUAAAAUUUUGAAAUAAUGUUUGCAUUUAAGAGACAUACCAAUAAAAAGAGUUUGUGAGCAUGACUUUGUUGAUGCAUGGUUAUGUGUAGAAAUUGAUAUUUUUUAAACUUAUUGCAAAAUUUUCCUUAGCAAAAGUUGUGCUUUACAUGAAACAUUACUCAAUAUAAGAAAUGGGUUAAGUUUGGGGUGUAUAAACUCUAAUUUAUAUAGGUUUUUUCUAGUAUCUUUUACCACCUUUUUACUUAAAAAUAAAACUAGUCCCAAGUAUUUGUUAAUUAAUUUAGUAAAUUUUGCUUAAACCUCGAUAAUGGACAUGAAUUUAUAAAAUAUACAAUUUUGUGCAUAAAUUAAAUUAUUACAUAUUAUUUAUUAAUGUGUUAUAGACCAUGAAGUUCAUUUAAUAAAGAGCUUAUUAUAAAGUUACAUGAACAUGAGCUAUUUAUUUCCUAUGUUGGACAGCAAAACCGUGCUAAAUGGGUCAACAAGGUGAUAUUCAGACCCAGUUAAAAUAAUGUUAUAUGAUGGACAAGUCUGAUUAUUUAAUGGGUCACAGAAUCGUCUAACAAGUGAGAGUCAAGCCCAAAUUCGACACAAGCAUCUUGGCUACCCAAAGAUCUAUUUUGGGAUAUUUACUAGAGGUCCAUUGAAACUGUCUAACCCAUGCCUAAAUUUAGCAUGAUUCUAUGCUCAAAUAAAGGAAGCAUCAUUCACCUUUUUCAACUAAAUUUUAGUAAAAUUUACCAUCUACUUCAAGUAUAAAUACCCCCACUCAUUCUACAUUUCAAUCAUCCCUCAUCCCUAUAUCCCUCAUCCUUUACUCAAUCCCUCAUCCUUUACUCAAUCCCUCAUCUCUCAUUUCAUACCAUUCUUUCAUUUUCUUAUUUCCUCUCUUCAUUUCCAGGCAUAGCAUCCAAUAUUUUCUUUCUUAGCCAAAAACCUUGAAAAGAUUAUCUCUUGCUCGACCACCUUGAGGAGCCAUUAGCAAAGGAGCAACACAAGGAUCGGAGAGUUCACAAGACUACUGAUUCGAUAGAGUUUAUUCUUCCUUUACUUUGUUAUUUUUAUUUUAAUCAUGUUUGCAAUGUGCUUUAUUAGCUUGUCAUCAACAAUGAUAGCUUCAUUCUGUUUAGCUAGGAUGAUUGCAUUUAUUUAUUGAAGUUUGUUUAAAUCAUGUCUAUGGUGUUUGUGCCUCAGUUAUUUAAAUCAUGUCUAUGGUGUUUGUGCCUCAGUCGAUCAUGUUCUCAAUUAUACUCAAGUAUGUAUUUCAUUCAUACGUGAUUGGAUACAUUAGAAUUAGUUUAGCGAUCCUAACCAGACGAUGGCUAGUGGACACAAUAAUUGAAAUGCGCAUGCUUAAUUUAGAUCCUAACCCAACAAAAAUAAAGGUUCAUAAUAACUUUAAUGAGCUCUAUUAUCUUGCAUAGCUUUUAGGUUUAUGUGAUUAAACUGUUUCAAACCUAACCCAUCCCUAUUACUUCACAUGAAUCCUAAGAAACCCUUAGUUUAAUAUGAUCAGUAAAAUGCAUGUUGUACUAAGUAAAAGAUUCUGAAAUGCCUUAAGUUGGUUUCCGAACUAAUGAAAGAUCGAGUUGCCAUGGAAUAAUUUCCAAACACUGUUAUGCAUGAUAAAUGUAAGCUAAGUUGAAUGAUGUAAUUAUCCUAGGCUAUUCAUGUUAUUGAUGGUUGAAGUUUGUAUUUUUGUUAUAUUCAUCCAUAAAUUUCAUUUUAUACUUUGCAUUUAGUUUAAAUUGCAUUAGGGAUAAAUAUUGCAUCUAUAUAAUUUAAUUUACUUAAUCACCCAUCACUCAAGAUAUGGUGUUUUUAUCAUCAAAUUGUUAACUUUAAUUUUGCAAUAUAUUGAUUAACAUACAUAGUCCCUAUGGAGACGAUAACUAUUUUUCUUACUUAUUACUUGAUAACGACUGUGUACACUUAUACAAACCGAACAUUACAGUUUGCAAAUAUACGGGCUAAGUUGUAAUAUAGAUUCAACAAAGUAGGUGAGUAUUUUGAGGAUCAUACCCUAGGGAGUGAAUACUAAAUUAAUAUUAACCUUAGAGAAAACAAAUCUAAUUUGUAUUUUAAGCAUAGUAUAUUACAAUGAAACAUAAAUAGAGAAAAUAUCUUUAAAUAUAAGAAAAGAAAUAACAUGCAGAAAAUAGUGACAACGAAAAACCUAAUAUUCAUACUCAACAAAAUCUAAGUAUGGGUGAUUAGCUCACUUCAGUGAUCAUAACUAAUUCCUAUUUCGAAUUUCUACUCAAUCUAGUCGUUACCCUAGCAGGAUCUCUCGAUCUUCCACUAAAUUAAAGAGUCAGCAAGAACUACUUAUCUCUUUAACUCACAGUCUAGAUCAGUUUGGGGAUAAAGUGCUCACUUAUAGGCCAUACUAAUUUUUGGUAAUUCCCAGCUAAAUGACUUCCUAGGGUUGUGAAGCCUAAGCUUUACUUUCUUCCUCUCCGAAACAGUUGAUCGGCUAAGAAAACCCUACAUAUCAUUUAGUUAAUUACACCUCCACUCACUAAUCCCCCAUAAGAGGAUUAGUUCAUCACAAAAUCCAUAAGCAUAGUAAACUUGAUAAAUAAAUUAAACAUAAAAAACAACUCAAUAAUAAGGUUUAAGAUAAUCCUGAUUAUAUUGAUUAAAUUGAAGAAGUGAAAUCCAUAGAGAGUUGGUCAAAUCCACAAAUUAGAUUCUCCGUUGAACAUGAGAAAAAUAAUUAAAAAUAAAUCUAAAGCCUAAGAGUAACCGAAAACUAAAAACUAAAUUACAAAGAAAAUUAUGAACUAUGAAAAUUGUCCCUAAACAAUUGUCUAAUAAGUCUAUUUAUAGAGUUAGGGUUAGCCAUCAUCCUUAGCCUUAAGUCUGCAAAAAUUUAUAUGUAAAAAUACAUUGUGCAAACCAAAAUGCCCUCAACUCGUUAUAAUUUUCCUAGCAAGGCUUGUGUCACGACAUCCAAGGUAGUAUGCUUGACACAAGUUUGGCUUCAGGGAUGAGUCACGACAUCUUUUGGCUGGAGUCGUUGUAGCUUAAUCCAGCUAGCCUAGGGACGAAUUUGCAAAACUUUUAAAAGAUUAGGGUUUUUCCAUGAAUGUGUUUGUAACGCCCCCACGCCUGAGACCGUCGCCGGAGUCGAGUAUGAGGUGUUACUAAGCUUAAUUUAACAUAUUUAGAACUUUGGAUUAUUUAUUUCUACAUUCACAGCUUUUAAGCUACUUGCAUCACAGUCACAAGAAAAAUCAUAUCUCAAGUUACGAAACUCGAAAUCAAUAUCCGUAAAUUUUCCCUAAAUCUAGACUCAUAUACCUAUCUACUAAUUGUUUUCUAGAAUUUUUGGUUGGGUCAAUUAGUACAGUUUAUUAGUUAAAGUUACCCCUGUUUUAGGACAUGACUGGUCUGACCUCUGUUUACUACGAACCACAUUUCUCUCUGUAAAAAAAUCCAUAUGACUAUGAGGUUUGUUUCUAAUGAAACUAGACUCAAUAAGGAUUCUGAGAAUAUAAAAUACACUACCUAAUUAUAUCUUUACAAUUUAUGGUGAAUUUCAAAAGUUGGAACAGGGGAUUCAGAAACUGCUAUGACCCUGUUUCACUAAAAUUCAAAUAUCUUGUAACAUAUAAUUUCUUUACCUGUUUCAUUUGUUUCAUGUGAAACUAGACAUAAUAAGCUUCAAUUUGAUAUGUAUUCCAUCACCAAGUUCAAUUUCUAUGAUUUUUAGUAAAUUUUUAAACUCGCGUCAAUGUUGCUGCAGUAUUCUGUUUAUGGCAAAUUUCAUCCCUUUUAUGAGUUUUUAUGCACUAAGUAUCUUAAUAAUUUUCCUUAACAUCAAAUAUAAUCUAAACUAAAUAUUUUCAUAAUUUAUCAUUAUCAAGCAUUUCCUCAACCAUUCCAUCACCAUACCAUAAGAUCAUUUACACAAAAAAAAGUAUAUUGCUAUACAUGCCAUACUUAAAUUUACAAGCCAUUACCAAAAGUCUUCCGAAUAGUGUGACUGAGCCUUCGACCUAUCCCGACUCCUGAGCUGGCUUGUCCAAAACUACAAUGAGUAAGAAGGAGGGAGUAAGCAUAAAUGCUUAGUAAGUUCAUAUGCAAAUAAUAAGUAACAUAACAAACAGUCACACCAAUCAACAUUAGCAUGUAUCACUAAAACACAUAUCACAUUUUUAAUCAUUUUUCAUCAUCUUAUUACCUUAUCGUGGUUGUAUCAAUACUCAACCCGAGGGUUAAAUACAUACCUGUCCAAAAUAACCAUUUCACAUCACUCACCAAUACUUCUCUUUACGUCUCGAAUAUUCCUCCAUUGAGUAGAACUUUACCUGUUGAACACAUCAGAAUAUAAUUCGGAUACAUGGAUAACUUGCACAUAAGUGCCAUAUAUGCAAUCAAGCAAUCAUGUAACCCGCCCAUAAGCGAACUCGGACUCAACUCAACGAGCUCAGGCGUUCGCAUCCAUAAGUGAACUCGGACUCAACUCAACGAGUUCGGAUGCCUAGUUACAUCUCACGAACUCGGACUCAACUCAACGAGUUCGGACAUUCGCAUCCAUAAGUGAACUCGGACUCAACUCAACGAGUUCGGAUGCUCAAUCAUCCUAGUGACAUGUCACUUGUAUCCUAAUCUAUUCCUAAGGUUCAAACGGGAUUUUUCCUCGAACACUUAUCCUUGCCGUCUUCCGUAGAAUGCCGAAAUCAAUACUCGGUAACAAUUAUAUUUAACAAGUAGUUCACAUAAUUUACAUAUUAUUUGAAAUUAACCACAAAGCAUACAUUUCAUAAUAAAAUUCAGCAUAACAUAUAAUUAACAUCAAUAACUUAAAAAUAACCAUUAUGAUACAUUAUUUACACAUGAACUUACCUUGGUACCAAAAUACAAAGAUUUUGCAAUUUAGUCCACAAUCUUUUCUUUUCCUCGAUUGAGGUCGAUUCCACGUCUUUCUUGAUCUAAAAUAACACAUUUAGCUUAUUUAAUACUCACAUUAUCAAAUUAAUCCUUAACUCAAAUUUUGGCAAAAUUACAAUUUUACCCCUAAACUUUUGCAUAUUUACAUUUUUGCCCCUAGGCUCGGGAUUAAAAUUUAUUCCUUAUUCUUAUGUUUUACAACAUGCUGAUCACUUUUCUCUUCUAUGGCAACAUCAAAUUCUCACUCUAACAUGUACUUGUGACUAUUAGGUAUUUUUACCGAUUAAGCCCUUUUACUCGUUUUUGCUUAAAAUCGAGUAGUACAAGUUGUCUAACAUAAUUUAAAACUUCAUAUUCUAUCAUAAAACAUCAAAAUACACAAAUUUCACCUAUGGGUAUUUUUCCAAAUAUAAACCCUAGGUUAAAUUAUUGCUAACAUAAGCUUUAUCGAGUUACCGGGAUCUCAAAAUCGUAAAAAUCAUUAAAAACGGGGCUUGGAAUCACUUACUAUGGAGCUUGGAAGCUUGAAACAAACCCUAGCUAUGGAGAACCCUUGAAAUUUCGGCCUAAUGAAGAAGAUGGACAAAAAUUGGCUUUUAAUUUUGUUUUUAAUUCAUUUUAAUAACUAAAUGACCAAAAUACCCUUACUACUAAACUUUCCAAAAAUUCCUUCCAUGUCCUAAUUUUGUCCAUGAACUUAAAAUUGGUCAAAUUGCUAUUUAAGACCUCCUCAUUAAUAUUCCAAAACAAUUUCAUACUAAAAACUUCUAGAAUGCAAGUUUUGUAACUUAUUCGAUUUAGUCCCUACUUUCAAUUUAAGCACUUUAGGCAUAGAAUUUCAUCACGAAAUUUUCACACAAUCAUGCAAUCAUAUCAUAAACCUAAAAAUAAUUAUAAAAUAAUUAUUUCUAUCUCGGAUUUAUGGUUACGAAACCACUAUUCCGAUUAGGCCCUAAUUCGGGAUAUUACAACUCUCCCCCCUUUAAGGAUUUUCGUCCUCGAAAAUCUUACCGGUAAACAGAUGUGGGUAUUGAUUUCUCAUAGUUUCUUCGGAUUCCCAUGUAGCUUCUUCUACUCCAUGCCUUUGCCACAACACCUUCACAAGUGCAACAUUUUUAUUCCUUAGUUGUUUGACCUCUCGAGCUAAAAUCUUAAUCGGUUCUUCUUCAUAGGUCAUAUCUGGUUGUAGUUCAAUUUCUGUCGGUGAAACUACAUUUGAAGGAUCCGAACAAUACCGAUGUAAUAUAGAUACGUGGAACACAUCAUGAAUCUUCUCUAAUUCAGGUGGUAAUGCUAGCCGAUAUGCUACCGGUCCAACUUUUUCAAUUACUUCAUACGGCCCAACAAAACGCGGACUUAAUUUGCCCUUCCGUCCAAAUCUAAGGACUUUCUUCCACGGAGUCACCUUUAAAAAUACUUUAUCACCAACUUGAAAUUCAAUGUCCUUUCGCUUUAGGUCUGCAUAAGAUUUCUGUCUAUCUGAAGCAGCUUUCAAACAAUCUCGAAUUAUCUUCACUUUUUCUUCAGUUUCUUUUAUUAGAUCAACUCCAUAAAUCUGAUUUUCCUUGAGUUCAGUCCAAUACAAUGGCGUUCGACACUUACGACCAUAUAAUGCUUCAUAAGGUGCCAUUUUCAAGCUCGUCUGAUAACUAUUAUUGUAAGCAAAUUCCACCAACGGUAAGUAUCUUUCCCAACUUCCUUGAAAUUCCAAUACACAACAUCUAAGCAUAUCUUCAAGAAUCUGAAUUAUUCUUUCUGAUUGUCCAUUAGUUUGUGGAUGAAAAGCAGUACUGAAAUUUAACUUCGUACCUAACGCGUCUUGCAACUUUUGCCAAAACCGCGAGGUAAACCUUGGAUCUCUAUCUGAAAUAAUCGAUAAUGGUAUUCCGUGUAAUCUAACAAUUUCUCUAAUAUACAGUUCAGCCAACUUGUUAAGAGAAUAAUCUGUACGUACCGGGAUAAAAUGAGCCGACUUAGUUAAUCUGUCAACUAUUACCCAGAUGGCAUCUUUCUUUCCCGAAGUCAAUGGCAAUCCUGAAACAAAAUCCAUAGUAAUCCGAUCCCAUUUCCAUUCAGGAACCAUAAUAGGCUGGAGUAAUCCUGAAGGUACUUGGUGUUCGGCUUUCACCUGUUGACAAAUUAAGCAUUUGGACACAAACUCUGAUAUAUCUCUUUUCAUUCCAUUCCACCAAUACAUUUUCUUCAAGUCAUUAUACAUUUUCGUACUACCCGGAUGAAUCGAGAAAUAACCACUAUGUGCUUCCUAUAGGAUCUUUUGAAUCAAUUCCUCAUUCUUCGGUACACAAAUCCGAUCUUUAAACAUUAAGCACCCAUCAGAACCAAUUCUGAAAUCUGAUCCCGUAUCAGCUUCACACUGUUUUCUUUUGGCUAGCAAAUCUUGAUCAUUUUUCUGAGUUUCAGAAAUCUCUUGUAAAAACAUCGGUCUUGCUCUUAACUCUGCUAGAAUCGAACCGUCAUCUGACAUUUUCAACUGAGUGUUCAUAACUCUCAAAGCAAACAACAACUUUCUACUUAAAGCAUCGGCAACCACAUUCGCUUUUCCCGGAUGAUAAUCAAUAACAAGCUCAUAAUCUUUCAAUAACUCCAACCAUCUUCGCUGUCUCAAAUUCAAGUCUUUUUGUGACAUCAAGUAUUUAAGACUUUUGUGAUCGGUAUAUACUCGGCACUUUUCACCAUACAAAUAAUGUCGCCAAAUCUUCAAAGCAAACACCACUGCAGCCAAUUCCAAAUCGUGAGUAGGAUAAUUCCUCUCAUGAGGUUUUAACUGCCUCGAAGCAUAAGCCACCACUUUUCCUUCUUGCAUGAGUACACACCCCAAACCCUUUAGAGAAGCAUCACUAUACACCACAAAUUCUUUACCUAAUUUGGGUUGUACCAACACUGGUGCUUCAGUUAAAAACUUUUUCAAUUCUUCAAAACUCUGUUGACAUUCUUCUGUCCAUUCAAAUUUAACAUCCUUUCGGAGUAGUCUAGUCAUAGGAGCAGCAAUUAUAGAAAAUCCAUUUACAAACCGCCGAUAAUACCCAGCUAGCCCCAAGAAACUUCUAACUUCAGUUACGUUUUUCGGUGGUUUCCAAUCAACAAUGGCUGAAAUUUUACUAGGAUCAACCCGUAUACCAUCACCUGAAACAAUAUGACCCAAAAAUCCAACUUCCCAGAGCCAAAAUUCACUUUUACUAAACUUAGCAUACAGCUGCUUAUCUCUCAAAGUUUGCAAAACUAUCCUCAAAUGCUCAGCAUGCUCUGUCUCAUCUUUUGAAUAAAUUAAAAUAUCAUCUAUAAACACCACAACAAAUCUGUCCAAGUAUGGCCGAAAUAUGCGAUUCAUUAAAUCCAUAAACACAGCAGGAGCAUUUGUCAACCCGAAUGGCAUAACUAAAAAUUCAUAAUGACCGUACCUUGUUCUAAAAGCAGUUUUAGGCAAUCCGACUCCUUUACCCGCAGUUGGUAAUACCCAGAUCUCAAGUCAAUCUUUGAAAACCAUGUCGCUCCUUUUAGCUGAUCAAACAAAUCAUCAAUUCUUGGCAACGGAUACUUGUUUUUGAUUGUCACCUUGUUUAACUGCCGAUAAUCAACACACAACCUCAUAGAACCAUCCUUCUUUUUCACAAAUAACACGGGAGCACCCCAAGGUGAAAAACUCGGUCUCACAAAACCUUUAUCAGUCAACUCUUGCAACUGCGACUUUAAUUCCUUCAACUCUGCUGGUGCCAUUCUAUACGGAGCAAUCGAAAUCGGAGCUGUUCCCAGUAUCAAAUCAAUACCAAAUUCUACUUCCCUGACUGGAGGCAAACCCGGCAAUUCUUCUGGAAAUACGUCCGCAAAUUCACACACAACCGGCACUGAUUCAACUUUCUUUUCAACUUCUUUUGUAUUAAUUACAUACGCUAAAUAAGCUUCAUAACCCUUUCUCAGAUAUCUUUGAGCCGACAUUGAAGAAAUCACACUAGGCAAUGCCUCUGAUUUAUCUGAUUCAACCUGCAGAGUUUCACCAUUUUCACACUUUAAUUCUAUAACCUUUUCUUUGCAAUUUAUUUUAGCAUCAUGCAAUGUCAACCAAUCCAUACCCAAAAUAACAUCAAACUCAUCAAACGGAAACAACAUCAAGUCGGCCAGAAAGUAAUGAUCCCGAAUCAUUAAAGGACAUUUCUUACAUACUUUAUCAACAGUCACACAUUUGCCUAACGGAUUCGACACUCUAAUCAUAAAUUCUGUGUUCUCAACAGGUAUAUUCAUACUAGACACCAAUUUCAUGCACACAUAUGAAUAAGUAGAACCGGGAUCAAUCAAAGCAAUAACAUUAACAUUAUAGAGAGAAAAUGUACCGGUAAUCACAUCAGGUGAGGAAGCAUCUUCACGCGCUUUAAUAGCAUAAGUUCUAGCCGGAGCCCUUCCUUCAGGUCUAACCGGUGCAUCCCUGGCUACAUUCUUACUGCUUGUUUCACUUCCAACUUUUCUCGGAUACCUUCCCCUCGAGUCUGCACCACUAGCUUUUACAUUCUAAAAUUUUUCUUUCUCAGCUCUCUCUGGGCAGUCUCUAAUAAAAUGAUCCGAAGAACCACAUCGAAAACAUUCAUUUGCUCUACACAGACCAAAAUGAUUUCUACCACAUCGCUGGCACUCGGGUUUAACAAAUCUCGAGUUCCCUACACUGGCUGCAGAAGUAUUCUCAGAUUUAGGACCCACAUUUUGCUCCUUAUAAUUCCCAUAUGAUUGUCCAGCUGAAGCUUGGGAACGAGGAUUCAUAUUCCUUGACUUUCUAGGUUGCUUUGAAAAUGAACUACUCAUCGGUCUUUUCUUCCAAUUUCUAGUCUCAGCCUCUACCUUUUUCUUUUCUUUAAGUAGUUCUUCAGCCUUGCAAGCUCGAUCAACCAGUACUACCAUUUCUUUUAGUUCAAGGAUCCCGACAAAUACUUUAAUGUCUUCGUUGAGCCCGUCUUCAAAUCAUCGGCACAUCUUGGCUUCUGUAGGAACAUAUUCCCUUGCAUACUUACUCAAUCGAACAAACUCUCUUUCAUAUUCUGAGACUGUCAUAUUACCUUGCUUCAGCUCAAGAAACUCUUUACAUUUCUGAUCAAUAAACCUUUCACUAAUAUAUUUCUUCCGAAACUCUUCUUGAAAGAAUUCCCAGGUUACCCUCUCUUUCGGUACCACCGAAAUCAAAGUCUUCCACCAAUUAUAGGCUGAAUCUCUCAACAAAGAUGUAGCACAUUUCAAACAUUCUUCAGGUGUACAAUAUAAUUCAUCAAAUACCCGGAUAGAAUUUUCAAGCCAUAACUCUGCUUUCUCUGCAUCAUCAUCAAUAUUUGCUCUAAAUUCUUCAGCCCCUUAUUUACGAAUUCUGUCAACGGGGGUUCUGUGAAAUUUUAUCAUAUCCAUACCUUGAGGCAUCGGGGGUACAGGUUAAGGAAUUGGGGGAGGUGGGGGAGGUCGUACAUUUGGGUUCGUACGAACGAACUCAGAGUACCAUGCACUCAUCAUUUGGAGAAAGGCUUCCCGAUCCCUUUCUCCUCCUCCCUGACCAACAGUAGGAGGUGGGUUUUCAGUCAGCGCUGCCCCUUCAGCCGGAGCUGGCGCAUUACUCUCUACUUCAUCUGCCACAGCUGGAUCGGGAUCCAUUUACUAUAUAAAAAUCAUUUAAAAAGGUCAGAAGUCGUCACACUAUCACAAUUCAUACAUAUGGCAUGUAUAGCAAAAUCCGUACAUACAACACGUAGUCCGAGAACUGACUAAACCUACUCUGAUACCACUAAAUGUAACGCCCCCACGCCCGAGACCAUCACCGGAGUCGAGUAUGAGGUGUUACUAAGCUUAAUUUAACAUAUUUAGAACUUUGGAUUAUUUAUUUCUACAUUCACAGCUUUUAAGCUACUUGCAUCAUAGUCACAAGAAAAAUCAUAUCUCGAGUGAAGAAACUCAAAAUCAAUAUCCGUAAAUUUUCCCUAAAUCUAGACUCAUAUACCUAUCUACUAAUGUUUUUCUAGAAUUUUUGGUUGGGCCAAUUAGUACAUUUUAUUAGUUAAAGUUACCCCUGUUUCAGGACUUGACUGGUCUGACCUCUGUUUACAACGAACCACAUUUAUCUCUGUAAAAAAAUCCAUAUGACUAUGAGGUUUGUUUCUAAUGAAACUAGACUCAAUAAGGAUUCUGAGAAUAUAAAAUACACUACCUAAUUAUAUCUUUACAAUUUAUGGUGAAUUUCUAAAGUUGGAACAGGGGAUUCAGAAACUGCUAUGACCCUGUUUCACUAAAAUUCAAAUAUCUUGUAACAUAUAAUUUCUUUACCUGUUUCAUUUGUUUCAUGUGAAACUAGACAUAAUAAGAUUCAAUUUGAUAUGUAUUCCAUCACCAAGUUCAAUUUCUAUGAUUUUUAGUAAAUUUUUAAACUCGCGUCAAUGUUGCUGCAGUAUUCUGUUUAUGGCAAAUUUCAUCCCUUUUAUGAGUUUUUAUGCACUAAGUAUCUUAACAAUUUUCCUUAACAUCAAAUAUAAUCUAAACUAAAUAUUUUCAUAAUUUAUCAUUAUCAAGCAUUUCCUCAACCAUUUCCAUCACCAUACCAUAAGAUCAUUUACACAAAAAAAAGUAUAUUGCUAUACAUGUCAUACUUAAAUUUACAAGGCAUUACCAAAAGUCUUCUGGAUAGUGUGACUGAGCCUUCGACCUAUCCCGACUCCUGAGCUGGCUUGUCCAAAACUACAAUGAGUAAGAAGGAGGGAGUAAGCAUAAAUGCUUAGUAAGUUCAUAUGCAAAUAAUAAGUAACAUAACAAACAGUCAUACCAAUCAACAUUAGCAUGUAUCACUAAAACACAUAUCACAUUUUUAAUCAUUUUUCAUCAUCUUAUUACCUUAUCGUGGUUGUAUCAAUACUCAACCCGAGGGUUAAAUACAUACCUAUCCAAAAUAACCAUUUCACAUCACUCACCAAUACUUCUCUUUACAUCUCGAAUAUUCCUCCAUUGAGUAGAACUUUACCCGUUGAACACAUCGGAAUAUAAUUCGGAUACAUGGAUAACUUGCCCAUAACUGCCAUAUAUGCAAUCAAGCAAUCAUGUAACCCGCCCAUAAGCGAACUCAGACUCAACUCAACGAGCUCAGGCGUUCGCAUCCAUAAGUAAACUCAGACUCAACUCAACGAGUUCGGAUGCCUAGUUGCAUCUCACGAACUCGGACUCAACUCAACGAGUUCGGACAUUCGCAUCCAUAAGUGAACUCGGACUCAACUCAACGAGUUCGGAUGCUCAAUCAUCCUAGUGACAUGUCACUUGUAUCCUAAUCUAUUCCUAAGGUUCAAACGGGAUUUUUCCUCGAACACUUAUCCUUGCCGUCUUCCGUAGAAUGCCGAAAUCAAUACUCGGUAACAAUUAUAUUUAACAAGUAGUUCACAUAAUUUACAUAUUAUUUGAAAUUAACCACAAAGCAUACAUUUCAUAAUAAAAUUCAGCAUAACAUAUAAUUAACAUCAAUAACUUAAAAAUAACCAUUAUGAUACAUUAUUUACACAUGAACUUACCUUGGUACCAAAAUACAAAGAUUUUGCAAUUUAGUCCACAAUCUUUUCUUUUCCUCGAUUGAGGUCGAUUCCACGUCUUUCUUGAUCUAAAAUAACACAUUUAGCUUAUUUAAUACUCACAUUAUCAAAUUAAUCCUUAACUCAAAUUUUGGCAAAAUUACAAUUUUACCCCUAAACUUUUGCAUAUUUACAUUUUUGCCCCUAGGCUCGGGAUUAAAAUUUAUUCCUUAUUCUUAUGUUUUACAACAUGCUGAUCACUUUUCUCUUCUAUGGCAACAUCAAAUUCUCACUCUAACAUGUACUUGUGACUAUUAGGUAUUUUUACCAAUUAAGCCCUUUUACUCGUUUUUGCUUAAAAUCGAGUAGUACAAGUUGUCUAACAUAAUUUAAAACUUCAUAUUCUAUCAUAAAACAUCAAAAUACACAAAUUUCACCUAUGGGUAUUUUUCCAAAUAUAAACCCUAGGUUAAAUUAUUGCUAACAUAAGCUUUAUCGAGUUACCGGGAUCUCAAAAUCGUAAAAAUCAUUAAAAAUGGGGCUUGGAAUCACUUACUAUGGAGCUUGGAAGCUUGAAACAAACCCUAGCUAUGGAGAACCCUUGAAAUUUCGGCCUAAUGAAGAAGAUGGACAAAAAUUGGCUUUUAAUUUUGUUUUUAAUUCAUUUUAAUAACUAAAUGACCAAAAUACCCUUACUACUAAACUUUCCAAAAAUUCCUUCCAUGUCCUAAUUUUGUCCAUGAACUUAAAAUUGGUCAAAUUGCUAUUUAAGACCUCCUCAUUAAUAUUCCAAAACAAUUUCAUACUAAAAACUUCUAGAAUGCAAGUUUUGCAACUUAUUCGAUUUAGUCCCUACUUUCAAUUUAAGCACUUUAGGCAUAGAAUUUCAUCACGAAAUUUUCACACAAUCAUGCAAUCAUAUCAUAAACCUAAAAAUAAUUAUAAAAUAAUUAUUUCUAUCUCGGAUUUAUGGUCACGAAACCACUAUUCCGAUUAAGCCCUAAUUCGAGAUAUUACAGUGUUCAUGUUGUUUUUUAUGUUUGAUGGAAGAAAAUGAAUCUAUGUUGUUAGGUAAAUAACAUUUGUAAAGUGGUUUUGGUUGAAAAUGUCAAUUAGGGAUUUAUUUGUAAAUUCUAUAAAAUGUGUGGUGGAAAUUGUGAAAUAAUGAAAUGUAUGAGAUGUUAUCGAUGCAUUGAAAUUUUUCUAGCUUGGGUUAAGGAUGAAUUGUAACACCCCUUAACCGUAUUUGAGGUCGGGACAGGGUACGAGCCAUUACCGGGCAAGUACACAAAUAUUCAUGCAAAAUCGGGUUAUAAAACUUCCUUUCAAACCAACUUCAAUAAUAUACAUGUUUAACAUCCCUUAUAUGGACCUACGAGGUCCAUAACAUGCAUUGGGGAUAGUUCGAGACCAAACCGAAAACUUUAGAAAAACUUGAACGAUUUUUUCUUUGAACUGAGUCACACGCCCGUGUGAGACCGAGGACACACCCGUGUCCUCGGGCCAUGUAAUUCUCUGACUAUGACGUCAGCACCAAAUUAAGGUCACACGACUGCACAACAUGCCCGUGUGGCCAGACCAUGUGAUUAAUUAAAGAUUUAAUGAUUUUUUUCAUAAAAUGGUGCAGACUUCACACAGCCAGAGUACACGCCCAUGUGGGUAGGCCGUGUCUCUCACACGGCCAAGCCAUAUGCCCGUGUCUUAGCCCGUGUGUUUACUGUUGGACAUUCUAACUUGUAAAACUAAGGUGCAGGGGACACACGGCCGAACAAAACUCCCAUGGGGCAGACUGUGUGUCACACACGGUCUAGACACACGUCCGUGUGUCUGCUCAUGUGGACAAAUUCUAGGCUAUUUUCCAAGCCAUUUGUCACCUUUAAGACUGACUUACUUAUACAUUUUUCUUAACAUGCAACAAGGCACAUCUAGCUACUCAAGUACCCACAUUCAUGAUUAAAAUUAUGCCCCUAAUAUUAUUUAAGUCUAUCUCAAGUUUACAAACUUCCUUCAAUCUUUUCAUACUAAUAUGUAACUACUAGGUUUUAUAACCUUCUUUCCAACUUUACCCAUUAUUACAUUGUUAUAGCCAUCUUUAUAGUUCAUGAUUCAUCACAAUUCAAUAAGCCAUUAUUCACGUCCAUCAUUCUCAAACAAUCACAUUAACAUGAACACUUGCAUGCAUGCAUGAUUAAUAAAGGUUACAACCCAAUAGUGAAAUAUGAACCAUAUCUCAUGCCCAGAUACAAAAUGAUUUGUUAACCAUCAUAAGCCAUUACACUUGGCUAAUUUAAAUGACACAUAUAACUAAAAAGAUAAGUUACCCUAUACGUGCCAUUAUAUGAAAAUGAAUAGUUCUUUUAUUCCCAAAAUGAGAUUGCUGAUAGUGUGAUCAAAGCUCCAACCAUCCUCCAACCUUCACGAGUUCGCAGGCUCUAUAAGACAGAGGGAAGUGAAACGGGGUAAGCAUUACAUGCUUAGUAAGUUCGCAUAACAAAAAGUAAACUUACCGGUCAUUUUAACACAUAAUCUUAAUAAGCCAUGUUAUCCAUCAAUUAUAACUAAUUUUCCUUAAACACAUGAUUUCAAGAUCCAUAGAUGAGCUCAUCAUAUCAUGUACACAUUCAAAUUCAUAUUUCUCAAGUCAUUUACAUGUACUUUAUCCAUUGAAUCAUUGAAUUCCCGAUGGAUAUUUCAUCAUUUAGUACACUCUAAAUGUACAAUUUACUGACCGUCAAUUCAUAUUCAGUAGUACCCUUUCGGUACACUCUCGAGCCACACCUCUUACAGCAGAAUUACCAGACCAAGCUAAAUUCUAGCUGUGCCAUGUACUCUAAGGGCUUUUUUGGAUUACCAGUCCAAGUUAAAACCUUCUUAUGACAAAGAAUUCCCUACAGAGUCCAAUCUGGAUUACCAGUCCAAGCUAAAUCCAGUCAAUUAGGAUUACCAGUCCAAGCUUAAUCCUAGCUAAAACAUAUGAUCAACAGGCUCGUUUCAGGAUUACCCAUCCAGACUAAAUCCUUUCUAUAAUGAGAUCAAUGGAUUACCCGUCCGAGUUAAAUCCUUUAUGCAACACAUGCAGGAUCCCAUUUCACGUUAGAAAUAACUUAUCCAUCGGAAUUCAGUAUUCGAAUGGAAUAUAAAUCUUUUCACUCAAAUUCAGGAUUAUGGACAUUUUCAUACAAUUCAAUACAACACAGCAAUAGAAUCAACACAUUUAUAUAUAUAACCGGUUAAGUUACACGAACUUACCUGAAUGAUGUCUCGGGUUUGGAUUCUGACUAUUCCAAAACCUUUUGUUUUCCACGGUCUACUUCUGGAAUUGGUCUUUCUGAGUCUAUAUGAACAAAUUAAAUUAUUAAUUCAUCACAUUCUUCAAUUUCAGCUUGAAAACUUACUCUAUGGAAAAAUUACCUUUUUACCCUAACUUUGUACAUUUUUAUAUUUUAGACUCUAGGCUCGUAAAAUGAAAUACAUGCAUUCCCUUGUUUUCCCAAGCCUAGUCAAAUUAUAUUCUAGCUGAUAAUAGCCCACAUUUUCCUUUAUUUCUCUUUUCUACUACAAACUUUUACAACUUUUGCAACUUGGUCCUUUUUACGUGUUUUCAUAGAAAACCACUUAAUAAAAGAUGUUUAUCAUACAUCAAACUUUCAUAUUCCUCCAUUAAACACCAAAAUACAAACAUGUCAUACAUGGGUAAGUUUUUGAACAUGAACCCUAGCUUAAAAUAAUGGUAGAAAUUGUAACACCCCGUACCCGAGACUGUUGCCGGAGUCGGACACGAGGGGUUCACAGACUAAAUUCGCUUACUAUCGCAGUCCAUUUUAAAAUUUUCCAGGCAGUUGGCUAACUGCUACACUGUCACCUUAAAAAUCAUAUCUUGAGUUUCACAACUCGAAAAUCAGUUUCGUAAUUUUUCCCUGAAACUAAACUCAUAUGCCCAUCUACAUAUUUUUUUAUAUAAUUUUUGGUUAGGCCAAUUAGUACAUUUUAUUAGUCAAAGUCUCCCAUGUUACAGGGAUCGACUACACUGACCUUUGCGCAUUACGACUUGGAUAUCUCCCUGCACAGGGCUUCAAUACUGAUGCCGUUUGUUUCUAUAGAAACUAGACUCAGAGAGGAAUCCAUACAUAUAUGGCAUGACUCCUAAUUAUCUCUGGUUAAUUUAUAAUAAAUUUCCAAAUUCGGAACAGGGAAUCCAGAAACCGUUCUGGCCCUGUCUCACGAGAACCUGAAUAUCUCUUAACAUACUGUCCAUAUGAUCAUUUCGUUACUUUCCUAUGAAAAUAGAUUCAUCAAGGUUCGUUUACAUAAUUUAUUCACUAUUUAAUUCCAAUCCUACUAUUUUUAGUGAUUUUCUAAAUCUACAUCACUGCUGCUGCCAGCAUCUGCCUUUAAGGUAGACUUUACCUAUUUCAUAGUUUCCAUGAUUCAACUAGCCCUUUUAGCAUAAAUAGCACAAAUCAUGAUAGCGAUUAACCAUUCCAUACCAAAUGAUUAUAACAUUAUGCUCAAACAUAUAUAAGCCAUUUUCGCAUGGCUAUAUACAUUAACCAAAAUAUUCUUCCGCCACUAGUCUAUUUUAUACAUGCCAUAAGACAAUCCGAAACAUAGCAGUACCAAACAGUGGAUAGUGAUAGUGUGACUAGUUGCUGACGAUCCCCGAGCCUGUAGCUUCGCAAUGAGAUCUAUAAAACAGAGGAAACAGAGUAAACGGAGUAAGCAUUACAAUACUUAGUAAGUUUUAAGCAGUGUCAACAGAUAACAAUCAAAUUAUAACAUAGUUAUUCGUAUUUUUAUUUCACUCUUCCUUCGGGCAUACCAUCCCUUUACCGAAUCUGCACAUCUCAUCAUAUACAAUAGGCAGAUAAACUUUCACAUAAAAAUGAGCUCAAGUGACAUAGAUAUAUCGUAUGAUUUCACAUCACCUCUCACACUGAUCCGAUGUCACAUAAUCAUAGGAAUAGUCUCAUAGAUUGCUUUCGUAUGCAUCACAUAACUACCUUAUGAUUUAGUGCAAAUCAAGCUCACAUAUAAACUUGGAGUACAUACCUGUUUAACCUUUCGCAUUGAAUAUAUUUAUAAGCAAUUCUUAUUACGAAGUCUUACCCGGACAUAAUCUCCACACGAAGUUAUCGGGUCUUACCCGGACAAAAUCCCCACACGUAGUCAUCGGGUCUUUAGAGCUCGGAUAUAGUACAAGCACGAAGCUUAAGGACAUUAAUCGGUGAUAAUAUUCUCGCAUAAAGCCUGCGGGGUUUUAACCCGGAUAUAGUACUGACACAAAUGCCCUUCGGGACUUAUCACAUUUAUGCACUUUCACAUCCAUUACGUUGGCCACUCGGCCCUGUCACAUAUAUACACUUUCACAUUCAUCACAUCGGCCAUUAGGCCUUAUCACAUAUAUACACUUUCCCAUUCAUCACAUCGGCCAUUAGGCCUUAUUACAGAUAUACACUUUCACAUUCAUCACAUCGGCUAUUAGGCCUUAUCACACAUAUACACUUUCACAUUCAUCACAUCGGCUAUUAGGCCUUAUCACAUAUACAUACACUUUCACAUUCAUCACAUCGGCCAUUAGGCCUUAUCACAUAUACAUACACUUUCACAUUCAUCACAUCGGCUAUUAGGCCUUAUCACAUAUACAUACACUUUCACAUUCAUCACAUCGGCCAUUAGGCCUUAUCACAUAUACAUACACUUUCACAUUCAUCACAUCGGCCAUUAGGCCUUAUCACAUAUAUACACUUUCACAUUCAUCACAUCUGCCAUUAGGCCUUAUCACAUAUAUACACUUUCACAUUCAUCACAUCGGCCAUUAGGCCUUAUCACAUAUACAUACACUUUCACAUUCAUCACAUCGGCUAUUAGGCCUUAUCACAUAUACAUACACUUUCACAUUCAUCACAUCGGCCAUUAGGCCUUAUCACAUAUAUACACUUUCACAUUCAUCACAUCGGUCAUUAGGCCUUAUCACAUAUAUACACUUUCUUGGCUGAAUCUACAUCUAUCAUUUUCCAAUAUCACAAUUUAGAAUUCACGUAUGGGUUUAAUCGAUAUCUUAUGAGCAACUAGAACAAGUUUAUCAAGGUUUACAACACAAUCUCAAAUUCAGCACAAGCUGUUUUUCCUGAGCAAUAGUCACUAAAUCAUUUAUAACUGGAGCUACAAAACUCCAAAUCACUUUCCGUUAAUUUUUCCUGAAUAUAGACUCGUAUAUCUUCCAUCCAUAAAAUUUCCAGAAUUUUAGGUUUGGCCAAUCAAUACCAGAUUUUUCUUAAAGUUUCCCCUGUUUCACUGUUUGACUAAUCUGACCACUCUUCACUACGAAUCAGAUUUCUCAUUUUACAGAAUUCAAAGUGUGUUGUAUUUGAUUUCAUUUGAAACUAGACUCAUUAAGGAGUCUAAGCAUAUAAAUUUUAUCUUAUAACCAUUUUUUUACAAUUUAUAAUGAUUUUCUAAAGUCACGUUACUGCUGCUGUCCGAAGUAGACUAUUUCAAAUUACCCUUAAAUUCCCAAGCUCAAACACUUAAGAACUUACUAUUUGAGCUUAGAACAUAUCAUGGCCACAUCAUAUCUUACUAAAUCAACUCAUCAUGUCCUAUUAUAAUUGAAUUUACUCAACGUUUAAACACUUAAAACUUACCUCGGAAGUUGCCGAACGAUUACGACGGCUCUUCGAUCAUUUUUUUUUUCCUUUCCCUUAUCCAACUUUGAUCCUCUAGGCUCUUGAGCUAAAUCAAACAAAUUUACUUCUCAAUCAAACACAUAUAUAUGGCAACCAUAUACAUUUCAAAAACCAAUGCGUUCGUAUCAUUUGUCCAUAUAUUAGCUUUUAGCAUAUUUGGUCAUUAGAGUGACCUAUUUAACUUUCAAGCAUUCAUUUCUAAUUUUAAUUAAACAAUGCCGAAUGCCAUUAGCUACUAAUGCCACACACACACAUGUGCAUAAAAUUCAUCCAUACAUAACCUCUAGCUCAUUCGGUCAUUCAUCUCUCAAACCUAUCAAAGUUUCAUGUCAAACUUCCCUGGCCGAAUACACAUAUAAGCACAUAAUGCACAUUUAGAAUUUUUUUAUUUACUUCAUGAUACAUUCGGCCUUGGCAACAAUUUCAUUAGAAAUCCUUAUUAGCCACUUCAUCAAUCAAUUAUAUCAUCUACUUAAUAUUUCAUAACUUAUCAUGCUAGCUGAAUAUUAUUUAUUCAAGUUCAUCAUCUUCAUAUUCGGCAUUAGCAUCAAAUAUAAUAGCCCAUUUCUUCCCACUUUGAAUUUAUGCAUCCAUUUAAUCAUAGUUUGUUUAAGCACUCAUACAACAAGAUUCAUCCAAUUUAACAAGAAACAAAAACUUUAUUCCUCCAUAGCUACAAUGGCCGAAAGAUCUAGACAUCUCAAUACCGAAAUUUCUAACAUGGGUUGCCUAAAUAAUUUGGUAGGGAGUUCAAAUUUAUCUAGCAUUUCAAGUAAUUUAACACAUCCAUAUAGCUAACAUGUAAGUAGUAUCAAGGCAUCAACUAAAAUUUUGAAGCCUCUUAGCCGAAUCCUAACUCUCCAACAACUCUAAUUUCAUCCAUGAGAUAAAUAGAAGUAGGCUAACCCUCCAAAGGAUGUGUAAACCUCCAAAAGCAACAUUGAACAUACCUUAAUCUCAAGAACUACCUUGGCCGAACUUCCCCUCUUCUUCUUCCUUCCAUUCGGCCAUGUUGAACAACCAAGGAAGAAUUUUGUUUUUCCUCCCCUUUCUCUAGUCACGGCAAUGGGGAGUAAGGGGGAGACAACUUUGGUUUCUCCUCCCACUCCCCUCAUAUUUUAUUAUUCUUCCCACACAUAUUAGCAUAAAAUGUCUUUAAUAUGUUUUUUUUAAUACUUAUUUCCUAUUAUAAAACCAUGUAGUCAUUAUAAUAUUAAUACAAAAUGCAUAUGCUUUGUAUCCCAUACCCUCAUGGCCGGCCACUUCCUCUAAAGUGGGGAAUUUGACAUGCAAACCCAUCAUUUCACAACAUGCAUUAUUAGGCCACUUUACAUUUGCCUAGCACAUUUCCAAAUUUUCUCACAUAAGUCCUAUUUGAUAAAAUUCACUUACCAUUAACAAAAUUCAAACAUGAAAUUUUUACACAUGCAUAUGUACAUAUAAUGAGCAUCAACUAUGACGGUUAAUUAUCUUUAUGACUCGAUUUAGUGGUCCCGAAACCACUUUCCGACUAGGGUCACUUUAGGGGUGUCACAGAAAUGGCUAGAACAUGCUUCAAGGAUCUCAAAAAUAUAAAGAACAUAAAAAAUGGGGCUAGGGAGCACUUACAAUCAAGCUUGAAAUGUUGAAAACCCUAGCUAUGGAACCCUUUGAAUUUUCAGCACACUAUGAAGAAGAUGGACAACAUUUUUGCUUGAUUUUUCCCUUUUAAUUCUUUCAUUAACCAAAUGACCAAAAUGCCUUUAAGGCCUUUCUUUAAAAUUUUACCCAUGCAUGCCCAUUUUUGUCCAAAUUUUUAGAACUUGGUCAAAUUACUAUUUGAGAACCUCUAAUUUAUAAUCCAAACUCAAAUUCAUGCUAAAAGCUUCUAGAACUCAAGUUUUUCAACAUAUUCAAUUUAGUCCUUAAAACUAAAUUGGGCAUCUUAAGCAUAGAAUUUCUCCAUGAAAUUUUUACACAAGCAUCUAUCCUCAUACAAGGCUCAUAAUAAUCAUGAAAUAAUUAUUUCUAUUUCAGAGAUGUGGUCUCGAAACCACUAUUCUGACUAGGCCCUAAGUUGGGAUGUUACAACUCUCCCCCCUUUAGGGAUUUUCGUCCCUAAAAAUCUUACCAGUAAAAAGGUGUUGGGUAUUGGUUUCUCGUAGUCUCUUUAAGCUCCCAUGUAGCCUCUUCAACUCCAUGCCUUUGCCACAGUACUUUCACGAGAGCAAUAUUCUUAUUUCUCAAUUGUUUGACCUCCCGAGCUAGUAUCUUAAUCGGUUCCUCUCUAUAAGUCAUAUCCGAACAAAUCUCAACCUCUGUUGGUGAAAUUACAUGUAAGGGAUCAGAUCGAUAACGGUGCAACAUGGAUACAUGGAACACAUCAUGAAUUCUUUCCAACUCUGAUGGCAACGCCAACCGAUAUGCUAUCGGUCCAAUCCUUUCAGUAAUCUCAUAUGGCCCUAUAAAAUGAGGACUUAAUUUGCCUUUCUUUCCAAAUCUCAUGACUUUUUUUCCACGGAGACACUUUUAAAAAUACCUUAUCACCAAUUUGAUACUCAAUUUCCUUUCGUUUCAAAUCAGCGUAAGAUUUCUAUCUAUCAAAAGUAGCUUUUAAACUAUCACGAAUGAUCUUUACUUUUUCCUCGAUCUCCUUAAUUAAGUUGACCCCAUGAAUCUUAUUUUCUUUGAGCUCAGUCCAGUAUCGGGGUGUUCGGAAUUUACGCCCAUAUAAAGCCUCAAAAUGUGCCAUUUUCAAACUUGAUUGAUAACUGUUGUUGUAGGCAAAUUCUAUCAACGGUAAGUACUAUUCCUAACUGCCUUGGAAUUCAAGAACACAACACCUAGCAUAUCUUCCAAAGUCUGAAUUACUCCCUCGGAUUGGCCGUCGAUUUAUGGAUGGAAAGCGAUAUUAAAAUUUAGUUUCGCGUCCAAAGCUUCUUGUAACUUCUUCCAAAACUAAAAAGUGAACCCCGAGUCUCUAUCCGAGACAAUCGAUAAGGGUACUCCGUGAAGUCUCAAAAUUUUAAUAAUGUACAGUUUGGCUAACUUAUCAAGCAAGAAAUCGGUUCACACCGGUAUAAAAUGAGCCGAUUUAGUCAACCUGUCAACUAUGACCCAGAUGGCAUCUUUCUUCUUUGGGGUCAAAUACAACCCUGUUACAAAUUCCAUGAUAAUACGAUCCCAUUUCCACUCAGGAAUCAUGAUAGGAUGAAGUAACCCUGAAGGCACUUGAUGUUCAACCUUUACCUGUUGACAAAUUAGACAUUUCGAUACGAACUCUGAGAUAUCUCUUUUCAUGCCAUUCCACCAGUACGAUUUCUUCAAAUCAUUAUACAUCUUUGUACUACCUAGGUGAACUGAUAAACAACCUCUAUGCACCUCAUAUAAAAUAUUCUGAAUCAACUCGACGUCGUUCGGAACACAAAUCCUACCACGGAACCUCAAGCAACCAUCAGAGUCAAUUUAAAAAUCUGGUUCACUGCUAGACUUGCAUUGAGCUCUUUUAGCUUGUAACUCUUUAUAGACUUUAUGGCCAUCAAAAAUCUAUUGAAAAAAGGUCGUUUUAGCUCUCAACUCUGCUAGGAUUGAGCCAUCAUCAGACAAAGCUAGCUGUGUACCCAUAGCUCUCAAGACAAACAAUGAUUUCCUACUCAAAGCAUCGGUUACUAUAUUCACCUUAGCCGAAUGGUAAUCAAUCACAAGCUCGUAAUCUUUGAGUAAUUCGAGCCAUCUACAUUGCCUUAGGUUCAAAUCCUUUUGAUUCAUCAAGUAUUUUAAGCUUUUAUGAUCGGUGAACACCCGGCAUUUCUCACCAUACAGAUAGUGUCUCCAAAUCUUUAACGCGAAAACAAUGGUGGCCAAUUCCAAUUCAUGUAUCGGGUAGUUCUUCUUGUGAGGCUUCAACUGCCUUGAAGCGUAGGCUACCACCUUACCUUCUUGCAUGAGUACACAUCCCAAACCAUUCAAGGAUGCAUCACUAUAGAUCACGAAUUCUUUACCCGACUCGGGUUGUACCAAAAUCGGUGCUUCGGUCAAUAACGCCUUUAGUUUCUCAAAGCAUUCCUGACAACUUUUUGACUACUCAAACUUAACAUCUUUUUGGAGCAACCUGGUCAUCAGAGCGACCAUAAUAGAAAAUCCUUUAACAAAUCGCUUGUAGUAGCCAGCCAAACCUAAAAAGCUUCUAACUUCUAUAACGUUUCUCGGCGAUUUCUAUUCGACGAUAGCCAAAAUUUUACUCGAUUUGGAAGCUUGUUCGGGUUGGAAGAUCGUCGAAGACCUAUCACACUAUCCAUUGGGUAUAUUAAUAUAUUUUGAUGUUUUAAAGUCAUGGUUAUAAUGGCAUGUAUAGGUGUUUUGUACUUGUAAACAGCCAAUAUGUUUGGUUGGUAAAUAAGGUACUUUGGUUGAUGACAUUUUGGUGCUUGUUGGUUAAUGUUAAAAUGGUUAGUGAUGAUAUAUUUUGAAUGGCUCUUUUGGUAUGCUUGAAUGUGAUCUUAGGUAUGACUUGGUAUGGAAUUAUGUUGCAAAUGUUGAGUUAAUAAAUGGCUAAGUUAUGCUUAUGUUUAAGUAUCUUUGAUGCGAUAUGAAUUGAUAUGCCUAUUGGCAUAUUGGUUGUAUGCAAAAUACCACAUUGAUAUAGCUUUAUUAUGCACAUUUUAGGUACAUUUUUAAAUGCUUGAAAUAGGUGCAAAGGGCUUGUAUGUGUAAGCAUGAUUUGGGUGAAGGAAAUAGCUUGAAAGUAGCCUAUUUCUUAUCCACACGACCUAAGACACGAGCAUGUGUCUCAGUCGUGUGUCCCCUAUAAGUUUCAAAGGGCUGCAAGUCAGGUAGUUACAUGGCCUAGCACACGGCCUGGCACAUAGUCGUGUGGCUUGGUCGUGUGACCCAAGUCAGUGAGUUACACGGGCACCGACACAGGCUGGGACACGGCCAUGUGUCUCUAAUUCGAAUGCCUACACGACCUGAGACACGGGUGUGUGUCUCAGCCUUGUGACCCCUGUAGUAUGAAAAUUUUCAACCUUUUUUAUGAAAUUCUAUAUGAUUUUGAUUUAGUCCCGAGUCAUUUCUAAUGUGUUUCUAAGACCUCGAGGUUUCGAAUAAGGGACGUUAUGAAUGUGAUUGAUUGAUAAUUACAAUGAUUUAUGAAAUGUUUUGAAUUGAAUGUUUAAAGUUAUGAAUUUUUGCUAAUGCUCCGUAACCCUAUCUCGACGACGGAUAUAGGUUAGGGAUGUUACAAACUCAAUAUGAACUAUGAGUGCUUAUCUCUCUCUCUCUCUCUCUCUCUCUCUCAAGUCAUCUUCAAGCAUCGUACUCUCAUCCUUCCUUCCUUCCUUUUCUCUCUUUUCUUUCUACCUAAUUACAUUGUUUUCACCUUACGACUCUCAAGCUAUCGGGUGAACCAUCAUAUCUACCUCAACCCACUUUUUCCCUCCACAACUACGUUAUUAGGAAAAUAUAAAAAAUAAUCAAAGUUAAGAUUUUAUUAAUAUUUAACUUGAUACUGAAAAUGAACAUACGAUCUAUAAUGAUCUUUUUUUUGUUUUCUCUUUCAUAAUCAAAAUUUUGUUCUACUAAUUGAAACAUUAGUUCUAUGGUAAUGUUGAGAUUUUGAAAUUUUUGUGAUCUCAUGUUCGAGUCUAACCUUAUAUAAAUGUAUGGAUUCUCUCCAUAUUUAUUCAAUUUUAAUUAGUAGGUUAGUCUGAAUUUAUUUAGUUUUUGAGUUAAUUGUAACCUCCCUAACCCGGCCUAAACGUUAUGGCUAGAUUGAGAAGGCUACAUUAGCCACUGAAAUGGCUAAGCUAACUUACGUUACUUUUGAAGACCAUAAAUAAACUCAUUUUAAAGAAAACUGAAGUUGUACUUUAAGUUAGCUUAACAGCAUUCAUUCAUUAGGUCGUGUAUACUUAGGAUUCAAUUUAUUAUUGAUAGUGUUGUUUUAGAAAAACCAUUUGCUUGUCGCUCUUCUUUAAGAAAAAACUCGAAGUUAAACUAAUGCAGCGGAAAAAAAAAUUCAAGUCAUUUUGGAAACUUUGUUACCUUAUUGAUUUGUUUUUCAAAAACGAUUCCUUUGCAAUGUAGCGAAAACAAGGGAACAAUAUCAAAUUUUACUCAAUCUCGAUAUCAUGCAUUAUCCAGUUAUUAUGCUUGAGUAAUCCACGCAUGCAAAAUCCCCAAAUGAAAAGUUACCAAGCAACAGACCAGAAAUAAUUAAAAAUUACAAACUAAAACCAAUAAAUACUUAAUAAUACUUAUUAAGAAAAAUAAUCUAAGGUCCAACGUGAGUCUCCGAUUUCAAGUCUGGUCCUAAUUUUCAGGUUUAUCUGAAGUUAAACACUAUUGGGGGUAAGCAUAUGAAAAGCUCAGUGUGAGUCGAACAAUUAUUCAAACAAACAUAAAUAUCGAAUACAAUGAAAUAGACUAGCUCUAACAGAAGAAAACAGAACCAUCGUAGGAAUUUCAUGUCAUUACAUAGCCAUUAUCAAAUUGAUGUCAAACAGUGUGUGAGCAUGAGACAUCAUUCAUUCGAGUAACAAUCAUUAAUUUUGAUACCAUUCAAUACAACACAAUACAACACAAUACAACACAUAUCAUAAAUUAAAAAAAAUCGAGUAUGUCAUGAACAUGAUGCGAUGCAAAAAGGUUCCUACCCAUACCGUCCGCUACACACUAGGAGUUCCCUAGAAGCCGUCAUCUGAACUCCAAAACAUUAUGGGCUUAAGCCCAUUGUGAUUAAAACCACCGAUAACAAUAUGCAAAAAAUUCUGCCAGUAAAAAUGCAAAAAAUCUGCCAGUAAAAAUGUGAUAAAUUGCUAUUCCCCUCGAUACUCUAGGUGCAAUGCACUAACUACGAAUAAUGUGGAUUUAAUAUGCUGUCGGUACUCCACGGAACUCCUCCGUCAACCACAAAAUCCCAACCCAAUGCAUAUGCAAUAUGUCACACAAUCUCAUACAUAAUCAUAUCUCAAUACUUUUCACAUUCAUUUGACAUGCUUAGCAUGUCCUCAAUAAUAACAUAUUUUUAGUAAAUGGAAACACUGUUCCAAUCUUUCAAAUUACCAUUGUGUUUGUAUCAAUCAAUAUCGUUCAAUUUCACUUACUUUACUGAUUUUAGUUACACAUAAAUAGCACCCUUUUUAGUACAAAAUAAAACAAAUAUCUUAUAUGUUUAAAUCAUAUAUGUAACACCCCAAACCCGGCCUAGACGUUAUGGUCGAAUCUGGCGAUGUCACAUUGAAGUGGUUUUCGAAAAACAUAAUUUUGUUGAAACAUGUGUUCUAAAUAAAAACCUCUUUGAAUUCUAAACGAAAAAUUAAGAUACCUCGUUCAUUGUUAAAAACUCUAGUCGUCUUAGUAAAAUGUUAAUCAUAUUAGAUUGUUAUUACACUUUAAAACCAUGCUUGUUGCGGAAGCUUUGAAAAUAUGUUGCGUAUACGAGGUGUUUUGAAAAGAAUUUAUCUUUUGAAAACACGUGUCCUACUGCUAACAGAUGUAAAUCCAACAAAUAUAAAUCCCCAAAUUAAAAAUAAAUUCUUGAGAGGCCUUAUUACAUAAAAAUACCCAAAUUUAACUACUUAUAAAUUAAAAGACAAACAUGAGAGCAUAAGCUAUUGUGUGGCUACCUUUGAGUCUCUCGCAGCACUGACCCACCUAAGGAUUACCUGCACAGAUAAGCAGAAGGGUGAGUUUAUGAAAACUCAGUGUGUAAUCCCUUAUUAAACAAACAAUCAGUCAUACAAUAGGCUAAUACAGUCUGGACCUAACCCCGUAUCAGAAACAGUCCAGUAUCAAUUAAGCCUUAGCCCAAUACAAUAACAAUAGCAGUUUAGGCCUGAGCCCAUUAUAGCAAUAGUAUCAGUGGGGCCUAAGCCCACAACAGAAUCAGUACAAUAUGUAAUCAAAAAAUCUGACCCACUCUAGCCUCUACACACCAUCCUCGUACCAACCCUAUACACCAUGUGGGGAUUAAAUCGACCCACCCAUCCCUACACACCAUGUAGCAUCGGUUGCGGCGCUAAAACAGCAUUUGCAGCAGAGAUGCUAGUAAUAGGCUUAUAGCUUUUCAGUACACUUCCUCCAAAUCAUCUAUCCCACCCCAUGCAAUGCAACAUAAUAAAAAUGUAUAUACAAUAAAGAUGGCAUGCUCAAACAGUCAUACAUCACAUAAGGGUAUAUCGAUCAUUUAGCUCAGAAGGGUAUAACGGUCAUUUCAUCAAAUUAGGGUCUAGGUAUACUCACCGUCCCAAUAGUAGGUCCACAAUUGUCUCGGACAACCCAUGCAACCUUGACACUCAAACAGUGAAAAUGGGCCCAAAGCCCAUAAUGCGGCCCAUGUGGGCCCACACGCCCGUGUGGCCCACAAAGCCCAAAAUGGCCUUGGUCAUGUAAGCUACACAGCCUGGCCCAAUAAUCUUCACACGCCCGUAUGGUUUACCCAUGUGGGGCCUACAAGCCCGUGGGGCCCACACAGCCCAUUUCAGCCCAACAUGGCCCAAAACAGCCUAAGCCCAUGAAAACGCUCAUGGUGGGCUCUACGAUCAAAUGCCUACAUUUUACACAUUUGGAUUACCGCACAAGUGAGUGCAUGCUCAUGUAGUGUCAAUAGUCGUGUUUUUAGGCUUUUGCCGGUCUAUAGUUGGGCAGUGUUUACACACCUGUUUGGAUUCCUGGUACGAAUGAUCCUGGAAUGAUUCACACCUAAAACACAAGACAAGUUCAUGACCAACGCUAGUCAUGUUUAAUACAAUAACAGUUCCCAUCAACUUUGUUAUUGGCACUUACUUCCACUACUUCAAUCAAUUUAGCCUUACAAAUCCAUAGAUAAACUGAGUUCCAUACGAUUAGAUGCUGCCAAAACAAAGCGACAUGAUCACAUGUUAGGAACUUUAAUAGAUUACUAAAUAACACACUAUUUACACGCUUGCAACGUUACUUUUAUCCUUACCGAAAUACCUAUCAACCAGAAGUAACUCGCGUUGGGCAGAACCAACCGCUAGGAUGAGGAAAGUUUACAGAAGUGGGAGGAUAGCUAGACCAAAUAUUUGGCCAAGGAACAGAGGAACACCAACAAGCUUUCCCUCUUUUAAGAGAAAAGCUAAAAGCAAAAGAGGGAAUGAGAAGAAGGUAAUCGGUUAAACAAUGCAAUAGGGACACUCAAUAAAAGCCGAAGGAACAAAGGGAGAGGAGAAAGAAAUGUUUGGCCACUGCAAAAAAGAAGAUGAUAAUGACGGCGCAAAAUCAAUUAAGAGGGGAAGAGUGGUAUUCGGUUAGGGUCACAAGAAUAAGCACAUUUGGUAGUAUAGUAGAUGAGAAAGAAUCAGCUAACAGUAGAGAAAUGGUCAAAAGAGGAAACAACACUGAAAAGCAAGUAGGAGGAAAAAAAUACCUGAUGGUUUUUUUCUAUUUUCGGCCCCAAGAAGAGAUGGAGUAAUCAGUCAAACCAAAAAAUGCAAAGAAGAAAACUAACCCCACACACCCUAACAUUAAUCAGUUUUCAGAGAACAAAAGGAAAAGAGCCAAAAAUACUCACAAAAUGCUCACAAACUCGAAAACUGAGUACUUCAACUUGCCAAAACCAAAAGUUUAGAGUGCCACGGUUCAAAUUCGGCACAACUCUUCCACCAAAUUUGAAUUCCCCAAUUUCCUCCUAAAAACCCUCCUGCUCACAAACCUCAACAACCGAAAAUCCCCCUUUUCACUCCCCAAAUUCGGCCAACAACAACCCCUUCAAACUCAUUCAAACUCCUCAGUGUUUUGAUCAAACACAACUUCCUCCCAUGGCCACCAGUAAAAAUAAUCUCCAUUAGCACAAGUAUGGAUUCGAACCUCAGACCAAUAGCACACUCCACGCUAAUAUCCAUUAGACCAGCAAGCCCUUUCUAUUAUGUUUUUACCAAAAUAAACUUAUAACCCUACUGGCCAAAGAAAGGGGUUUUAUCCUUAAAAGAAAAUUUUUUGUGGAAACCAAGGCCUGAACCCAUGACUUCCCAGACACUUCCAGAGCACACAACCACUAAGCCAAACAUACAUUUAUGUCACUUUCUUGCACAACUAAAUAUUUAUGUGCAGCCUCCUAACUGUUUUCAUGCUCAAGACCUAAUACUUCUUGGCCAAAAUUCAGGGUGUUACAAUAUAUAAGCUUAAUAUCUCAACACAUUAUAUCAUUCAAUCAAAUAUUCUCAUAUCUCAUAACUCAAAUAUGCAAUUACAAACUCAAUCAAACAUUCAUACUAUCAAACUAGCAAUUUUGCCAACAUGUCAAUAUUUUAAUGCUCGAAACAUACUUGGAUUGGCCACUCACAAAAUAAAUAAUUUGGCUAUUAAGCCAAUCCAAUAAAGAAGCUAAUUUAUCAAAGAUAACAUGAUAUUUAAUAUUUUCAAAUAAUUUUAUGAUUUUAGGACCCACACCUUAUUUUUCUCUUACUCGCAGUACACUAGCGAAUCUUACAAUUUUCCUUAAUAAUUCCUUAAACGAACCUAAACCAAAAUUUAGCGUAAAUUCAAUAAAUUUAAUAUUAAAGCAGCCCCCAAAAACCUACUUCUGAGUGCAAACCAAUUGUUGAAAUUAUAACCAUUUUAUGAAUCAAACCUAGUUAGAUUCCUUACACUAUACCGAUGCGAACCGUACGUACAAUUGUUCUUCGCCUUUACGGUUGAUUUCGAGUGUUUGGGUUAGCACCUAAUUCAAUAAUAUACUAGAAAAUAAGUAUCUAAUUAAUUAUUAAUUCCUUCAUUUAAUCAAUUCAUAACCUUUACCCAACAACUACGUCGAAAUAACAAACUAGUUAUCAUUAAUUGCACUUAUGCUUCACGAUUUGCAAGUUUCAAAUGACCAAUUGAUCAAGAAAAUUUUUCCAUAAUUGACAUAGGUUUAAAACAUAAUUAGGAGGGUUCAAGGAUGGAAUUAAUUGGGCAAGAUUCAACAAAACAAAACAGCCCCCUUUCUUGCACAUAGGCACACACACCACCACCCAUGGUUGCCAAAAUUGGGGUUGAAUUUUAAAAUGGUUUGAGAUCUCAUUAAAAUCUGGAAAAAUAAUUUGAAAUCAUUUAAAAUCCACCAAAUUCCAGAUCUGGAUUUUUUUUUUAAUUGACAAGAUUAAUCAAUAAAUUGAAAAGAAAAGAGAUCUUACCCAAGCUAGUUGAGAGAAACGGCAAUAACACUUUCUUGGCAAUGUUCGGGAUCAAUCUUGGGGUUUAAGAUUUUAGAUUUGGGUCUGAUUUAGAUGAGGAUAAAUGGAAUCAAUAUAAUAAAGAAGAUGGUGCACAAUCUUGACGCAAUAAGUAAAAGGAAGAGAUUGUGAAAUGGGAGGUGUAGGCGAUGGCAUUAAUGGAGGAAAGGAAAAACAAAAUAAAAUCAAAGAGAGGGAAUGGAGGAGAUGAAUAGCUAGGGCAAUGAGUAGGAGGAUUAAAGGCUGAUUAUUUGUGAAAAAUUAACAUUUAUACCUAGGGUUACAAGACUUGGGUGGCACACACAUUAAAAAUAAGGGAUUUUUGCCAAAAAUUAAAUUAUUUUGCAAGGAAAAGAAUUUGAACUUGGGACCUCAAUUAAUUUUCAUACUUUCUCAUAUUUCUUUUAACCAUUAAGAAUUUUCCUCAUUCUUGAAAUAAUUUUGCAAUAUUUAUUUUAAAAGCAAGGCAUGUCACAUACUAGGGUUUAAGACAAAAUUUGCAAAAUAGUAAAAAUGGUGAGGAAGAAAAGAUUUGAACUUAGGUUUCAAGGAACGUUUCACUAACACUUAACCAACAAACUAAUGCCUCAUUUAUUUCCUAAAAAUGCAUAGAUAAUCUUAAAAUUAAGGCAUUACCACUUUCUCUCGAUUUACAAACCCAGUUCUACUAACCCUCGAUUUUUGAGAUGUUAUAUUAAUUAUCUAAUUCAUGUAAUGACUAAUUUUAGUUGAAACAGAUAAUAUAGUUGUAAUUUCAAAAAAGAGAGUUUUUGUUCAUACCAAUAAAACUUUGGUUAUUUUAGCAAAUAUUGACAACCUCUAAUUUUGAGUGUUCAAUUGGGUCUUAUCAUAUGUAAAUCAUAUUUAUUUUAGUUAGCUCAUUGUUAAAUUAGCUAUUUAGUUUCAUACUUUUAAUGAUUAUUUAUUUUAAUUAAAAAAUUUGUUGAAUAUUUUGAAUUGUGAAUAUAAUUGUAAUUUAAGUAUUGUUUAUACAAAGUAUAACAAGGGAGGAAGAUAAGUUGGAACGAGAAGGAGAUCAAUGUGAUGUAGUAGAUGUUGGUUCACCUAUAGUGGUUGAGAACUGAAACAAGGGCAAGAGAACAAGUUGAUUGAAAUGAUAAAUGCAAGUAAUUUAAGGUAUAAAAGGGAUUGAUCCCUUGCCCAUACUUUUUCAAGGUAUUUCUAGGAAAGGAGUCUCAUUUUUCACUAGUAUGAUAUUGGCUAGAUAAGCAUUUCAGCAUGUUAAACAUGUAAUGAAUAAUCAUGGGUGCGUAUUAUAGGGUUCUAUCAGUUUAAAGUAAUUAAGCCUAAAUGGGCUCCUUAUUGUCUUGGAAGUGUGUUCACAUUAAGAUAACAAUCUAUUAUGACCACGGUGAUAGGUUCCGUUUGAAAGGGGUUGGAUGGUUAUGCUUAGAGGGUCAAUGCAAAGUCAACAAUGUCUUUUGUGCUUGACACGUGUCUUUCACGUAGAGGGGUAUAACAAGUAUAUAUUAGAUUAUGAAAAACAUGCGAGUAACAUAAAAUUAUAAAAAAUAUAUUUAUUAAAAAUUUAUAUAAAAAUAAGUAAAGUCUUAAUUGAAAGGAUAAAAAUUUAAAAUUAUAAUGUUUAGUAAUUUUAAUAUAAAUUUUUUUAUUAAAAAAUAAAAAGAUUUUAAUAAUAGUACAACUUAUAUUAUAGAAAAAUAUGGUUUUUAAAUUUUUUAUCUAAAAUUUAUCUGUACCGUUAAUAAAAUCUCUGGCUAUGUUGGUGUAAUGGGUCAACUGAGCACCAACUCGGUUAGGAAAAUUACAAAAAUGUUUAACCAUAUUUAAAAUAAGUUAUAUUAUUCAAUGGUACUUUAACCUUUUUUAAGUUAAAAAAUAAAAAAUAUAUAUAUGCAUAUGUUGGGGUUUGAACCUAUGUCAAUUACAUUGAAAAAAAUUUUAAAUUUAUUACUCAACCAAAACUUUAUUUUAAUAUUUUUGUAUAUGUUUUUGUUUUAAUAUGCACAUUUUAUUACUUACAUUCGGUAGUGUUUAGAAACCCACAUAGUAAAUAGAUUUGAGUGUAAUUGCUUAUAAUUACACAAUGAUGGCAUGUUUGGAUAAACAUUGUAAUUAUUAGGUCUCACUGAGUUGGGUGUAAUUCGGCCGUGGCAACAUAUUGAAUCCCGUGUUCUGGGAAAAAUUUUUCUCUAUUUCCACACGACCGUAUCGCACUUCUGUGUCGCCACCCGUUGUAUGAGCACGGCCUCAGGCACGCUAGUGUGCCUGGUCGUGUGGGAUUGGAAAACCUGUGCUCAAGGACUCAGUUAAUGCUUUAGAUGUUAAAAACUAAAAUUUAAAGAAAUAAACACCGUUAGUACUCGGGUUGCCUCUAGAGAAGCGCUUAUUUAGAGUCUAAGCUCUACUUACCUCUUUGUUGCGUGGUCAUGGUUGUGCGAGGAGUUUACACUCCUCAUUCCUGCUAUCAAUUUCAUCAAAAUAAGGUUUUAAAGGAGUACUAUUUACCUUAAAAGUGUCGAAUUUGGAAUAAGUUACCUCUACUGCACGGUAUGGAAAAAUGCUAAGUACCGUAAAAGGGAUUGCUCCAUUUGGUUCAGAAGUGGUAAUAUAAAGGUAUGCCGCAUCUAAUAGUACUUUGUCCCCAACCUUAAGUUGAUUUGAUAAAACAUUUAGUCCAUCAUGGCGUGGUUUUAGUUUAUGGUGUGUUCUCGGUUUCUGUGUAUAUCAUUCAUCUAGUUCCUCGAUCUGUAGCCUUCUCUCUUCAUAGAUGGGUCCUUUGUUGUUACUUGAACAUGGCUCAUGUAUGCUCUUCGAACAUGUUUCCUGCAAAGAAGGUUGCACCACAUGAUCAGAUUAGUAACAUUAUUUAUACAAACACCCUCAAUAUUCGAUGUGUUACUCGAAUUACGAGCAUGAAGAGUGAUUGUUUCAUCACCCACACGAAGUGUGAGUUCACCUGUACCAACAUCAAUAAUAGUUCUAGCAGUUGCUAAAAAGGGUCGUCCUAAAAUCAAAGGUACGUCACUAUCCUCUUCUAUGUCUAAAACAACAAAAUCAAUUGGGAAUAUAAAUUUGUCAAUUUUAACAAGUACAUCUUCAAUAAUACCCCUAGGAAAUCUAAUUGUUUUAUUUGUCAAUUGAAUGUGCAUCCUAGUUUGUUUGGGUUUCCCAAUACCUAGUUGUUUAAACAUUUUAUAGGGCAUGACAUUAAUACUAGCCUCUAAAUCAGCCAAAGCAUUGUUAAUGUUUAAACUGCCAAUUAAACAAGGAAUUGUAAAACUCCCUGGAUCUUUCAACUUUUUGGGUAGCUUAUUCUGUAGAAUGGCUAAGCAAACUGCAUUUAACUCCACAUGCGACGCCUCAUCCAACUUCCCCUUAUUUGCUAAAAGCUCCUUUAAAAAUUUAACUGCGUUUGGCAUCUGUGAAAGAGCUUCAGUAAACAGUAAGUUAAUAUGUAAUUUUUAUAAUAAUUUAAGGAAUUUACAAAAUUGUUCAUCUGUGUGGUCUUUCCUUGUCACUCUGGGAUAUGACAUACGAGGUUUGUACUCUUUACUUACCAAUUUUCGCUCACUGUGGUCCACCUCAUCCUUACCUUUACUUACCACAAUUUCUUGCCUCGAUUCUGGUUGAGGUUCAACUAACCCUUCUUUAUCUCAAACGGUAAUCGCAUUAAGCUAUUCCCUUGGGUUAGAUUCAGUGUUACUCGGCAAGCUACCUUGUGGUUGUUCAGAAAUCAGUUUAGCAAGCUGGCCUAUCUGAGUUUCGAGCCUUUGAUUGACACUUGUUGAUUCUUAAGUGUUGUUUCAGUAUUCUAAAAAUGAGUUCCCGACCUCGAGAUAAAUUUUGUUAGCAUCUCUUCAAGGUUCGGCUUCUUUUCCUGCUGGUAAGGUGGUUGUUGAAAACCUAGGGGAUGCAGUGGCCUUUGAUUUCCCUGGCCACCCCACGAGAAAUUGGGAUGGUUCCUCCAACCUGCAUUAUAAGUGUUACUGUAUGGGUUAUUUUGAGGUCUAGAAUUAUUGUUACCCAUAUAUUGAAAUUGUUCCUCCCCGGUGCUAAGGUUGAAAGAUUCAUAUUCUGUGUGUACUCCUCCUCCAUUUGAAUCGUACCUCAUCACUAGAUGUACCUGAGUAGAACAAUACAAAUCGUCAAUCUUUUUAUUUAAAAGAUCUACCUGGUUAGACAGUAUAGUAACCGCGUCGAGGUUGAAAACACUGGCUACUUUUGUCGGCUUUGUUCUCAUGACUUGCCACUGAUAGUUAUUCAAUGACAUCUCUUCAAUAAAUUCGUAAGCCUCUUCAGGUGUUUUGUUGUUCAAAGUUCCACCGGCGGCUGCGUCGAUAAUUUGCCUUGUUGAGGGGUUCACAGCAUUGUAAAAAGUCUGAACCUGCAGUCAUAAAGGUAACCCAUGGUGAGGGCACCUUCUUAAUAUGUCAUUGUAUCUCUCCCAUGUAUCAUACAGGGUUUCUAGAUCCAUCUGGACAAAAGAGGAGAUAUCAUUCCUUAGUUUAGUCAUUUUAGCCGACGUAAAAUAUUUUAGUAAAAAUUUUUAUGCCAUUUGCUCCCAAGUUGUGAUUGACCCUCGUGGUAACGAGUUCAACCACUACUUAGCCUUAUUCCUCAAUGAAAAGGGAAAUAACCGAAGGUGAAUGGCAUCGUCAAAAAUGCAAUUGAUCUUAAAGGUGUCGCAGAAUUCCAGAAAAUUUGCCAAAUGAGUGUUUGGAUCUUCGUCGUACAAACCACCAAACUGAACAAACUAUUGUAUAAUUUGAAUCGUGUUAGGUUUCAGUUUAAAAUUAUUUGCAGUAAUAGCAGGUCUAACUAUACUCGAUUCAGCUCCUGUUAAACUAGGUUAGCAUAAUCAUACAUAGUACGAGGAGCGGGAUCCUGAUUUACUCGGUUCGCAAUAGCCAUAAGAGGUAGCAGAUUAUUAUGAUUAUCCGCAAUCUCCUCGGUUGUGGUUUGAAUAUCAUCCUCUUGCCCUUCCUCUAUGUAUUGUAGGCUUUGUCUUAUUUUUCUUCGAUUUAUACGAGCUGUGCUUUCGACCUCACUAUAAAAAACUAGAGGUCCUGACAGGUUCCUUCUAGUCAUAAACUAUAAAAACCUGCCAGAAGUAAAUAAAAGAAAAUUUAGUAAUAUAAAAAAAUAAUAUUUAAAUUGCAAUAAAAUAAAUGGCUAAAGUAAUAAAAAUUAAGCGUUCCUAAUAUCUUAGUUCCCCGGCAAUGGCCCCAAAAACUUGUUAUGCGUGAUAAGUUUUAUAUUUAUGAUUGAUCGUACUUGAAAACUAACUAUUAUCACGAUAAAGGCAAGCGUACCUAUCGAACAGUAGUAUAGUUUAUAGCAAGAUCGAAAUAUCGAACCCACAAGAACUAAAAGUACUAGUAUUAACCUUCUUGUUAUUAUCUAGCCUAAAAAUAAGGGGAUUUGCUUUAUCUAAACUAAUUAACUAAAUUAAGAAUGCACAAGAAGUAAAUUGGGGAAAUACUUUUGGGAAAACUGAUUGAUUUAAACAAUACCCAAGGAAGAAUCCACCUAGACUUCACUUGAUAUUUGACUCUGAAAUAGACAAUUUAUUCACUUGACUCGAUCCAUAGAAAUCCUUAACCUUCUUUUUAUUAUCUAGCCUAAAAAUAAGGGGAUUUGCUUUAUCUAAACUAAUUAACUAAAUUAAGAAUGCACAGGAAGUAAAUUGGGGAAAUACUUUUGGGAAAACUGAUUGAUUUAAACAAUACCCAAGGAAGAACCCACCUAGACUUCACUUGAUAUUUGACUCUGAACUAGACGAUUUAUUCACUUGACUCGAUCCAUAGAAAUCCCUAAUUUAUAUUAUUAUCUCUCUCGAGACUACCAACGUCUAACCCUAGGUGGAUUAAUUGAAAUCUCUUUCUAAUUAAAACCCCUAGUGUUGCAUUAACUCGCUCUAUAGAUUCCCCUAUUAGGUUUGACCCUAAUCCGGCAGAUUUAUGUCGCCCUAUGUCUAGGGAUGCAAUCAACUCCACUUAAUUAUGCUAGAUCUACUCUUAGAAAGUGACUUUUUCUCCUCUGAAUAAGCACAUCAAUACUUGAAUCAAUAUCCUAGAAUAUUAAAGCAAAAAUUAAGAACACAUAAUUAAGAACAAAUCAAGUAUUUAUCAUAUAAUUCAGAAAACAGUAACAAGAUUCGUCUUAGGUUUCAUCCCUCUUAGGUAUUUAGGGGAUUUAGAUCAUAUGUGUAAAAGAAAACAUCUCAGAAGAAUAAUGAUAACAAAACAUAAAGAAAACUCAAAAACCCCUGAAGGAAAUUGAAGGGAGAUCUUCAAUCUUGAAGGAGAAUCCGACUUCUGAGAUGGAUUGACCGGCUUUUUUCGAGUAAUUCCUUGCCUCCUACUCCGUGUGUUCCUCUAGGUGCCUCCUCGGGUGUUUAUAUAGGCUUUAGAAUGCUUUAAAAACCUCAAAAGUGGCCUUUUCUGAGUAGAACUGGACUUGGGCUUGACAGGGACACGGCAGUGUGCCAUGCCCGUGUGGGGUGGUUUAGGCUAUGUUAAAGUCUGCUAAAUAGACACGGGCGUGUGGUGUGGCUUAGGCCAUGUUACAAUCUUUUAAAUAGACACGAGCGUGUGGUCUACCCGUGUAAGGAAGUCUAGGCCGUGUUAAUUUCCCACAUUGACCCAUUUUCUCCGUUUUUGGCUUGUUUCUUGCUCUUUUUAAUCUCCUAUGCUCACCUAAGUAUAAAAAAUGAAAUUAAAGGAUUAGGAGCAUCAAAUUCCACAAAUCUAAUGAUAAUUCAUCCGAAAAUGUACUAAUCAUGGGAUAAAAAUAUGUAUAAAUUACGACUUAUCAAAUACCCUCAUACUUAAGCGUUUGCUUGUCCUCAAGCAAAGUCCUCAAUUCACAAUUUAGAAUUCAUUUUUCUCAACUUAUAAUUCCUAUCAAUAAUAUCUCAAAAUAAUCCAUAAGUAAUCAUACAUUGAGAAUUCAACUAGAAGAACAUCAAAGUUUCAAACAUUCCAAGUUGAGCAUUUUAUCAGGAAAACAUAGGUGUCUCCCCUCAUCUAAGUAAUCACCUUUGAUUUAAAAUAUCACAGAAUUCAACAUCCUCACUAAAGAUUCACUCAAAUCACUCGAGGUGUUUAAGGACAACAAAUUUAGCACUCAUCAAUCAAUAUGAAAAGUUAUUACCAUAGGCUUGCAUGAAAAUCAAAUCUUCACCACUAUAUAUUAAGAUGAUACAUCAAUCAAAAGGUCUUUAGAGGGUUGUAACGUGGCUUUGGUUAGGGGGUGUGGUCACAAGCUGAAAGAGAAAGUUAGAAUCGAGAUUGAAUUGAAAAAUUACCUAACUAGAAAAAUACUAAAGCUGAAAAAUUACAUUCCUAAUUAGAUGAUCCUAGAAUUGAGCUUUUUUUCAUGGUUAACAUCGUUUUAAACCAAGCAUUACAUAAUUUCGUAAUAUGCUAGACGACAAAUCUCAAUUACAGCAACUUCGUUCGUUUUUUUUUUAAGAACAAAUCAAGUAACAUAGAACUUUGCUAACUAUCAAAAAUAAAACAUAGCUAAGAAAUUUAUUCAAAUCAAAUCUUGUCAAAAAUAGGGAUCAAAUUAAUUGAGGGGAUUUCAACAAUAAUGGGUUAUGGGUUAAUAUUGAGGGUAAAUCAAUGAAUGGCUUGUUAGGCUCAAGGAGGUUCACUAAGGGUUAAAUAUGAAGGUAGACUUUUAUAGAGUGAGUGGGUUAAACCUAAGUGUCUUUAUCAUCUCGAUAAAUCAAAUCAGUGGUGUGGUCUUGAAUGAAUAAUCGAAGCAAGUUCUAGAAUAACAAAUCAAUAUUGAUGCACUCAUAGCAACAAUGAAAGUGAGCAUGAAAGAAAUAAUAUAUGCUCUAAAGGCUCAAGAUCUCACAAAAAUUAUGGCUUUUUGAUUUUAAUCCUGUGAAUUUCAACUUCAAGAUAAUACCUAAACUUGGGGAAAUAACCUAAAAAAUUUUAAUUCUCAAAAAUCAACUUAUCAUGUUUGAUUCUCUAAUUCCUUAAAGUUUAAACAAUCAAUGCAUAAAUGCCUAUGUUUUGAAUUCAAGACAUAUCAAUAAAAAUCAUAAAUUAAUCAAAAUUCAUUCUAAUAGUGAUAUGAGUGAGUCACGUGAGAAUAAGACAAAAUUCAUGGAUUUUUCUGAUAAUGAUAUAAAUAACCCCCCACACUUAAGAUGUACAUUGUCCUCAAUGUACAAAAAUAGAUUUACUGAAAAAUAUAGAUAUAAGCUCAUAAGAUAGGGAGAGAAGUGAAACUUCCUGAAUGUUAAAUGGAAUCCUUGAAUUGGAGUCAUGAAAAGUAAUUGGCUAAGACAAGGGUGAGAUUGGAGGAGGAUACUCCCGUGGUGGUAGAGGUUGUUAGUCCACAAGUCCUGUGCUAAAAGAAUAUUAUAACUGGUGGUAGCUAUGGCCGUGGUCGAGCAGGGCAUGGCAGUCGUAGAGGACAUUUUCCAAUGGAGUUGCAAAUUCCUAAGUAAUAGUGAGCUUUGGAGCUCUUCACAACUGCGAUAGAAUCAUUAACUCUUUAGGAAAUAUAAAGUAGCAUGAUUACUCAUAAAGAAAUGGCCAAAAACAUAAAUUACAUAAUAUAAAUUGUAAAACCUAAAGAUAAAAAUAAAAAUAGUAUCAAAGAGAAAUAAAAUGAAAAGUAAUUUAAAAAGAUAAAUAAAGAUAAAAGUGAAAAUAAUAAUAAUAAAUAAUAAAUAAAAGUCUUCAAAAAUCCUCAUCGCCAGAUGGUUCGCGAGGUAGGGGUGGCGAUGAGAUGUGAAGGUGCUGACAAAUCUGAUGUAAGGUUGCAUCAAUGUGAUCGAAGCGCUAAAAACAUUGCUGCUCGAAUCGAGUAAGAUGCUCAGAGAUGUCAGAGAGUGAAGCAGUCGCAUGAACUGGAAGAUGAAUAGGUGGUGGCUGAGAUGGUGGAUCCUCGUGAGGUGGAGGGACAUCAUCAGUAAUGUCCUCUGGGUCUUCCUACUCAACUGACUGGACGAGGCGGUACUGAGGAGGAUCAAAUCCACGUCGCCGCUCGAUCAUCCUCUUUUGGAUCAUACUCGAGAUGCCCUGUGGGGACAUCUGAUCGAUGAGGGUGAGGGAGGAUGAUUGUGGUGCCGUGUUGAGGAGACCAAAGUACCAUGAUAGAAAUGUCUCCCUACUUAUGCCGCUUUGUCUGAUGGCGAAUGGCGAGGGUGAUGAAAUAAGCGAGGUCGAAUACGUGCCCAUAAGCCAUGCUCCAUAAAAAAUAAGUGUCGUUAGUGCUGACGGCACUGGUACUCUCUUACCGUUCUGUUAGGGUGUGGGCUAGGAUGGCGUGUAAGUAUCUCAGUGAUGGUGCGAGAGCUAAUGCCUUGGAGCGACUAGGGUCAUAAGUGGUCGAAGCAGGGACUAGGGUUUUCCAACAAUUUGAAGGAGAAUAGUGGAUGUGACGAUGGAGACUGUCGAAGUCGUCGUCGUCCAUGAACUCCUCCGUAUAGAGUCCUAAUACGGCAUCGAACUCAGGCACGUUCAACUGGUGAACUAAACCGCUGAGACGGAACUGGACUGUUUCGAGAUCAUCAAACUCUGUCAUAAUGGUUUGAAAGUGGAAGGUCGAACAGAGUUCUAAUGUGAGAUCGAGAUAUGUCGGCUCGACGAUCUCAAAAAAGAGCCCCUAUGGAUUAGUAGUCAGGAGAGCUCGGACUGCGUCAGCGAGUUGGAUCUGCUCUAGAGCAGUCCAAUCAAUACAUCGGCCUGCGCUGAUGGGUCUUGCACGGAGUAUUUAAAAAAGUUCCUAUUGGGGUCCCAAGGGAAACUAUAAGAAGGGGUGGCGCACUUCGGCAGAUGCGAUUGCUGACAUGGCUCCAGAUCCCUUCCGUUUUUUUGAAGCGAAGGCGGCGGUUUUCUUACCACGUGGAUUUGAAAUAGUGUGCCUAUGUAUAAAAGAGUAAGUCAUCAAUAAUAAUUCCUACAUCUGCAAGCAAAGUCUAAGUAAUCCAAAAAUAAUAACUUGCUCAUAAGAUAAUAUGGACACAAAUUCAAGCAUGCUAAAAACAAAACGUGGUGAUAUUUCAUAUGAAUCAACGGGCUAAAUAUAAGAUGGACAGAGUACUAAGGCUAAACCAAGCGAAUGCUAAAGGACCAAUCAAGUGAUAGUGGAUAAUACUAUUAAUAAUCCUAAUCACGUGGGCAAAUCAAACAAGAGUAAAGAUCAAUGAAAUGACUAAGUAAAUCUUUAUCAUUAGUAAAGUUGGAAAUCACUAAACAUAGAUAAGCAUGCAAAUUAUUAACAAUGAAAACAAUUAUAAGUCAAGAAAUCAAUAAAAGAAGUAAAAUAAAAAGUAAUGGGGUGAAAGGGAAACAAACGACUGAUGAACGAUGGUGGUGCUUGACGGAAGAGGGGUGCGGUGUCGACGUGUCGCAGAUGACGGCGGUGGUGGUACUGGUGCGACAGUGGGGUGUGGGAUAAGUGAAGUAAGGAAGAAGAAGAUGGGAAUGUGUAGGGAAUGAAGGACAAGAGAGAAGAUUUUGAUGUGUAUAGAAGAAAAAGGGAAAAGAAAUGGUGGAUUUUGGGAGCUUAGGUAGUGACGGCAGCGGAGAGGCUGGCGGCUAGGGUUAAGGUAUUGGGGAAGGGGAUGAUGAAUAGUGGGGGUUUAUACAGAUUUUGGGGCACACGGCCAUGGGGCACGCCUGUGUGCCCUUAUUUCAGCCCGUGUGUUUCGUGGUUUUCGAAUUGGGGCGCGUCUGGAAUUCGGCCCAUGCCCGUGUGCUUUGGGCGUGUUGGUGCACACGAUCGUGUCGCACGGCAGUGUCCUGCUUCGUUUGCUUCUCCCAUGCCCGUGCACAAAUGCGCACGCCCAUGUUAUUUUCACAGUUUCAACCACGGUUGGUAGGCACGGGCAUGUCGCACGCCCGUGUUAAUUUCUCAGUUUCUACCAAGGAUUAUAGACACGGACGGGUCGCACGCCCAUGUUGAUUUGGUAGGAUUGCUCACGGCCAUGUCGCACAGCUAUGGCAACAUAUCGAAUCCCGUGUUUUGGGAAAAAUUUCGCUCUGUUUCCACACGGCCGUGUCGCCGCCCGUUGUAUAAGCACGGCCUUAGGCACGCCCGUGUGCCUGGCCGCGUGGGUUUGGAAAACCUGUGUUCAAGGACUCAGUUAAUGCUUUAGAUGUUAAAAACUAAAAUUUAAAGAAAUCAAUACUGUUGUGCUCGGGUUGCCUCCCCAGAAGCGUUUAUUUAGAGUCUAAGCUCGACUUACCUCUUUGUUCGUGGUCAUGGUGGUGCGAGGAGUUUACACUCCUCAUUCCUACUAUCGAUUUCAUCGAAAUAAGGUUUUAGACGAGUAUUAUUUACCUUAAAGUGUCGAAUUUGGACUGAGUUAUCUCGACUGUACCGCAUGGGAAAAUACUAAGUACCGUAAAAGGGAUUGCUCUAUUUGGUUCAAAAGUGGUAAUAUGAGGGUCUGCCGCAUCUAAUAGUACUUUGUCCCCAACCUUAAGUUGAUUUGAUAAAACAUUUAGUCCGUCAUGGCGUGGUUCUGGUUUAUCGUGUGUUCUUGGUUUCUGUGUACGUCAUUCAUCUAGUUCCUCGAUCUGUAGCCUUCUCUCUUCAUAGAUGGGUCAUUUGUUGUUACUUGAACAUGGCUCAUGUAUGCUCUUCGAACGUGUUUCCUGCAAAGAAGGUUGCACCCCAUGAUCAGUAUUAGUAACAUUAUUUAUACAACCACCCUCAAUAUUCGAUGUGUUACUCGAACUACAAGCUUGAAGAGUGAUUGUUUCAUCACCCACAUGAAGUGUGAGUUCACCUGUACCAACAUCAAUAAUAGUUCUAGCAGUUGCUAAAAAGGGUCAUCCUAAAAUCAAAGGUACGUCACUAGCCUCUUCUAUGUCUAAAACAACAAAAUCAAUUGGGAAUAUAAAUUUGUCAAUUUUAACAAGUACAUCUUCAAUAAUACCCCUAGGAAUCUAAUUGUUUUUUUCUUCCAAUUGAAUGCUCAUCCUAGUUUGAUUGGGUUUCCCAAGACCUAGUUCUUUAAACAUUUUAUAGGGCAUGACAUUAAUACUAGCCCCUAAAUCAGCCAAAGCAUUGUUAACAUUUAAACUACCAAAUUAAACAAUGAAUUGUAAAGCUCCCUGGAUCUUUCAACUUGUUGGGUAGCAUAUUCUAUAGAAUGGCUAAGCAAACUGCAUUUAGCUCCACAUGCGACGCCUCAUCCAACUUUCCCUUAUUUGCUAAAAGCUCCUUUAAAAAUUUAACUACGUUUGGCAUCUGCAAAAGAGCUUCAAUAAACGGUAAGUUAGUAUGUAAUUUCUUUAAUAAUUUAAGGAAUUUACAAAAUUGUUCGUUCGUAUGGUCUUUCCUUGUCGCUCUGGGGUAUGGCACUCGGGGUUUGUACUUUUUACUUAUCAGUUUUCGCUCAGUGUGGUCCACCUCAUCCUUACCUUUACUUACCAUAAUUCCUUGUCUCGGUUCUGGUUCAAGUUCAACUAACCCUUUUUUAUUUCGAACGGUAAUCGCAUUAAGCUGUUCUCUUAGGUUAGAUUCAGUGUUACUCGGCAAGCUACCUUGUGGUCGUUCAGAAAUCAAUUUAGCAAGCUGGCCUAUCUGAGUUUCAAGCCCUUGGAUCGACACUUGUUGAUUCUUAAGUGCUGUUUCGGUAUUCUGAAAAUGGGUUUCUGACAUCGAGAUAAAUUUUGUUGGCAUCUCUUCAAGGUUCGGCUUCUUUUCCUGCUGGUAAGGUGGUUGUUGAAAACUUGAGGGAUGCUGUGGCCUUUGAUUUCCCUGGCCACCCCACGAGAAGUUGGGAUGGUUCCUCCAACCUACAUUAUAAGUUUUACUGUAUUGGUUAUUUUAAGGUCUAGAAUUAUUGUUACCCAUAUAUUAAACUUGUUCCUCCUCGGUGCUAGGGUUGAAGGAUUGAUAUUCUGUGUGUACUCCUCCUCCAUUUGAAUCGCAGCUCAUCACUGGAUGUACCUAAGUAGAACCAUACAAACCGUCAAUCUUUUUAUUUAAAAGUUCUACCUGGUUAGACUGCAUAGUAACUGCAUCGAGGUUGAAAACACCGGCUGCUUUUUUCGGCUUUGUUCUCAUGACUUGCUACUGAUAGUUAUUCAGUGACAUCUCUUCAAUAAAUUCGUAAGCCUCUUCAGGUGUUUUGUUGUUCAAAGUUCCACUGGCGGCUGCAUCGAUAAGUUGCCUUGUUGAGGGGUUCACACCGUUGUAAAAAGUCUGAACCUGUAGCCAUAGAGGUAACCCAUGGUGAGGGCACCUUCUUAAUAGGUCCUUGUAUCUCCCCUAUGCAUCAUACAGGGUUUCUAGAUCCAUCUGCACAAAACAGGAGAUAUCUUUCCUUAGUUUAGCCGUUUUAACUGCCGGAAAAUAUUUUAGUAAAAAUUUUUUGGUCAUUUGCUCCCAAGUUGUGAUUGACCCUCGUGGUAAUGAGUUCAACCACUGUUUAGCCUUAUUCCUCAAUGAAAAGUGAAAUAACCGAAGGCGAAUGGCAUCAUCAGAAAUGCCAUUAAUCUUAAAGUUGUCGUAAAAUUCCAGAAAAUUUACCAAAUGAGUGUUUGGAUCCUCGUCCUGCAAACCAUCAAACUGAACAAACUGUUGUAUCAUUUGAAUCAUGUUAGGUUUCAGUUCAAAAUUAUUUGCAACAAUAGUAGGUCUAGCUAUACUCGAUUCAGCUCCUAUUAAACUAGGGUUAGCAUAAUCACACAUAGUACGAGGAGUAGGAUCCUGAUUUACUUGGUUCGCAAUAGCCAGAGGAGGUAGCAGAUUAUUAUGAUUAUCCGCAAUCUCCUCAGUUGUGGUUUGAAUAUCGUCAUCUUGCCCUUCCUCUCUGUAUUAUAGGCUUCGCCUUAUCUCUUUUUAGUUUCUGCGAGCUGUGCUUUCGAUCUCACUAUCAAAAAGUAGAGGUCAUGACGGGUUCCCUCUAGUCAUAAACUAUAAAAACGUGCCAGAAGUAAAUAAAAGAAAAUUUAGUAAUAUAAACAAAAUAAAAUUUAAAUUGCAAUAAAAUAAAUGGCUAAAGUAAUAUAAAUUAAGCGUUCCUAAUAUCUUAGUUCCCCAGCAACGACCCCAAAAACUUGAUGUGUGUAAUAUCCUGAUUUUGGGCCUAGUCGGAAUAGUGGUUUCGUGACCACAAAAUCCUAGAUAGAAAUAAUGAUUUUAUGAUUAUUUUGAGGUCUAUGAUAUGAUUUCAUGAUUGUGUGAAAAUUUCGUGAAGAAAUUUUAUGCAUAAAGUGCUUAAAUUGAAAUUAGGGACUAAAUCGAAUAAUUUGCAAAACUUGCAUUCUAGAAGUUUCUAGUAUCAAAUUGUUUUGAAAUAUUAAUUAGGAGGUCUUAAAUAGCAAUUUUACCAAUUUAUAAGUCUAUGGACAAAAAUUGGACAUGGAUGGAAUUUUUGGAAAGUUUAGUAGUAAGGGCAUUUUGGUCACUUAGGGGUAAAAUGAAUUAAAAUACAAAAUUAAAAGCCAAUUUUGCUCAUCUUCAACCCCAUGGCCGAAUAUACCAAGGGAGACUCCAUGGCUAGGGUUUUCAAGCUUCCCAAGCUCAAUUGUAAGUCCGUUCUAACCCCGUUUUUCAAGUUCUUUACAUUUUUGGAGUCCCGGUAACUUGAUUUAGCUUAUGCUAGCAGUAAUUCAACCUAGGGUUCAUAUUUGGAAAAAUACCCAUAGGUAAAAUUUUUGUAUUCUGGUGUUUUAUGAUACAAUAUGAGGUUUUAAAUUAUGUUAGACGACUUGUACUACUCGGUUUUAAGCAAAAACGAGCAAAAGGGCUUAAUUGGUAAAAAUACCUAAUAGUCAUAAGUACAUGUUAGAGUGAGAAUUUGAUGUUUCCAUAGAAGGGAAAAAUGAUCAGCAUGUCAUAAAACAUAAGAAAAUAGGCUGAAGUUUAAUUUACGAGCUUUGAGGCAAAAGUGUAAAUAUGCAAAAGUUUAGGGGCAAAUGAUUUUGGGUCAAUUUGAAUAAUGUGAUUCCUAAUUAGACUAUAUUUUAAAUGAUAGAGCAAGGAAAACUAAAAUUCGGGCUAAAAUGGAAAAAUACCAACUUGUGGACGAAAUGGUAAAAGUAGCCAUUUUCGCAUACGAGGUAAGUUCAUAUGUAAAUGUUGGUGACAUAGUUAUUAUUUUAAAUGUUUUAAUGUUAUUUAAAUGAUAUGAUAAUUAUUAUGAAAUAUUAUACUGUGAUAAUUGUUUGUUAAUAUGUCAAAUUAUGUGAUAUACUUGGAAAAUGUGAAAUACUACCGAGUAUCGGUAACGGCAUUCCGUAGAAGAUGGUUGAGACACAUGAUUGGGAAAAAGGUCCCGUUGAACCUUAGGAAUGGAUUAGGAUACAAGUGACAUAUCACUAGGAUGUUUGGGCAUCCGAACUCGUUGAGUGGAGUCCGAGUUCACUUAUGGAUGCGAAUGUCCGAACUCGUUGAGUUGAGUCCGAUUUUGAGAGAUGUAACUAGGCAUCCGAGCUCGUUGAGUUGAGUCCAAGUUCACUUAUGGAUGAGAACGCCCGAGCUCGUUGAGUUGAGUCCGAGUUCAUUUAUGGGCGGGUUACAUGGUAGCUUGGCUACAUAUGUGGCACUUAUGUGCAAACUUUCCAUGUAUCCGAAUUAUAUUCCGAUGUGUUCAACGGGUAAAAUUCUACUCAAAUGGAGGAAUAAUCAAGAUGAAAGGGACGUAUUGGUAAGUGUUGUGAAAUGAAUACUUUGAACAUAUAUGUACUUAACCCUCGGGUUGAAAACUCGAUAUAACAACAAUAUGGUAAAAUGAUAAGUGAAAAUGUGAUAUGAAUGUCUCGGUGAUGAUUAUGCAAAUGAUGUUUUAUGUUUGCUUAUAUAGUUGUGUUACUUGCUAUUUGCAUGUGAGCUUACUAAGCAUUUAUGCUUACUUUCUCAUUUUCAUUCCUUGUAGUGUUGACAAGCCAGCUCGGAAAUCGGGAACGGUCGGAGGCAUGCUCACACUAUUUAUAUACCAUCUUGGCAUAAUGGCUUGCAUAUUUUGAGUAUGGCAUGUAUAGCAUUAUAAUCAUUUUGUAUAUAUGGUUUUAUGAUAUGGUUAUUGAGUGGUAUGGAAAUGCUUGGUAAUGAUUAGCCAUUCAUGAUCAUAUUUGGUGUUAUGUAUGCUAAAUUGCUAGCUAAUUCAUGGAAACCAUGAAAUAGGUAAAAUUUACCAUAAAAUAGAUUCAGACAGCAGCAGUGACGUGAGUUUGAAAAAUUAUUAAAAAUAGUAGACAUACAAUUAGAUGAUGAAUAAAUAUGGAAUUCAAUAAUUAUGAGUCUAUUUUCAUAUGGAUGGAACAAAAUAGGUAUAUGAGUUAUAUUUUAUGAAAUGUUUAAUUUUUUGUGAGACAGGGCCAGAGCGAUUUCUGGAUACCCUGUUCUGAAUUUGAAAAUUCACCAUAAACUGUUCAAAGAUAAUUAGAAGUCAUGAUUUAUAUGUACAGAUUCCUUAUUGAGUCUAGUUUUAUUAGAAAUAAACGGCAUAGUCAUUGAAGCUCUGUACAGGGAGAUAUCUGAUUUGUAAUACACAGAGGUUAGAGUAGUCGAACCCUGAAACAGGGGAGACUUUAACUAAUAAACUGUACUAAUUGGCCCGACCAAAAAUUAUAGAAAAAAAUUAAUAGAUAGAUAUAUGAGUCUAGUUUCAGUAAAAAUUUACAGAAUUGGAUUUUGAGUUUCGGAACUCGAGAUAUGAUUUUUAAAGAGACUGUGAUGCAGUUAGUCAGCUUGUCUAGAAAUUUUAAAAUGAAUUGUAUGAGCUGUUUAAGUAAUGAAUUAAGUCUGUUAACACCUCGUGUUCGACUCCGAAAACGGUCUCGGGUACGGGGUGUUACAAUGUGCAUGAGAAGUUUUAUAUUUAUGAUUGAUCAUACUUGAAAACUAAAUAUAAUCACGAUAAAGGCAAGCGCACCUAUCGAACAGUAGUAUAGCUUAUAGCAAGACCGAAAUGUCGAACCCACAAGAACUAAAAGUACUAGUAUUAACCUUCUUUUUAUUAUCUAGCCUUAAAAUAAAGGGAUUUGCUUUAUCUAAACUAAUUAACUAAACUAAGAAUGAACAGGAAGUAAAUUGGGGAAAUACUUUUGGGAAAACUAAUUGAUUUAGACAAUACCCAAGGAAGAAUCCACCUAGACUUCACUUGUUAUUUGACUCUAAACUAAACUAUUUAUUCACUUGACUCGAUCCAUAGAAAUCCCUAAUUUAUAUUAUUAUCUCUCUCAAGACUAACAACGUCUAACCCUAGGUUGAUUAAUUGAAAUCUCUUUCUAAUUAAAACCCCUAGUGUUGCAUUAUUUCACUUUAUAGAUUUCCUUAUUAGGUUUGACCCUAAUCCGGCAGAUUUAUGUCACCCUAUGUCUAAGGAUCCAAUCAACUCCGCUUAAUUAUGCUAGAUCUACUCUUAGACAGGGACUUUUGCUCCUCUGAAUAAGCACAUCAAUACUUGAAUCAAUAUCUUGGAAUAUUAAAGAAAGAAUUAAGAACACAUAAUUAAGAACAAAUCAAGUAUUUAUUAUAUAAUUCAGAAAAUAGUAACAAGAUCCUCUUAGGUUUCAUCCCCCUUAAGUAUUUAGGGGAUUUAGUUCAUAUGUGUAAAAGAAAACAUCUCUGAAGAAUAAUGAUAACAAAACAUAAAGAAAACCCAAAAACCCCUGAAGGAAAUUGAAGGGAGAUCUUCAGUCUUGAAGGAGAAUCCGGCUUCUGAGAUGGAUCGAUGGGCUUUCUUCGAGUAAUUCCUUGCCUCCUACUUCGUGUGUUCCUUUAGGUGCCUCAUCGGGUGUUUAUAUAGGCUUUAGAAUGCUUCAAAACCCUCAAAAGUGGUCUUUUCCGAGUAGAACUAGACUUGGGCUCGACAAGGACACAGCCGUGUGCCACGCCCGUGUGGGGUGGUUUAGGCCGGGUUAAAGUCUGCUAAAUAGAAACGGGCGUGUGGUGUGGCUUAGGCCGUGUUACAAUCUAUUAAAUAGACAUGGGCAUGUGGUCUACCCGUAUGAGGAAGUCCCGGCCGUUUUGAUUUCCCACAUUGACCCAUUUUCUACGGUUUUGGCCCGUUUCUCGCUCUUUUUACUCUUCUAUGCUCACCUAAGUAUAAAAAAUGAAAUUAAAGGAUUAGGAGCAUUAAAUUCCACAAAUCUAAUGACAAUUCAUCCAAAAAUGUGCUAAGCAUAGGAUAAAAAUAUGUAUAAAUUACAACUUAUCAUACGUAUUAUAAAAAUAGAUAUAACCUAGUAUGAGUUUUUUUUCGUAUUAAGUUUAUAUAAGUUUUUAUAGUUAAAGCUACAGACUAUUUGGAUUGUGAUUUCAGAUAUUAUAAUGUCGAUACUAAUUAUGAAAAUAGAAAAUGUUUUCUUACAUCCGUUCGUGAGGCAUGAUAUCAUUUGAGAGAAUGGUGCUAGACACAAGCAUAACAAACAGUUGGCGAACUCUUUUAUUUGAAGCAUUCAAGGCUUCAAAAUGUGGUUGAGAAGACAUUUGUUCUAAAAAAUUAUUUCUCAUAUUAACAACAUCACCUUUGUAUAACAUAAAAAAAAUUAGACCAUACUAGCAUGUUGCAUAUUUCAUAACUUCAAUCAUAGGUGGAAAUGAGAGAUCCAUACUUCAAAGAGUUCAUGGAAGAAGAAGAUCUUGAUAAUCUUAAUUAUGCAGAUUCAAAUUUAGAUAAUGAUGAGCUCAGUCAAAGACCAACAGAUGAUGAUAAGAAGAAUAUGCUAAAUAUUAAAGAGGAAAUAGAGAGGAAAUAACUUUAUAAAAUGAACAAGAAGAAUUAAAUAAAAUUGCACAUGGUUUAUUUUUCUAGUUUUUUUGUUAAUAAUCAUAUUAUCAACUACUUUUUCAGACUAACACAAUACAUAUGAUUAUUUGAUUUUAAUUUUUGUUACUUUUUUAUAAAUUAAUUUUAUCAUACUAAUAAAUUUUAUAGUAAUUAAUAUUUUUUAAAAAUGAAAUUUAUGUAACUCUAUAGUUAAAAUUUGUACUACCAAACAUUACAUAAAGAAUUACGAUGUAAUUACUCUCUGUCACCCAAACAUGUCUAGGAAAUUACAAUUCAUUGUAAAUACAAGAGAGUGUAAUUAUUAUCUUACUAAUUACAUUUUCAUUCAAUUAUUUUGCGAUGUCCAAACAAACUCUAAUUGUAUACAUAUUAAUAUCUAUUAAUAAUGUUGUUGAUUGAGUUGGUGUCACAAAUUAACUCAACAUCAACUUAAUAUUGACGAGAACACCAUGUUAAACAAUUGUAAUCAUUUAGUAUUCUUAGUACGAUGUAUUUAUAUGUUUAAAUUUCAUUUUACUUACAAUUUGAUCUAAUUUUUUGUUAAUAUGAUGUAUUUCUGUGUUUAACUUUUUUUUACUCAUGAUUUAAUCUAAUUUUUUAUUUUAAUAUAGUACAUAUUUCAUGUGCUAUUAUGAUUACUUAGUUUCAAACCAUAUGUUUCAUUGUUUAUUGUAUGUUAUUUUUAAACAAAUAUUUGUGUUCUAAUCCGUGGUUUCCAUACACAUACAUGUGUGAUAAAAUUUUUAGUAAGAACCUAUAAGGUUUGAGCGGAUUUUUUUUUUUAAGAAUUGAGCGAAUUGUUGAAUUUAUAUCAUUUUGUAAUAUUCUUUUAAACCAAAAAAGAAAGGGUAGACUACACUCAAGAUCACUAAACUACUAAUAAAUUUACGUUUUGAUGACUCAACUUCAAAAAGUUACAAAAUGGUUAUUAAACUAUUCAAAAAUUUUCAUGUCAUUGAAUUAUUUGAACCUUUUUAUUUAAACCAUUGAGUUGUUAAGGUUUUUUUCUAAAGUCUGACUAGCGAGCUCCAAGCAACAAUUCAAUGAUAGGAACAAUGGAUCAGUACCCUUACUUAGAUCCAAGUCGAUCUGACAAUCAAUAUCGAAGAUCGAAAAAGAAAUUUGAUUGGAUUAUGGUUCAUAGAUUUGUGAUGUUUAAAGUUUUUCAUGAAAAAAACUAAAUUGUAAAAAGGGAGGGGAAUGAAACCUUUUGAUCAGUGUAAGCAGUGCAAAUAGAGAAGGCCAUACAACAAAAUAUUAAUAAUCCAUUAACUUGAAUGAAAAUUUUUUGUAUAAUUCAAUGAUCAUCUUAUAACUUUCUGAAGCUGAGUGACCAAAAUAUAAAUCUAUUAAUAGUUUAGUGAUUUUAGUGUAGUUUACCUAGAAAAGGAAAAGAAAUGGCGGCAUAGCUUUGUUUUUCUUAACUUGUCUGCCGCUGCUAGAUGCCUACUCUUGAUAGGGCUAUUAGGAGUGAGGCGUGGCUCAAUUCAUUUCCAAAUUAUUUCGUGACCCACUUGCCUAGACUCAAGUCUAAUCACAAGCCUAUCUUUCUUUUGCUUCGAUCUGAGCUUUAUCCUUCUAGGGGUCGUCGUUUUCGUUUCUUGGCGGGAUGGAUUAAGCAUACAGAUUUUGAAGAAUAAUUGGAAUUUUGCUGGUUUUAUGUCUAGCUCACUUUCUAAUUUCACAAGCCAACUUAAGAAGUAGAAUAAAGAGGUAUACAGCCAUGUUGGGCUACGAAAAAGAGUCUGAUUCAGAAACUUCAUUUGAUUUAGAGUAGGUUGAAUUAUUCUCAGUCUGACCAUUUAUUUUAGUUGGAAUUAUAGACUAGAGAGGAAUUGGAAAAUGUACUGUAUCAUGAGGAGCUUAUUUGGAAACAAAAGGCGAGGUGGGAUUGGAUUUCUCUGAGAGAUUGUAAUACUAAAUUCCUUUAUAGGUGCACCCUUAAAAGGAGAAAGUAUAAUCAGAUUACGGCUUUAAAAAUGAGGAAGGAGAGUGGAUUUUUUAUGAUGGGGAUCUACGUCAAGAGGCGUCAUGUUUUUUCAAAAAUUUAUAUGGAGAAGACUCGGGGCCGAUCAGAAGUCUUCCUACUAGUUCUUUUCUGAAGCUUGAAGAUGAUGAGAUCCAAAUGUUAAGCAAACCAGUUUCAACUGAGGAAAUAAAAUCUGCCCUGUUUGAUAUAGUCCUCUAAAGGUGCCGGGGAGUGAUGGAUUACAUGCCCUCUUCUUUUAGAGUUAGCGGGAGCAGAUUGGGGAUUUUGUUUGUACCUAGGUCAAGAAUUUUUUUUUAUGGUUAAACGAUCAAUCCAGAGCUAAAUAAUACUCUUUUAGUCCACAUUCAAAAUCCCAAAUCCAGAAUGUUUUCCCAAUUUUUAUCAAUCAGCCUUUGUUCAGUUCUUUACAAGUUGGUAAUGGAAAUUAUUAUCAAUAGUUUCAAGCUAGUAUUUUCAAUAAUUAUUGGUCAAGAAUAGACUGGGUUUAUUGAGUAAAGGAGUACUAUGGAUAAUAUUGUAACACCCCUAACCCUUGUCUGAUGUCGAAACAAGUUACGAAGCAUUACCGGACUUAUAAAUCAAACAAUCAUACGUUUCAUGACCAAUUCUCUAACAAAUUAAAAUCCAUUCAUAAACAUUCAUAUAGUCCCUAAUACGAGCCCUGAUGUCGAAACAAGUUACGAAGCAUUACCGGACUUAUAAAUCAAACAAUCAUACGUUUCAUGACCAAUUCUCUAACAAAUUAAAAUCCAUUCAUAAACAUUCAUAUAGUCCUUAAUACGAGCCCUCGAGGCCCCAAAUAGACAUUAAAAAUAGUUCGAGACUAGACCGAGUACUCAAGAAAUUUUUAGAAAAACAUUGAAAUUUUUCAAAGUGCAAGGGACACACGCCCAUGUGGCCAAGCCAUGUGUCUCACACGACCAAGAGACACGCCCAUGUCUCAGGCCAUGUGGGCAUUCGAAAUAGGGACACACGGUCGUGUCCCAGCCGUGUCCGACCCCAUGUAACUCAAUGAGUUGGGUCAUACGACCAACCCACACACCCGUGUGCCAGGCCGUGUGCUAGGCCUUGUGAAGUUACUGACUUGAUUUUUAAAGAAGUUGUGUCACUAGAACGAUAGAAAUGUGCAAGUGUACACAAUCGCAACAAGUAAUAAAGUGACAAGUAAAUGUCGAGUUAUCAUACCCAUAGGGACUGUGAAAAAAUUUAUUUAUGAAAUUAAUUUAAAAACACUUUGGUGAAGGAAAAUAUUUUGAUUUGAGGAGGUGAUUAAAAACUAGGAUUUUAGCUAAGUAAAAUAAAUAAAAAUGAAAUAAAAGUUUCAAUGCACUAUUUCAAAAGAUGAUUAAUUUUAAUCUAAAUGACUUAAUUAUGCUAGAUUAAUUGCAUUUCUUAACUUAGAAUUAUUAAACUCAUGUUCAUGUUGUUACGAAUAAAUUCACGGCAACUCGGUAAUUUUCUAACCUAUGAACAUACUUACCUACCAAAAUUCAUUUAUCUCUUAACUAUAUCUCUAUGUCAAUUCAACCGAUUAAACAAAUUCUAAUAAGCAAAUGUGUUAAUGUACAUACAUACUUAUGAACUUAAAAUAAUCUCUUAUACAUAUCUCUAUGCCAAUUCAAAAAAUUAAUUCAAUCUCAUAAGCACAUAAAAGAUUACGUGACGUAACAAUGUAUUUCUACCUUGAAACAGUUUAAUCACAAUAAUCUUGCAAGUUAUGCAAAGCUAAUGUAUGCCUAGAUACCGUUGUUAAUUUAACCCUCAGCUACCUUAGAUGAUUAAACAUGCAAUGAUUAAGUAUCGUGUCAAUUAAUUACAAUUUCAAUUUUUUUAAAUAAUUAAUUCAUUAGUUUCCUUACAAUAGUAAUGCAAGAAUAACUUAGUCAUGGUUUUACUUAAUCAAACAUCUUACUGAGGCCUAUAACAACACAAACAUAAUUUUAAUAAAUUAAAUAGACAAAAUGCAAUCAACCUAACACGAAUUAAAUUUAAGCCUAUUAAUUAAGUUGAACAUAUCGAAAUCACAAAUAUUCAUAGACAUGUUCAUUAUAACAACAAAAAAAUUAAAAGGAUAGGGAACAAGAAUCAAAUCAAGUGUUUUCUCCGUGGCUUGACUAGUUUGCUCCACUCCUCCUUCUCCACUUGUUCUUGUCGAACCGAGGCUUCUACGAACACUUGAAUGCUACUCCAAAUGUUGGUUGAUUGAAUCUUUUUCAAGAGGUGAAAUCAGCAAGGGAAUAGGGGAAGAGAGUGAAAAAAAUAGAAGGGAAUGAAGAGAGAAAAAUGAGAGAGAAGUGAAGAGAUGAGAAGGGUUGAGAUGUUGUGCUUGAAGUGAGCAGCAAAUGGGGUAUUUAUAGGUUGAGAUGGCUGCUAAAAUUAGCAAAAAUCAGCAGCCAUAGAGUCCCCCCAUGGCCGGCCACACAUGUGGCAAGUUUGAAGAAUUCAAACUUGCUAUUUUAAGGUAGGGGCAAAUCUAGAAAGGCACAAAUAGUGAAGCGGUUUGAAUGCAAUUUGAAGGAGUCUUCAAGGGCCAUUUUGCAAGUUAAAUAAUCAGCCAAGCAAGCUGAUUGGGUCAGCAUGUCGAACGAUUUUGGGCUGCCCAGUGCUAGGUUGGAUCUGUUUUCUCAGUUCAUAUAACGCCCCUCACCCAUAUUCAACACAAAAAUAGGGUUACAGAGCAUUACCUGUAACACCCCACACCCAAGUCCUACAUCGGGAUGGGACACGAGACGUUACCACACUUAAACACAUGCAUUCCAACGUUUUUGAAUCAUCAAGACUUAAUCAAAUUUAAAACUUUAACUAAACUCCUUAACAAAGGCCUACAAGGCCUUAAACGUCCAUUGGGAAUCACUCGAGACCGUCUCGGGUUCUUGACCGACUGAAAAAAAUUUACCCUUGAAAUAGGGAACACGCCCGUGUGUUCAUUUUGACACGGUCGUGUUGAUGGCCCGUGUGACACACAUGGCCUAAGCCUCUAGGGACACGCUUGUGUCCCACGCCCGUGUGAAUUAAAUUCUAAAUUCUAACCUAUAAGGGUUUUCACACGGCCUGACACAUGCCCGUGUUUAUAGCCCGUGUCUCUCACACGGCCAUGACACGCCCAUGUCCUAGCCCAUGUCUAAAAACCUUGACAUUCUGUUUCUGACGUCAGCAUCCAAUAAGGGGCACAUGGCCAAGGCACAUGCCCGUGGCCAAAGGCCGUGUGCUCCACACGGCUGAGACACAUAGCCGUGUCUCUACCCGUAUGUUUACUACCAUGCAUUCUGACUUGAAAUUUUUACGUGCAGAGGACAUACGGCAGGACAACACGCCCGUGUGUCUACCCGUGUGAACAAAAUAAGGCUAUUUACCAAGCCUCUUUGCCACCCUUACUAACACUAACCUACACAAGAUCAACCAAACCAAUACAAGCAUAAUAUAUAUAACGAAUUCAACCACAACCGUUUGAAAUUUUCAUCAAAUGCAUGUAAUAAUAGUAAUUAAUAUUAGCCAACACAUGUGGCCAAUCGAACAAGACAUAAACUAAAGAUUCGAGUCACUAUACAUGCCAAAAAUCAAAAUAUUUGAACUAGCUAUACCAAAAGCUUCAAGUGAUAGUGUGAUCACUGUCUCCGACGUCUCUUGAUCCCCAAUACUAGCUUGACAGCACUAUAAGAAAAUGGAAAAGAAGGGGGUAAGCAUAAAGCUUAGUAAGCUCACAUACAAAUAAUAAACAACAUAACUCAUAAAUUAAAAUAAGGAAAAGUUUCAUAAGCUUAACUUUCUCAUACACACUCUUACCACAAGUAUUUAACAUAUCAAAUUCUCUACUCAAAAGUUUUACGUACAUACCUGUACCAAACUCGUAAUACAAUUGCAUAAUUCCCAAUGUUAACUUAGUCACCGAAUAACUACUAACUUACUCGUUGAACACUAGGAAUAUUAUUGGAUACUCGGAAAUCUUACACAUAACGCGUUAUAUGUAGCCACAUGCUACCUUAUUUAAUACACCACAUGUUGCUCGUUCUCGAACUAAUCACAAGCCUGUUCACACAAGCUGACAGUCGAGACGUAACUACACGAGCUGCUCACACAAGCUGACAGGUACCCGCAACACAUGCCAGGUUACCCAGCCACCGGUAGAACGUACAUGACUAGCGCCCGGAUUUAUAAAAUCACACAUCACAUAUACAAAUGAGCUCAUAACCACAUAGUUCCUAGUGACAUGUCACUUUGUAUCCUAAUUUUAUUCCUAAAGUUCAAACGAGAUUUUUCUUGUAGACUUACCUUCAACAAAUUUGGUCAUAUAAGCAGUUACAUAUUUUCAUGAUAAAAGGGUUACCACAAAAUCCCGCAUAAUAAUAAAAAGAGUAAUGUAACUUACCUUCAAGUGUAGAAAUUACAAUUCAUGCAUCAAUUAAGCAUUUAUACAUGAUUCACAUUGUAUUAUUUACAUGUGCACUUACAUCGGUACAAAAUUUGUAGAAACGAGUCUAGUCUUCGUACACAUUAUUUUUCCCCCGGUCAAGGUCCGUUCCUCUUUUUCUUAAUCUAAAAGGAUAAAAAUUCACUAGAUAAGUCCACAUAAUCAAAAAUUCACAUUCUUGGAAAAUUGACCAUUUUUCCCCCCAAACUUUUACAAAAUGACCAUUUUACCCCUAGGUCCAAAAUUCUAUUUUUAUCGAAUUUCCUUCUUAACCAAGCCUAACCUACCAUUUAUCUCUCUUAUGACAACCCUAAAUUUCAAAUAUUUCACAACAUUACUAUCUAUUUUAUAAACUUUGCAAAAUGGUCCUAUUAGGGUUUUCAUGAGAAAUCCUUUCACCAAAGUUGUUCAUUUCACCACUAUGAUUCAUUUCCUUCCAUAAAAUUCCAGAAAACAACAUAAAUUCUCUCAUGGUAAAAUUCUAGACUUUCAACCAUUUUGCAAAAUAGUCCCCUCAUUUGAAAGCUCAUGUUACAAGGGUUCUAAAAAUGCAAAAAUCAUCAAGAAAGACCAUCAAAAUCACUUACUUGUGAGGGCUACAAGUUGCUGAAAUUUCAAGCUUCCAAAAACCCCAUUUUUGCUGAAAAAUUUUGGUAGAGAAUAAGGGAAAAAUGAAAAAGAUUAUGGCUAGACACUAGGGUAAUAUUUUACUAUGUAAUAAGUCACCUAACCAUUGACCAUGCUAAUUUCUUGUCCCCUGUGGCCGGCCAUCAGCUACUAAAGGGUCUAUUACCCUCAAUUUUGGUUCUCUAGCUAUUAACACUUUUAACUAUCAAAAUAGGACUUUGUACUUUAUGCGAUUUAGUCUUUUUUCGCAAUUAAGGUCACAAUCGCUAAAAUUAGCUCAUCCAAAUUUUCAUACACUUAUAUAAUUAUACUAUAACACAUAAAAUAAUAUUAAAAAUAAUUCUUUGACCCCGAAUUAGUGGUUCUGAAAUCAUUGUUCCGAUCAACCCCAAAAUCAAAAAAUGUUUAAAAUAUAAAAAAUUACAAAAGUGAAAAAAAUUAUAGAAAAUUAAAAAAUAUAUUAUUAAAAGUUAUUCAAAAAUUAAUAUAAAAAAUUAAAAAAAUAUAAAAUAGAGAAAAAAAAUGUUUACAAUUUUAUAUACAAAUAGUCUCUAUUGUCAUUUGCCUUCUCAACCCAUUUCCCCACCUUAGUUUACAUCUCAAAUCACAUUCUUGUCAUCAACGAUGGACAAAGGGGCAUAAAGUUUGGAGAGGUUUGUGAUGGACGAACAUAGCAUAUAGUUUUAGGGAUCAAAAAAUAUUUCAUAAUUUUUAAUAGAUAUUGUAUUGUUAACCAUAGUUAGUGUGUUAAUGGAAAACCGUUAAUUUUUUAUAUUAUUAAUAUAUUUUACAAUUUUAUUUUUCUUAUAAUAUUUUAAAAAAUUAUUUAUAUUUCUAAUAAAUUUCUAUAUUUUAAAACAAAUCAUAAUUUUUACAAUUUUUCUAUAUUUUCAUAAUUUAUAUUUUUUAUAAUUUAUAUUUUUAAUAUAUUUAAAUUUAAAUUUUAUAAUUUAUAAUAAUUUUUAUAAUUUUCUAUAUUUUAUAAUUUUUUUAAUUUGUAGAGUCCUCUUGUGAAGUGCUUCUGAUACGUGGCAAUUGUGAAUGCAAGAAGUUUCCUACAUGUGAGUCCGUCUGGUGUUUGCAGCCGGGGGAGAAGACGAUAGGAACCAAUGAAUAACGUCUGUCCUGGUUUAUCCCAUGUGCCUAAUUAUUUUUCGCUCAAAACUGUUCUUUCAGAUUAAACUAAAUAAUCAGAUUGAUUUGUAAGAUAUGCAUUUGCUGCCAUUUUAAGCUUUUCUGUACUUUCAUUGGAACAUUGUCUAACCAAACAACUCCUUUUUUCCCUGUAAUGGUUCAUACGCUAUAUAUGAUCGUUUCAGUUUUGUUACUUUGACAAUGUUUAACCUGCACAAACGAUCUUGAGAUUCAUUAGCAUUGGUAUUAGUAAAAUAAAUUGUGAUUUUAUUAUAUAAUCGAAAAAUAAAAGACAGAAAAUGGGUAAAUGAAGGGGAAAAAACAAGAAUAGUGGAAAUUACAGAGGAAAAAAAAAAACUAGAGUUUCCGCCUCUCAGUACACCAGCCAAAGAAUUACAACGCAAAAUGUGGAAUGUGAUCAAAACCAAUCUAGAAGCUCAAAGCAAUGGCUGCCCAUCCCAACGCCAACCCUCCAAUUAUCUUCUUCAUGUUCUUCAUUGCCUCUGCUCCACUCUGCAUUUGUUUACAAUAACUCUUUAAAUUUUACAGAUAAAUAUAGUUUUAAGAUGAAAAAAAAAAGAUCCGUUGGUCUGUCCUUUUUCAGAAAAUUAAAUGAACUAGCUCAACGGUGCAUCCUUUAGACGCGAUUAAACGAAAAACAAGAUCUCUCUACAUUUAUGCAGUGUAAAAGUUCAGAUCUGAAAGCGCAUUGUUAUAUGAUGUAAGCUACUGAAACGUUAGUAAAGAGAAGAGAAUGUACCUCGUCGGCAGCGACAGAUGGACCGGGAGAGGAAGCAUCGAGGCUCGGUCCAGGAGCUCCAGUUGGUGGAGCGGGAGGUCCAAGCAUAUCAGGUGAAGGAGCCGGAGCAUGGUGUUUCUUGGAUUUCUUGCUUUUGCUCUUGCUCUUGCUUGGAGCUGGGGCCGGAACCUCAGCAGUAGUUGGUGCCGCAACAGGAGCCAGAGGAGAGGCCGAGCUCUCUGGUGGAGUCGUCGGUGCAGCAACGGGAGGCGAUCUGGCUGGAGGAGAGCUCACAGGUACUGGAGCCGGUGGAGAACUCACCGGAGCAGCAGCCGGAGGAGAAGACGGAGCAGAUUUAGAUGGGGCUGGAACCGCCGCAGACUUCUCCGGAGCCGCAACCGGUGGUGAAGAAGUUGGUGGGGAAGUGGUAGGGGCAGCAGUUGGAGCCGGUGAUUUAGGUUUGCUAACAGGGGCAGUAGCGGGAGCAGUAGCAGGAGUAGUCGCGGCCGGCGGAGCUUUAGUAGGUGAGGCUGCCGGAGAUUGACCACCAACAGCGGUCACCACAAAACAAAUCAAAACAACUGCAAAUGCACUUCUACGAUCCAUUUCUUGAAGACAGAGGGAGAGUGAAGUAGUAACAGAAACUAAUGACAAGGAGACAACAGACUCUCAAUAAAUAUAUAAAUAAAUGAGGGAGAGAAAAUCAGAAAAAAUGAUGAUUAUAAAAAGAAAAGAAGAAAAAGUUAGGAACGUGUUUGGAUCAGAAAUAGCCGUUGGAUGAGAAGCUAUUGCGGGGCCCACCGGCAUCAAACUAUCAAACAAAGACACAUUGUAAUGUGGCGAUCAAGACUCGACACAGUCUGGAUUGGGGGCCCACACACGUGGACCAUGUAAUUUGCUGUUACAUUACCUGAUUAAGAUAAACUACACCCAAGGUCAUUAAACUAUUAAUAAAUUUACAUUUCAGUAUUUAACUUUAAAAAGUUACAAAAUAAUUAUUAAAUCAUUCAGAAGUUUUUAUUUAAUUCAUUGGGCUAUUAAAUCGCUGUUGUAUGACUUUUUUUAUUCACACGGUCUGCACCAAUCAAAGGAUCUCAUUCUCAUUCUCUUCAACAAUUUAAUUAUUUUCAUGAAAUAACUUUGAAUAUUAUGAAUUUACGAAUCAAAAUCCAAACAGUUUUCUUCUCCGAUCUCUUACAUUGACCUAGAUCUGAGGUAUGUUCUUCUCCUCGCCUAUAGGUACUAAUCUAUUGUACCAAUCGUCGAAUCAUCACUUGGAGCUCACUAACCGAACUUUAGAAAAAAAUACUUAACAAUCCAAUGACUUAAAUAAAUACUUUUGAAUAAUUCAGUGACCAUGUUGUAACUUUUCAAAGUUAAGUCACCUUAGGUGUAGUUUAUCCUACUUAAUAUUGUAAUAAAUGUUUAAUUCUAUCCCCAACCCCUAUACUCUUUGGGGUUUUGAAAUUUAGCCUUCCUACUUUUGAUUUUAAAAUUUUAGUUUCUCUUUGUUUUUAUUUAAAAGUUAAAUUCCAAUUCAUGAAAACUUGGUUAAAUUUGAAUAUAGAUCAUUUUAAUAUUCGAAGAAUUGAUCUAAAAAUAAUAAUAUAUAUUUAAAUUGAAUGGAAAUGUUAUUAAUUAAAUUUUAAUUUUUAAAUUAAGCAGGAGAGAUAUGGAAUUAAAAGGUGAUAGAUUAAAAUUUAAAAGCUGAAAGAGUACAGGGGUUGAAAAAAAUUAAACCUACAAUAACUAAUUGAAUGAAGUAGUGAGACAGCUGGAGGUAGGGAUAGUGGGGUAUUGCUGGGCAAAGAGACAAACCAAUAGGAGGCGGCCACGUAACUGGGUAAAGCUGUUACCGGUGAUAUUUUGAGAUGGGUCAUCGACUCACCGGCAAGAAACUGUAUCUCUGCAAGCAAAACUUGUCUGGAAUAACGUGACGUGUAUUAUACUUAAACACCCUAACCUUUUCUCUUUUCGUUAAAAAUUGUAAAGUGGCUAAGGCCCUUUUUUGUGUUUUUUUUAUCAUCUAUAUAUUAGAGUUUUAAAAGAAGUUUUGCAAAAUAGUUGUGUAAUUAUUUCACCUACACCCUUUGGCCUCUCUCGGUAUAUUAUUGAGAGAGUAUUUAAUUGAAUCGAAUAAAAAAAUUGAGUUAAUCGAGUUAACGAGUCUUAUUUUAUCAUUCUAAUUCAAUUUGAAUUUUUUUCAAAUUGAAUUGAGUAAAAUGAAAUUCUAGUCGAUUCGAAUGAAAUUAGUUGAGUUAAAUUAAAAUCUUGUUAUACUAUAAUUAAAUCCAUAUUAUAGCAUAUAAUUUUGAAACCAUAUAUAUUUGAAAAAAAUUUCAAAAUAAAAAUAAAAAAAAAUUUACUUUAGUAUGAUAAACUUGAAUCAUUAAUUAACUUAUUUAGGUCCCAACAUUAUUAUUUUAGAAAAUUUUUAAUUUUUUAAAUUUCUUUAUAUCUUUUUUUAGAAUUUUUUUUGAAAUUUUUAUAAUUUUUAAAAAAUAUAAAUUUGGAAUUUUUAUAAAUAUUUUGAAAUUUUAAAUUUAUUUUGAAUUAUUUUAUAUUUUUUAUUGAGAGAGAGGUCAAGUUGCUCAUUUUCAAACUUGGCAGAGGCCAAAAAAGUAUUUAUACCAAUAUGUUAUUCGAAUUAUUCGAGUUAUUUGAAUUGUAAAAUUUAACUCGAUUCGAACUCAAAACUCGAAUUACUUAUUCAAGUUUACUUGAAUAAUUUGAAUGACUCGAUUCAAUUAGCUUAAAAUUUGAUUUUUUUUUAAUCGAAUCGAAUUUUGCUCACCCCUACUGUUUUGCACAGCAUCACAAUAUAGAUUUUUCGGUUUUAGAAUAUCGCCGAUCCAUAUUCUUCUUCAAUGCUGUCGAGCUCGACCCUUCCACAAUCAUUAUCUGUACAUCAUCAUCAUACAUUAUAUGAAUAGUAGAAUAUAUUAUUGAAUUGUCAUAUAUAAUAAAUUCAUAUCUCUACAAUUUAAUCGAAGCUUCGAUUUUUAAUUGAUUUUACACUUCAUCUUCACUAAUAUGAUAUCUUUUAAGAACAUCAUAUUAAUCAGACUCAAAUAUUACAUUGAUAUCUAUAUCAUGAAUUUGACCAUUAUAGUUCACCACAACAAAGAACAUAAUGCUGAUUUUAUAUAAAAUUUCUAUAUAUAGUAUUAAUUUAAAUUAAAAAAUUUAUCAAUAUAUAACUAAUAAAACAAUAAUAUCAUUCUGCCUAAUAUAAUAUAUGAGUAUAACAUAAACAUAUUUCAUAAAUAAAAAAAACUAUGCUUAAUGUGAUGCAUUGGAUUUAUAAUAUUAAAUAAAUUAAACUUUAUUAAAUUAUUUCUAUUUUUAAUAUUUUUAAGAAUAAUAUUGAGGGGAAAUUAAAAUAGAUUCUCAAAUAUGAAAUAAAAUAUAGGAUUUAUUUUCUAAAUAUAAGGACGCAAAUUUCAUAAAUAAAUAAUAUUAUAUAAAUCAUACAAAUCCUAUUUCAAAUAAUUUUUUUUAGUUUCAUCAGUCAUUUGUUUUUAAGAUCAACAAAUUCAACCGCGUUUGUAAAAUAUAUUUUUGUAAAAAGUUAGCUUAAUAAUCAAUUUUUUGUUAUAAAAUAAAGAGAGAUGGAGAGAAUAAAUAACAAAUAAAAUAUGAAAGCAAUAGAGAAUGUAUUUUAUUAAUCAAAAUAGAUGAUUACAAUGUUUAUUUAGAGUCUCUAUUUAUAUGUAUAAGAAGUAUAAAAGAAUUAGAGAUCUAAUUCUAACUAUUAUAAUUUAAAGUACCUUGAAACUUUAUCUUCAUCAUGAUGGACAUCCAUUUAAUAAGAUAUUCAUAACACUCCCCCUUAGAUGUCCAUUGAUAGAAGAUAAUAUGCCUCAUUAAAACCUUAUUAGGAAAAACCCUGUGGAAUAAAAACCCAAUGAAGGAAAAAUAGUACACAAUCUAUAAUACGCAUAAUCUGUUGCCUCAUUAAAAACUUUACCAGGAAAACCCAAUAGGACAAAAUCUCGGUUAAGGGAAAAAUAGUGCAACACGUAUUUACUCCCCUCAUGAAAACUAUAACAACCCGUUUUUAGUGAAAUCAAAUUAGUGGUUUUGGGACCACAAAUCUGAGUUAAAAAGAAAAUUUAUUUUAAUAUUAUUGCAUGGUCCGCAUUAUGAUAGGAAUGCUAUAUGAAAAUUCUGAUAAAUUUUUUUUAUAGAUUAUGUGUUUAAUUAGAGAAAGGACCGAAUUGCAUAAAAUGUAAAAGUUGAGAUAUAGUAGCUAAAAGGAUCAAAUAGCUAUGGAUUUCAAAAUAAGAGGUCCUUAUAUGGCAAUUAGACCAUUAAAUAAAAGUUAGUAGAUAUUUUUGGUGAUUCAUCCAUGAAAAAUUAGAAAAAGAAAAUGAUGAAAUUGGAAAGUUUGAAAAAUUAAAGAUGAUAAAUAAAAUAAAUAUCAAAUAACAUCAUUUUAUAUCAUCUUCUUCCCCAAAAUUUAUAUGGAAACCCUAGGAGAGAAAAAGGAAACUAAUCAAGCUUAAUUAGGUAUGAAUUCUUGUCCCCUUUUUAGUAAUUUUUAUAUUCUUGUGAUCGAAAUAGUUUUUAGUAACAAGCGUUAAAAGUCUACUAUCUAUUUUGGGGAUUAAUUUGUAAAGUUAUCAAAGUAUCAAAGUUUUUCCAUGGAUGAAUAUGCUGAAAUUUUGAAAUUUAUGGUAGAAAAUGAAAGGUUGUUGAUAGAUAAACAACUUUUACAAAGAGAAUUUUGAUGAAAUUAUGAUUUAUGGACUAAAUUGUAAAGAUGUAAAAGUUAUGGAAAAAUUCUAAAUUUUGUGAAAUAUAUGUGCUGUAAAUGUUAUAUGAAAUUUUCGGUUAGGCUUGGAAUAAGGAUUAAUUGCCUGAAUUUCAUUUUCCGAGCCUAAGGACGAAAUUAGAAUUAAUAAAAAGUAUAGAGGUAAAAUGAUAAUUUUUCCUAGGAUAUGAAUUGAAUGUAAAUGAGUAUGAAAUGGAUUAAAUUGAUGUUAAAUUUAUUUAUAUAGAUCCAGAUAACUCAAAUUUGAAGCUAUAUCGAGGAAAAUAAAAGGUGACAGAUUAGUAGACUUUUAAAUACGAACAAGUGUCGAGGUAAGUUCGUGUAACUUAAUUAUGUAUAUUUAUAUGUUUGAAUUGCAUGUUGUACUUAUGAGAAUUCUAUAAAUGAUUAAUGUAUGAAAAUAGUCACAUGCCCAAAAUUUUUCGAUAAAUAAUAAAUUUCGUUUGAAUAAUGAAAUGCGAUGGAUACAGUAUUUUCCCGUGCUGAUUAUAGUCCUGAAUAUGUUGCAGACAUUAUAGCUCAGAAGAGCAACCUGUUAGUAGUAAUGCUUAAAAUGAGGAAUAAAGCUUAACCGAGUUCCCGCUACACUAACCCGAUCAAGAUUGGGGAUCACCUGAAAUCUAAUCCAAACAAAAUGAGUUGUGAACUCAAUGCAUAAAAGAAGGUUAAGUUUAUUCAAUUAGUGUUCAUUUAUAAAGUAGUUUCAAAAUCAGAAAUUCGGUUCGGUACAAAACUAUUUACAGUUCAGUUUCAAAACAGAUCAGUUAUAUACAUAUAUUUAUAUAUCUAAAAAUUCAUAUAUAUAUAUAUAUAUAUUGUAGAUCAGAUUUAGAUACAGAUAUUCCUAAACCCCACCUGCUACACACCAUCUCUGACCAUUUCAACACACCGUUAAGGACAUUCAAUGCCCAUCCAACCAUAUACACCACAAGUGUCUGUUUGACACGUUUACAAUAACACAACUUAGCUGCUGGAUCAUAAUGUGUCAAGUGCCAAAAUUGAAACUAUUCACAUAGUGGCCUAACCACUGAUUCAAAGUAGAUUACUUCCUUCUUCAUAACAUCCCAACCCAUGCAAAUGCAGAGUACAAUUACCCACAAUGCACUUACAAUUAUAAUAUUCAUACAUCCAUUACAGAGUAUCAGAGAGUUCUCAUUCAACCAAAUUCAGAUCAUUCAUACAAUGGGAAAAUCAUUAUCAGUCAUAAACAACAUUUACAGCCUCAAAAACGGGUUACGAACCCCUUUUAUAAUGCCACACGGUCAUGUCCUUGCCCAUGUGGCUCACACGACCUGGUCACACGCCCAUACCCUUUGCUCAUGUAGUUCUAACAUGUAAACAGAGAGUUACAUGGCUUGGACACAUAGCCGUGUCCUUGUCUGUGUGAUUCACACGGCAUGGGCACACGCCCGUGUGCUUACCCACGUAGUCCUAAGUCACAAACAGUGAGUUACACGGCUUGGACACACAGCCGUGUCCUUACCCGUGUGACUCACACGGCCUGGGCACACGCCUGUGUGCUUACCCAUGUAGUCCUAAGUCACAAAGAGUGAGUUACAUGGCCUGGACACAUGCCCAUGUCUCAUGCCCGUAUGAACCUUACACUACCAUGGCCACACAUUGACACAUGCCCGUGUGCCUUUCCUGUAUAGUUCCAAAUUGAUGAACAGUGAGUUACACAACCACCCACAAGGCCUAGACACAUGCCCGUGUGCCUGGCCGUGUGACGUCGAAAGCCAGCAUUUCCGGCUACUGAAACUUGCAAAAUUAAGGUCUCUGGUACGCACCUAUUUUUGUGUUGAUUAAGAGACAAUACGGAGAUUACUCGGAACCUAAUUAACUAUUCAGCAAUCAAUCAUUUGACUAAAUCGACUAAUUAACACAACAUUAAUACACAAUCAACUAUGUCGAAUAAUUCGACAGGAGGAAACUUCAACUACUAACGCUUACAAACAAUUCAACCGUGUUAAGUUGGCACAACACGCAAAGGGUUGCUUCUCUCUACACUCACUGUAACACCCCUAACCCGUAUCCAUCGUUGGACUAGGGUUACGGGGCAUUACCGAAAAUAUUGGAACAUUUCGUAAUCACUUUACAAUCAAAGUCAAACAUAAGCAUAAAGUCCCUACUUAGGUCAAUGAGACCAUAAACAAGCAUUAAAAAGAGGUCGGGACUAAACUAAACACACUCGUAAAUUUCAGAACUUAGAAAUUUUUUUCAAUUCUAUUGAGGUCACACGCUCGUAUGACCAGGCCGUGUGCCUUACAUGGGCACCAGACACACCCAUGUAAUCCAGUCGUGCCAAAACAGAGCAUGCACACUGACUUUUCCCCACGGCCAAUAAACACGCCCGUGUGCUAUGGCCGUGUGAUACUUAGCUAGCUACUAACUUUAGCCUACGGCCAUAUGACACGCCCGUGUGUCAAGGCCGUGUAAUUUUUAAGAGAAUACUGUUUUUCUUAUGUCCCCUGACCGUGUAGCACAAUGAAGGCUUGGUUUAAGCCAACUUGCCACCCAUUAUGAUUCAACCUACAACAAGGAAACAAACAUAUAUAUGUACAACCCAAUCAACCAUUCUUUAAGCUAAAACAUACAUCAUUCAUGCCAUAGUUGCAAAUUAACAUCACAUAUCAUAAGCCAUUAUCAAAUAUGAGUUCAAACACAAAUUAGCCAAAUCUCAUGGCUAACUAUAUACAUCACAAAACAUAAUUCACAACUACUAGCCUAUACAUGCCAUACUUCAAAUAUUUACAUUUUCAAUAGUACCAAAAUGAGAUCGAUAGUGUGGUGACGAUCCUAAACUAUCCCCGAGCCUUCAGUAGCUACGAUAUUUGUAAAACAGAUAGUAAACACACAGAGUAAGCUUUCAAAAGCUUAGUAAGCUCGUACUAAAAACAUUCAUAGUAUAUGAACAUAAAAUGAUAACCUAUGAGUAUUUGUACAAUUUCAAUCCAUAUAACUAUAUCAACUCAAUGAGAUUCAUAUACAUAACAUCAUCUACCACUUAGGCAUUAUACAUACCUGAAGCUUCCCAUACUUAUUCACUUUUGUACUUACCUCAUGUUGAAUGUUAUGAGACUUUCCAUAAGUUAUUCAUAUUUUAUACAUCAGCACACUUAGUGCUAUAAGGUUAGUUGAAGCUAAAUAUUUCCGCACACUUAGUGCCAUCUCAAAUAAUCGAGACUAAGUUGGUAUCGCACACUAAGUGCCUCAAGUAGCCGAAGCUAGUUAAAUCGCACACUUAGUGCCAAAGCUAGUUUAAAUAGCACACUUAGUUCCAAAACUUCCGUUUCAUCACCAUAUUAUCCAAUUCAAUUAUAUACAACCUAUGUAUAAUAAAGACAUCAAAACUUACUUAACAUCAUAUUUUAAGUACGAACUUACCUCGUACUCGGAAUUUGUCGACUCGGACUAUCUACUUGAUAACCUUUGACUUUCCUCGAUCUAAGUCCGAAUUCCUCUUUUCUUGAUCUAUAGGUUUUCAAAAUUAACCCUUUUAUUCACCAAUUAAUUCAAUUCAAUCUAUAAACACAUAUUUAGGGCAAUUUGCAAAAUAGCCCUUGCAUUUUCACAUUUCGACACUUUAGUCCCUAUUUCACAAAAUCACAAAAUACACAUAAUUUGUAUAUACUUAUGCUUGGUCGAAUUCUACUAGUACUCAUACUAGUCCACACAUUUCAUUUAUUUCACAUUUUAGUCCCUCAAAAUAACAUUUUCACAAAUUAGCCCAAAUUUGCUCAAAUCCAACUAAAAUCCAAAGACAAAACAUGUAAACUCAACAUCAAGCUUUCAUAUUUCACCAUUUAACAACGCAAAACUCAUGAAUUCAUCCAUGACACAUUUUUAAAUCAUCACAAAAUUAGAAAUUGAGGCAUGGGCUUUAUAGUACACUUAGCAACGAUCACAAAAAUGUAGAAAUUAUCAAAAAUCGAAGCAAAAACAUACCUCAAUCAAGGAAUACAAUGGCCGAAUCCUAGGUGUUCUUUUUCUUUUAUUUUCUUUGUAUUUUCGGUUAAGAAUGGACAUAAAAUGAUCCAUUUACAUGCAUUUGUUUUAUUAUUAUUAACAUAAAAUCUAAAUGACCAUUUUCCCUUUUAUUCAACCAUUAAAAAUUCACCUAACACAUGCCCUUUUUUGUCCAUUCAAAUCUCCAAUGGUCAAAUAACCACAUAAGGACCUUUACUUUAGAAAGCCAACUUAAAUAAGCACUUAAACAUCUAGCACACAGCUUUUACAUUUUAUGCGAUUAGGUCCUUUUUGCAAAUUAAGUACACAAACAGUUAAAUUUUCGCACGAAACUUUUACACAAAUCAAUUUACAUAUCAUAGACACAGAAAUUAAUAUUAAAAAUAUUUUUCUAACCUGGAUUUGUGGUCCCAAAACCACUAUUCUAACUAAGGUCAAAACCAGAUUGUUACACUCACGCCUAAGGGAAAAAAUGACUAGUUAACAGAUAGUUUAAGUAAAGCAAUUCAACAAUUCUCAAUUUAACAUCGUAACAAAAUCUAUCCAAAAACUCGUAGAAGUCAAAAGAUUUCAACAGAACUUACACAGAAGUCUUUCAGUAAUGUAAAGAAUUCACUAAUUCCCGAUGAUCACGUGUAGAACACACUCGACGAGAAGAAUUCAAAGAAGUAAACCAAAGAAAGAAAAGGACAAUAAACAUAUAUAAAAAAAUAAAAAGAAGAAAAAAAAUACAGAUGUUAACUAAAUUCUAAUAAAUUUUGUCUUAACCACCAGCGUACCUUUAACAACUAGAAAAAAAAUUUCUCUUAACGCAUAUGAUAGGGUUCGAAUUCGGGACCAGAUAGAUGCUUAACCAGUGAACCAGUAGGCUUAUUCUUGUCAUAAGUUCUUACAGAACUACCUUUACCCAUAUACCACAUGGAUACAGAUUGAUCUAAAAAAAUAAAACUUUUAAUGAUGGCACUCGAACUCCAGACCUUAAACAUAGAAGCAGAACACAGAACUAGAGAUACAAAAAUUAAUUACUACAAAAUCUCACAAUUAAACUCUUAAAAUUUUGGGGCGUUACAUAUACUUUAGCUAAUUGGUCAUGCAGCUGCGCUUGCAAUUGAUCUUGCAUGUCUUUUUGAAUUUGUUCUAGUGUCUCUAACCUUUGAUCCAUGGCUUUGGUUUUACCACGGGAACUAUAACGAUAUUCGGUUGGCAGAUUCUUGUUGGUUUCCAGGGUAACUGUCAUAAUUUUGAUUAAUUAGGGUUUAUUUAUGAAAUUUAAUGUAUAUGAUGAAAUGUAAUGCUAAUGAAUGAAAAAUGAAUGCAAAAAGAGGCAUUGAUUCUGAUUUAAUUCUAUUAGAACAACUUUAUUAGAAAACAAAUUUCUUUACAUAAAACGAAUAUAUUUUACAUAUACAGUCUUGCCCUAAUACUUAAAGCCUUGACUUUCCUAAGAAGCCAAGCUAAUUCUCGGCCUUGACUUGUUUUUGAUUCAUAUCUCAAGCAUAACAUGUCAGCUUGAACUGCUAGGGUUUGCAAAUGGUCGGCUACUUCUCGUACUUGAGUUAAAGCUUCGCCUAUGAUCUGAUCUUUAUCCCUGAUCUAACCUUGAGAGUGUUAAAAUUGCUCUUUCCAAUGUUCAUUGUUCGUUUCAAGAAGCUCAAUUCGAAGUUCACAAUUUUGCAGUGUGGUCUCGAGCCCUUCUAUUUUUCCCUUCAACCCUUCAAUCUGUUCUUCUAUUUUUCCCUUCAACUCUUCAAUUUAGUCAGGCUUGCUUUCAACUCGAUCACAGAGUUGCGACUAUGAUGUUGAUGCAGUGACCUUUCUAAUUCCGCUACCUGGGCUCUCAAUCCAACGUUUUCAUUUUGGCUUUCUAACAAAUCCCUUUUUAGAGCAUCUUCUCGAGCUUGAGGCUCUUGAAAUUUCUUUUCCCACUGAUCAACUUGAAUAUUUUCUUCUUAGAUUUCUUACUACCACUAUUCUGAUGUUUUACCCAACCCAACAGUCCUUAUCGACAAAUGCAGCUUCUUAUAAUCUGUUUUUAGACUGCCUAAGUCUUCCUCAGCCUUGUUCUUUCCUUUUUCUCAUUUUUUCAUCUUCUAACUUCUAGACGUCGACGUCUAAUCAUAGCUAAACCUUUUCCUCUUCCAACUUUUCUAUCCUUUUCCUUAGCUCCGAACUCUUCUUUUUGAAGUCUUGCUUUACAAUCUCUAAUUUAGACGGGAUCACUUGCAAGUGUUCUUCUAUUGGCUAGGUACUUUCUUGGCUUGUGAAGGGACAUUGUCAUUGAUUCUUUUACCCUACCACCAAUCAUAUUCUGGGGUCGUGAUGAGAUUUGAGAAAAAUCUAUUCAUUUUGUGAGUUUGGUUCCUCAUGUUCGAAAUUUCACGAACCUUCUUUGUGUACUUGUCAGCUUUGUAUGCAAACUCACAUUGACCCAACCCUUGCGUUGCUAGUAUAAACUGCCUCAACCUAUACUGUCACAAUAAAAGUAGAAGGGUAUAUCUGUCAACUCCUCAUAUCCCGAGUAAAAGGACCCAGUCAAAGUCUCCACAUCUGUACAAAAUUUCAUCAGGGAUCAUCCAAGAGACCCUCCAUUCAAUGUCUUCAUCUUAAAGACUCUGGAGAAUUGUCAUCCACUUUUUUUCAAAAAUGUUGUCUCGUCUUGGGAUAGCUACGAAUUCUUUCAAUAGAGAGUAGUCCUCGAAAAACACUCGAUAAGAGACUUUUUCUACCUUCCAAAAGUAGUUAUGGAAUCAAGCUAACAAGAUUUAUGCACACCCGAUAAAUCUUCCUUCACCAGUUUUUCGGUAUGCACUUAAAGAUUUGAAAGUUUCAGCCAAAAUUGUCGGGACGGAUAUGACCUUUUUGUCAAGCCGGUCAAAUAGAUCUGAAAUUGCAUCAUCAACGUGCCUUAGUGCUUUGGGGAAGAUAACUAACCCAUAAACACUCAAGGCAAAAACAACGACUCUUUUCCUCGCAUCUAGAUGUACCAAGAUCAAAUCUCGUAGACUUUUCCAAGAGAUGCAUUUACUAUCCUCUUUUUGUUUGAUCUAGGCCGUGACCCAUUGCUCGCUCAUCCCAGUUAUGUUCAUUAGUUUCUUUAAGAAAGUCAGGACAUUGGCAGCUCUAGAAUAAGCUUUGUCAACUUGGAUCCUCGGGCAACAGAUGUAACACCCCUUACCAAUGUCUGACGUCGGGACAGGAUAUGAGGCAUUAACGGACUUAAACGCAAACAAUCAUGCAAAGCAGGCCAUAAAAUUUCAUUCAUAUUUUAAAAAAUUCAAUCACAUACACAUGGUCCCUUAUUUGAGUUACAAAGCCCAAAACAUACUUUAAAAGGGUUCGGGACUAAACCGAGAACUUUGGAAAGCUCUAGGAAAAAGUUAGAAAUUUUUCUUAUGAAACAAGGUCAUACACCCGUGUGCCAUCAACACGCCCAUGUCUUCAAGCCGUGUAACUCUCUAUUUAUGACGUCAGUAAAUAAAUUGAACCACACGGCCAGGCCACACGCCCGUGUCACCAGGCCGUGUCCCUCACAUGGUUGAGACACACGACCGUGUCUCAUCCUGUGUAGUUAAAUCUUAGGCUAUUUUCCAAGCCUUUUUGUUACCCUUACAUGCACACACAUUUACAUGGAUCCAGUGGCAUUCAAAAUCCUCAAUUAUGAUACAAAUAUAUCAUUUACCUAUCAACAUGUAUGUGUUACACAUUCCCACAUUAAGCUAAGACUAGCCAUACCAUAGUUAUCUUUGUGCCAAUUUAUUUCAACUUAUCAUCAAACUUCCAUGUUCAAAGCAUUAUUAUUUAUCUCCAUAUUACACAUUUAAUUCAUGGUCAUAAAACAUGCAUUCAACACACAUGACAUAUUGCCAACCAUGCAUGACAAACAAACAUAAUCAUAUCUUCACAUCAUAAACAAUAAAUCAUAACUUGAUUAGCUAUACUUACAAGCCAUAAUCAAUAUGAGCCACAUCUCAUGGCCAUAUAUAGCAGCACAAAAUAGGACAAUACAUUUGGCCAAAUCAUAAUAACACAUGUCAUAGAACUAGGCCCCUCUACAUGUCACUCACUUGAUAAUUCUAACAUAUGUAACAAUAUUCCAAAGGUAUUGGCUUGAUAGUGUGAUGCUGCCUCCAAUGAUCUCCAACCCCGAGCUGACCUGACAACACUAAAAGAAAUGGAAAGGAGGGAGUAAGCUUAAAGCUUAGUAAGUCCAUAUGAAAAUAAUAAGCAAAUUAUCAACAUGAUUCCAUGGAAAUAUAAUCAUAAUUACACUUUUACUUAUUUUCUAGUCAUGUUGUUUUCUCGAGUCAUAGUUACUAAAUUAUUUAUAUCUAGAGCUACGAAACUCAAACUUAAGAUUCGUAAAUUUUACUUGAAACUAGACUCAUAUAUAUUUUCACCAAAAAAUUUCCAGAAUUUUUAGUCUAGCCAAUAAGUACAGUUUAUUCUUUAAAGUUAAACCUAUUCUGCUACUUGACAACUUCAACCUUUCUUUACUAAAAAUCUAUUAUCUCAUAGUACGGGUUUCUAUUAAUGUUCUUGUCUAUUUAUCUUGAAAAUAGACUUAUUAAGGAUUUUAAUCAUAUAAAUUAUAACUCAUAAUUAUUUUUGUAAAAUUUUUAAUGAUAUUUCCAAGUCAGAACAGGGGAUUCCAAAAUCAUUCUGACCCUGUCUCAUAAAAAUUCAAAUAUCUCAUAAUAUGAAAUUAUUUUGCUUACAUCGUUUCCUUUAUAUGAAAAUAGACUCAAAAAGAUUUAAUUUCAUAUCUUAUUCAACCUAAAUUUGAUUUCCAUGAUUUUUUGUGAUUUUUCAAAGUUACACAACUGCUGCUAUCCAAAACUAUUUUAUUACAAAUUUCACUCUUACAUAAUUUCACUUACUUCAUUCCAUCUUACCGAAAGUUAGCUCAACAAUCGAGCAAAUUGCUCAUAAAUUUCCACAAACAUAUACCUUUAUUUAUUCAUCACAUGGUCAUGUUCACAUGUAUUUUCACUUAGUCGAUUUCCCGUUGAACUCAUCGGAAUAAUAACUGAUACACGGUUGCCUGCACAUAUUACCACCCUUGUAACCGAAGCUAUCUAGUACUCAUAGUAGCUUGCACUUAGUACUACACAUGCGACCAAAAAUCUGGUCCACGUUGUAGCCUGCACUUAGUACUACACACGUGAUUGAAGUUGCCGGGUACGCAUAGUAGCCUGCACUUAGUACUACACAUUCGACCUAAUUAUCUAGUACACAUAGUAGUCUGCACUUAGUACUACACACGUGACCUAAAACCAUCUUAAACACAUAGUAGCCUGCACAUAGUACUACACAUGUGUUCUCACAAUGGAUCAUUUGUAUCAUUUCUAUUCCGAAGGUUCAACUAGGAAAUUCCUCACUUUUCAACAUUUAACAAACUCAUUCAUAGUCUAUUUCAAUUCGUAAUUUACAUCAAAUGAUCAUUCUAUAGGCAGCCACAUCUCAUAUAAUAACAAAAUAUAAUAACAUAAAAAGAAUCGAUUUAUUAUUUACAUACAAACUUACCUCGAAUGUGAGCACGGCUAUUUAUUCCGAUUUAGUCCAUAAUCUCAUUCAUUCCCAAUCUAUGCCCGAAUCUCAUUUUCCUUGAUCUAUAAUAUCACAUUUAGCUUAAUAAUUAGUCACAUUAUUCAUAUGGGUCCAAAAAUUAUAUUUUUACAAAUUUAUAUUUUGACCCCUAAACUUUCACAUAUUUUCACUUUUAACCCAAGGCUCGUAAUAUGAUUUUUUAUCCAAUUUCCUUGCAUUUUAAGCCUAUCCGAAUCAUUUUUCAUAACUAUAGCAGCCCCGAAUUUCCACUAAAUCACACUUUUAUGACAAAUUUUACAACUUUUGCAAAACAGUACUUUUUGACAAUUUCACCAAAAAUCACUUAGUAAAAGUCGUUUAUUACACACCGAGCAUUCAUUUUAUACCAUUAGACAUCAAAACACAUGCAUGUCAUCCAUGUUUAAAUUUUUUAAACACAAACCCUAGCUCAAAAUAUGGGUAGAAAUGAGUAGAUCUUGUUACAAGGAUUUCAAAAACGUAAAAAUCAUAAAAAACUGGUCUAGAACGGACUUACAAUCAAGCUUGGAAACUUGAAAAAACCUAGAUAUGUCUUCUCCAUGCAAGUUUCAGCCAUGGGGUAGAAGAUGGACAAAAAUUGGCUUUUAAUUUUGUUUUAAAUUCAUUUUAAUUACUAGAUUACCAAAAUGCCCCUAACUUAAAAAUAUUCUAUUUCACCCAUUUCAUGUCCAUUUUUGUCCAAAAAAUUAUAAAAUGGUCUAAUUACCAUUUAAGGGCCUCCAAUUUAAAAUUUCAUAAUAAUUAGACACCUCUAACAUGUAAAACUCAACUUUUUCACUUUUUACAAUUUAGUCCUUUUGACCAAAUUGAAUGCCCAAACGUAAAAAUUUUCGAACGGAAUUUUAAUGAAAUCAUCCCGUGAAAUUUUAGACCAUAAAAAUAUAAUAAAAACAAAUUUUACUGUGUCAAAUUUGUGGUCCCGAAACCACUGUUCUAACUUGGCUCUAAUUCGGGAUGUUACAACGUAACAGAGUUGUGUACUCUUCUACGGUGGGCACCAAGUCUACCUUCCCAAAAGUGAAGUAGCUAUAGGCGGGAUUUCAAUACUGGGCAAGAGCUCAGAAUAAGUGCUUAUCCACUUUGACAUCGAGUAAAUAAGGUAAAUCACCAUAUCCACGGUAGAAUAACUGCUUGAUUUCGUCAUCCUAUUGGUCCCAUAUUUCUUUCAACUUUUGAAGAUUAUUCUGAGUCACACUAAUGCGGGUGAAAUCCCAUAAUUCCGGCAUGUACCUAUCCGUCAGACUGUCACUCUUCUCUUGUUGUAUUUUCUUGGACCAUAUUCAUAUGGCUGCAUUGUCUUCCACUUUAUCAAGAAAACUUUUUUCCAUGACAAGCCUUCUAUUUAGCAACUGAACGCAAAUCAACACCCUUUUCUAUGAUGAAAAUGCAAUGCAAUCAUAGCCAAAACGAAAGAAGUCAGUACAUUUCAUACAAAGCUAGAAUACAAAACAAGAAAUAGUAAAUAGAACAUAUAUUCGGGUGACCACUAAAGGUUUGAUAUGGUCCUACCCAAAGUGGGUUCUUUAGGACUCAUUACAUGCGGUUCGGUUCUAAAGUACCUGAACGAGCAAAUUUUUCAAUCUUCACCUAUUAUAGGCUCAUACGGACCAAGUUCAGUUCAGAGGAAUACAUUUCCCUAUGGCUAUACGGAGGUGAAGACCUCACAAAGACAUAGGUACGGAUGUAUCCCGAAAGCGAUCCACUAUCUUAUAUGGAGGUGAAGACCUCAAGAAUGAAUAGCUUCUCACUCCCACCUAAGAAGGGCAAAAUGGAACAAUUAUGCCAUGUAAUGUGCGAAAAUAUACUAAGAGAAACUCGAACCAAUAAAGCAAACAUAUUAAAUCAUUAUGUAACCCAAGAUAAUAAAGACAUUAUUUACCACCAAAAUAAAAUAUAAAGAAUGAAAUACAAUGAGAGGAUCGUCAAUUUAAACCGACUUAUCAAUUUUUGACAAAAAGACCAAAAAUUAACUCGUGGCUUGACUCACUUAUUUAUCCCCAAUAGAGUCGCCAAGCUAUCGAAACCUUUUUUUUUUAAAUUGAAUUUUAUUUUAAAAAUAAAAAUAGAGUCGCCACCAAUCCUUUUUAAUUAGGUGUGAUUGGAUUAGCUCAAAACUUUAUUAUUUUAAUAAAAUGUUAGAUUUAAUAAAAUUAUUUUCGGUCUUACAAAAUCCAGGAUAUAGGUUCGGGAGUUGGUUACAUAUGAGGAAGGAUUAGCACCCUCAUAACGCCCAAAAUUAGUACCUAAUAGAUUACUUGAUAUCUUAAUGUCGAAAACUGAAAAUUUGAAAAGAAUUUAAAACACGAUCCCUCUUUGCAUAAUGUUAUUUGAUUAAGAUAUUACUUAACUAAAUUAAAUUUAAUGGAAAAGGCCUUAUCGUGAGUUAAUCGAGAAGAAAGACCAUGCCCCGUGAGUUAGGAAACGAUGCCUCGAAUUCUCAAAAACCAGAAUAAUAGCCAUUUGAUCGGUUCUUAAAUCUUGCUUUUCGUUAUUUUAAAUAGGAUAUUCGAUUACUUCGAUUUUAGGAAGAUGUGAUGCUCUGUAAGUUAGGAGCAUAACUCCUCGAAUUCCAAAAAUAAUGAACAUAGCAUCGGUUUUAAGUAUUUUCUAUACGUUAGAUAAGACGAAGGUAACUUUUAAAAUGAUAGACAAUUAAUUUAUUUAGGCAUAGUGUAAAAAAAUGAAUAAAUAUAUUUUAACAUGAUGGCAUGGUAAUUAACAAAAUAAAGCAAAAUAGUGAAGGUAAAAUAAAAUGAUAUUAGAAUAAUAAAUAAGUAAAUAAAGAGAAAAACAAAUAAAAAGGUAAAAUAAAAAUGUCAUGCUAGUGAAUAAUAAUAAUGCAACUAUAAUAAUAAUACAUCAAUUUAUAGUAAUAAUAGCGAUAAUCAUGUCACGACCAUUAUCAUAAUAAUAAUAAUAAUAAUAAUAAUAAUAAUGAUAAAAUAAAAAAGUACAUAAAAAAGGGAAUAUAAAUAACAUAAAUUUUAAAUGUUAAAAUAAAAGAUAUAGUAAAUGAAGAGGCAAAAUUAAAUAAAUGAGGGAUCAAAUUGAAACUUAAACAAAACUUAAAACAUGAAUUGUGAAAUAAACAAAGAAAAGGGAAGCGAAGGAUUAAAUUGAGAACAUAACAAAAUUUAAAGUCUAAAUUACAAGAAAAUAGAACAUAAAGGAUUAAAUUAAAAGAAAAUGGAAAAUACAGGGAUUCAGGGGGAAUUAUCCCAACCCUAUUUACAUGUGUCAUUCCCAGAAGGAUCAUCAAUGGGUUAAGAGGACCAAAUAGCAAAAGAGUAAAAUAAAAGGGCCAAAAUAGAAGUAAAAAUAAUAAGCUGUAGGACGAAAUUGAAAAAUAGCAAUGAAGCGGAAGGGGCAAAGCAGCAAUUAUACCCUCCCCUUUAAAAACACGCAGAUCCUAAGGAAAUUCAGGUCGGCCCCAAAAUGACAUCGUUUUGGGGCGUUUAGGGCCACGAUGAAACGACGUCAUUUAGGCAAUCCUAUUUACGUAAAAAAAUAUUAAAAAAUUAUUUUUAAACAGUUUUCAAGACAAAAAUUUACUUUCUCUUUUUUCUUUGAAGCUCUUCCUGUGUCCGGCCACAGGGCCGUCGGUGCUCCGCUGUGGCCAUCGGUCAUCAGCGACGGCAGCUGUCACCUCCGGUGGCUGAAGUUGUAAAAAGAAAGGCUUUUUUAUCUCCAUUUUACGGGGAACCCGAAUCUAAGGCCGAAAUCCUUAAAAUCCGGUCAAAAUCCAAAAACGCAAAAGGGACCUUUUGGUUCGCGGUCCUCCUCCGACGCAGUCUUUCGGUGAAUCCCCAAGGAUUCGACAGCUUUUCAAGCCAGAGGGGACAUCGACAACGGCGACAAAGGUGAAAAAAUGUUUCGUAUUUUAUUUAUUAUUUUUUAUAUGUAUACGAUAUAAAAAAAAACCUUUUUUAAGAACAGGAAGUUUUUAUAUCUUUUUGCUCUUCUCCUUCUCUUAUUACAAUCUGUUUAUUCGGCUUUUAUAGCCGAUUGAUUACAAAUAUUUGUAUUUGCUUUUGCUUUUCUGCUUCUGCUUCUAUUUUUGUUUUUUUCUUUCUUCUUUGCAGGUCGAGAUGGUAGUCAACGAUGAUGGUGUAAGAGUAUGCCCAAAGAUUAAUCAUAAGAUGGUUGUAAUAACAUACUUGAUUUACCAUGUUUAUUAAUAUAAUGCGUUUCCAUUAUUAUUUCAGUUUCUUUUCUGUGUGUAUAAAUAAAUUGUUUUAUAAUAAUGUCCUGAGAAUAAUAUGAUUGUUCUUAAAAGAUCCUUAGUCAAGUAUUAUUGUUGACUAGGACAACAAUAAUGCAUUAAGUCUAACAUGUAGUUGAUUGAUGAUAAAGAGUUGUCAUUGAUAUGGAGUGUCAAAAUCAAUGCAUGAAUAUGUGUGUUAGAGAACAACAUAUUGGACUGACCCACUAUGAGUAUGUUUCUUGGAUUAUUAUGUAAUUGUCACAACAUUACUCAUAGUGAUUAAUAUGUAUCUGAUCCUCAGACUUGAGAUCAUCAUUAUCCCAACAUCGUGAGUUGUAUAUUUUGAUACAGUCAAAUGUACAUCGUAACUGAUUGUUCUAUAAAGGCUGAUGUUGGAUAUACCACAAUCUAUGUAGAGGGAUAUGGUUGAUCAAUAUAGAAUAAGUCCCUCCUACAUAAUGGGAGUAAUAUCUUAGGCCACUUGAUUGAGUGAAACUAGAAAUGCAUGGCCAUGCUCAAAUAAGUUUAUAUGAGAUGUCAUACUUAUUUGUAUAUCAUAGUCUACUCAAGAUAUCAAGAAACAUGAGAUGGACUAUGCUAGUGUGAUUAUUCCAUGACUUGUGUUCAUUCCAAAGAUAAAUGACUUAAGGAUUAAUGCAUGAAAGGUAAAUCACAAAAGGUUAUGUCGAAUCAUGACUUCCUGUAACUUAGGUAGCAAUGAUGCAUUACUAGAUGCCACUCAUUGUCUGUAACAUUAGAAUUGUUCUAGUAUUACUGCUAACGUUAUAAGGGCCUACUGGGUCACACCAUAUGAUUGAGAUGAUCGGAAUAAAACAUAGUUGGUAUUGUGUUUGGUUGUCACAUGAAUUAAAUUAAUUAUAGAAUUAAUUUAAUUGGGCAAUCAAAUAUCGAACAUAUUAUAUGUACAAGGAUGUUGUAUACAUAAUGAGAACAUAAUUCUAUUAAUAUAUGAAUUUGGUUCGUAUAUAAAUUUAAAUAAAUAUAGUUUACCGAAAUCUUUGUUAUAAUUAAUGUAAUUAUAAUGUUUGGUUAAAACAUUAUUAUAUUUAUUUAUUUUAAAUUUUUUUGAAUUAGGAUUCGUUAUAAAUAUACCAAUUAAAAAGGGGAGUUAUAUAUAAAUAAAACCCGAAAACCUAGCUUGAGUGGUCUAGCGGCCAUCAAGCAAAGAAAUCUCCAAAACAGUUUUGGGGACUUCUUCCGUUCAUUGUCAAUUGGGUAGAUUACGUAGAGGUCGGCAUAUGAAAAAGUUGCGACUUGGUUCGAUAGUAGUUCUGAAUUCUUGUUGCCGAGGCGUCGCUAUCUACUCAGAUUGAAGUUUUGAUGAUUUCGAAACCAUUAUUAUAAUUUUUUUUCUUGAUUUGUUCUUCACACAUGGAUCCAUGGUUAGGAUUGCCGGAAUUUUAUUUUUCAGCUGCGCCUUGGGGGCACCAGCAUUCCAACAAAUAGGAAUCACACCCUUGCCAUUUCGGUGAAACGAUGGCAGGGGAGGCAGUCCUCAGGCGACGCAUCAACUGACGUGGCCAAGAGCAGCGGCGCAUAGGGGAUCUAGAGUUUUUUUUUUAUUUUUUGAAAAAAAAUUUAGGUUGUGAGUUUGGGCUUGUGUAACAUUGAGUUUCAGUUUGUAAUUUGGGUUAAGGUAAAUUGGGCUGUAUUUAUUUUAUUUUUGUUUUGUCUUUGUUUAAGUUUAUUUAUCUUUAUUGAGCUGGACAAAAUUGAGCUAUUACAAUAUUAAAAAUGGUUAUACACAUAUUAAAAUCUUUAAAAAUAAAAAUUAAUAUACUCGUUGGAUUCAUCCUCGAUGGUUCAGUCAUGUAAAUUUCCUUCUCGCCCACCCUUUCGCAUUUAAAACACUGAAUCAAUGACCUCAAGAAGAAGCAUAAAAUAAGGUGGUCUAAUCCCAUUCUACGGCAAGUUCGUCUUAGCGUCUAAUUCAAUUCUAGCUUCUGUAUUUCAACAAAACUAGAAUGUUGGUCUAACUUUUUUAUUGAUCACCAGUAGUCCCCGCAAGAACAUGAACCAUUCACAAAAUGGUGGAACCUAUUCCGAUCCCUCAUUACAAUUUUACGGCCGGUGAUCUUAGAAAUCAACUUGGUCACAGCAUGGCAAUCCGAACACACCCGGAGGUUUUUUACAAUCUUGAUAGGGGUCCCCGGUUGAGUGCUGAUAAGACCAUAUGCAAGCGCCAGCUUCUCACUGUGAACUUCAAGUGACUGCUCUUUUUGUUCAUCCCCUAUGUCAUGUAGUACAAUCUCUGUUUGUGGGGUGUAACCAUGAGCUUUGAGCCAACCAUUUAUUUCCUCUAACAUCUCAUAUAUUUCUUUGGUUUUUGGAUGUUUCAAAUCCCCAGCAAGGAACUCAUGAACCCUAUUGCGCACUUCAAUUGAGCUACAACCAGGCUCCUUCUGCACCCCACUGUCUUUCAUCAAGGUCCUUAUCCUCGCCACAUCUUCCCAAUCGCCUUUCGCAGCAUACAUGUUGGAAAGAAGAAUAUAAGUCCCUGAAUUAGCAAGAUUGUGGCUGACAAGAUACUCUGCUAUUUUCUCUCCCAAUUCAAGAUUACCAUGUAACCUACAUGCCCCAAGCAAAGCUCCCCACAAGAUGGGAUCGGGCUCUACCUUCAUGUUCUUCACAAGCUCAUAUGCCUCUUCUAAUCGACCAGCACGACCAAGAAGGUUUACCAUGCAUCCAUAAUGUUCGAUCUUGGGUUCGAUCUCAUACUCCUCUCUCAUUGCAUUGAAAAAACUCCAUCCCUCUUUGACCAAACCAGCGUGACUACAUGCACCCAAAACACCAAUGAAAGUAAUAUCAGUAGGGCGCAAACCAAUCCUGCACAUUUCAUGAAACAACUCCAAUGCAUCUUGGCUGAACCCGUGCAAGGCAUACCCUAUAAUCAUCGAAUUCCAUGCAACAACAUCCUUAUAAUGAAUCCUAUCGAACACUAAUCUCGCAUCCUCCAGGCUCCCACAUUUGCUAUACAUGUCAAUCAAAGCAGUAGCAACACGAACACUCACUUGAAUAUCAUUAUUUUGCAUAUAGGAAUGAAGCCAUCUGCCUGACUCUAAAGCUCCAAGCUGACCACAAGCUGAUAAAACAGUCAGUAUAGUGAUUUCAUUAGGCCUAGAUUUCGCUGCCAACAUUCGCCUGAAAAGCACCAAAGCUUCCUUAGGCAUUCCAUGUUGAGUAUACCCAUCGAUCAUCACAUUCCAACAUACCACAUCCUUCUUCACCAUUCCAUCAAACAGCAACCUUGCCUCCUUAAGCUCCCCGUGUUUCGCGUAACAAGUUAGCAUCGUGGUCAAAGAAACUAAACUCUUCUCGGGCAUUCUCUCGAACACGAGACGGGCGGACCCAACGUCACCCCCUCUCGCGUAAACAUCGACUAGACCUGUCUUUACAUACAAAUCUGAAUCAAACCCAAGUUUGAUAACUUGAGAAUGAAGCAUUUUUCCAUGUUCAAGAGAACAAGAUUUCAAUAUGGAAGAGAAAGUGAACUCGUUAGGCUGCACACCUUCAAAUAACAUUUGCGUAUAGAUAAAUAAAGCUUCUUGGGAGAGACCAUGGAGGGCGUGGGCGUUAAUGAUAGAAGUGUAGAAAAAGAUGUUGGGGUUGAGAGUUCGAUUGAAGAGAGCAAGUGAAUAGUCGAGACGGCCUCGAGAAGAGUAAGAGCGUUGAAGCUUGAAAUUUAGGAUGGGGUGUUGAUGAAGGCCGUGGCGGAGAAGAGCUGCGUGGAUUUGGAGCAAGUGAUGGAUGGAGCUGGAUUUAUCUAAAAGAAGAGCUAGCUUGUCUGGUGAUGGUGGAAAGUUGGUGACGGCGGCGAAUGAGAGAGUGCUACGGUUUAUGGAGGGUGCUGGCGGUGGAGGAGAAGUGAAAAGCAGGGCUGAGGACAUGCUUGAAUGAAGCAAAGUCUCAACAAUUCAGGCACUCACAAGCUUUUGAUAAGCAUUUUGAUUUACAGAGUAUACUCAUAGAUUUGCUUGCUUUGUACUUUUACCUUAUCCAACAUAGAUUUUAAACAAACUUGAGUCGAGUGGAACAGAAGUACCUAACAAGUUCAGAUUAUGUUUGCAUCUAAUUUUAUAUUUUAAUUUGAAAUUUUAAUCUUACGAUUUCAAAUUAUCGAAUACAUAACAUUUGAUUAUUUGAAGACUGAACGGAUAACAAGCAAAAGAUAAUUAUUUGGAUCCUUUUUUUUUUUAAUUUUUUAAUUUUAUAAACACAAUUUAAGAAUAUAUGACCAAAUCAUAAUCCAUACCAAAUAAUUGGUAGUUGUACAACUCAGACUCCAGAUCUUUGAGUCCCCAUAUUUGAGACUACAUUAUCAACAUCACAUAAGGUGGCCCAAAGAAGAAGACCACAAAGUUAAGAAGGCCCACGCUGGAAUGUUGGAGAGAAAUCCCCUAUUUCAAUGCUCAACAAAGAAUCUCGUGCACCCUAAGCUUCCAACACGAAAUUGACACCUACCACCUAUUAAGCCCUUAAUAAGAGCGUAACAUUUGGCUCUCUAGUUGUCACCAAUCAUCUUAUAAAUGGCAAGCACCUUCACCAUUUAUAACCAUCUCGUAAGUCCCCAAAUCAUAUGGUUUAUCUCUUUUCUUUCUUCAAUAUGUUUAACUUGAGCAUCAAGGUGUGAGAUGAAAGUUUUACAAUUCCCUUCUUGCAAGUUCAAGAAAGCAAUCUGAAGAGUUCGUAAGCCCUUAUAAUUGCUAGCAAAUUAUGGGAAAAGCCUUCAAUUGCACCAAUAUCUCACAGGAAACAUUAGCCAUGAGUCCUUCGCAUCGUAGGAGUCUCAGAUGUCUACAAGCUAUUUGGAAAUUCAAGAAUUGUUGGAAAAAUCUGGUUAAAAAAACAAUUUAUAUUUAUAGUGAAAGUUUAAAAAUUUUCAAAAUCGACUUGAUUUGUGAUUUUUAUAGUAAUAAACUUUUAUUAAAAAAUAAUUGUGUUUUGUGCAAGAUGGAUUCAAGUCGAUCCUGACUUUCAACUGAUGACAUUCUCUACUAUUCUUGUACUACAAAAUCCGUCGAGUGUGGGCUCAAGUAAUACGAACCAAACACAGAAUAUGAAAAAAUCAAACACAGAAUAUGAAACUUACUUUCAAUAUGAAAGUAAUUCUCUCAAUAAAAAAUCAAUAAAUAUCGUAAUUUCCAAAAAUUAAAAUUUAUUCUAAGUAAAUAAAUUACUAUUAUUAUAACACCUUAUACCUCACCCGAUCGAAGAAUCCGGAUACAAAGUAUCAUAUCUUACUAAUUGGACUAUGAAAACAACUAAGCAUUUAAAAUCAUACUUAUUUUCAAAAAUUGUCAAAAACAUUUUUACCAAAUUUUUAAGUAACUAGGCUUUUUUAAAUACUUUUUUAUUUUUAAAAUUUUUUAAUGAUUUAUUUAAUUAAACUAUAUGGAUCAAUUGAACUAGUAGAAUUAAUAGCCUGAUUGGUUCGAUUAUCGAUCUAAUUCUAAAAAUCUUGGUCAGAAUAUUUUAUAUUAAUAUACUAAUAUUUGCAAUUAUUGGAUAACGAAAUUUUAGUUGAUAGUUUCUAACUGUACCAAAAAUACCUUAUAUCAUACAAUAGUUAGCAUACAAUUUUCAACUUAAUAAAUCCAAACUACCUUAUAUCAUACUUAGCAUACAAUUUUCAACUUAAUAAAUCCAAACUACUGGACUAUACUUAGAAAAUUAGAGAUAAAAAAUUUACAAAAAUAAUUUAUUGAAAAAAAUGAAAGGGUCCCGCAAUUAUUGUUUUAUUUGCAUAGGAUUGAGAAUAUUUUAUUCAACACGAAAAUGAUCCUAAUAAUUUGAUGACUAUUCUCAUUAUCUAAAUAUUGGUCUAAUGUCAUGUGUUCAUUAUGCUUUUAAGGAUUUAAAUAACUUUUUUUUAUAAUCUCUAAUUUUUCUAAUUUUUAAUAAUAUUAUAAUUUAUUAGCUUUUUUAUUAUUUAUAAGUUUUUAUAAUAUUUCAAUAUUUUAAAUAUGCUUUAUUAAUUUUAUAAUUUUUUAUAAUUUUUAUAAAUUUUUAGGUAAACUAUCAAAAUAGUCACUUUUGUUUACCUCAUGUUAUAUUUAGUCACUUUUGUUUACUUUAGGUUAUAUUUAGUCACUUAUGUUUGAAAUGUUAUGUUUUAGUCACUUAUAUUAUUGCGUUGUAACAUUUUAGUCACUGAGCCGUUAAUUUUCGUUAACGAUGUAACAGUAAGCUGACGUGGCAUGUUAAAUUAUCAUUUCAAAUAAAAAUUUUAGGUUAACUUAUGCAAUCGGUCCCCAUAUUUUUUUCGUUUUGAGCAAUUUAAUUUUUUUCUUUUAUUUUUUUAACUUUCUUUUUUUUUUCCAUUCUCUUCUGCUUCUUCCUCUGUUUUUCUCCCUUUUCCAUUUCUUUUAACGUAGUUUUUCUAUAUUUUCUAUUUAUUAAAACUAGUCCUUAUAUUUUUAUUUUUUUAACAAUUUAAUUUUUUCGAGUAAGGUAAGCUUGUGAACUAGUUUUAACAAAUGAAAAAUAUAGAAAAACUACGUUAAAAUAAAUGAAAAAAUGAGGGAAACAGAAGGAGAAGCAGAAGAGAAUGGGAAAUUAAAAAGAAAAAAAGAAAAGUUAAAAGAACAUAAAAGAAAAAAAACUAAAUUGCUCAAAAUGAGAAAAUAUAAGAAUCAAUUGUAGAAUUUCACCUAAAAUUUUCAUUUAAAAUGAUGAUUUAACCUGCUACCUUAGCUUACUGUUACUCUGUUAAUGGCUUAGUAACUAAAAUGUUAUAACAUGAUAACGUAAGUGACUAAAAUGUAACCUAAGGCAAACAAAAGUGACUAUUUUGAUAGUUUACUCUAAUUUUUUUAUAAUUUUUAUGAUUUUUAAUAUUUUUUAUGAACAAAUAUAAGAUUAAAUUAUAAAUUAACACGUGUAACUAUUUUAUUGGCCUGUCAAUUAAUUUUAAUGGUAACAUAGUCAAAUAUAAAAGCUAAAGCUCAAUUGGUUGUAAAUUUAGUGGAUUUAAAAAAAUUAUAUUUAAAUCGAAAAAGCUCAUAGAGUAAGCACAGUCAUGACAUGAAAUCGAGUUGAAUUUAACGUAAAAGAAAUUUGUUAAAAUAUGCUCAAAGUUGUUAUAUUCUUCGUAUAUUUAUGAUUUAGUCCUCAUAUUUUUAUUUUUAAAAUUUUAGUUUCUCUAUUUUUAAGAUUUAAAAUUAUAAGUUCAAUUAUUAAUAUUAUUAAUUCUUAUGUUAAAUUUAAAUUCAUUACAAAUUUUUUAAAUGAUUACAAGUGAGUAAAUUUUUUAUUUUAAGAUAUUACAUUAAUGAAUUUAAUAGAAUAAUUUUGACGUAUUUCAUGAUAAAUAGAUUAAAACUCAAAUGUAAGAUUGGAUUUAAAAUUGAACCUUUCUACUUUAAAGAAAUUUGAUAAUUUUUAUGCUGAAGUUUAAAUUCAAUCAUUUUUGUUUGAGGUUAAAAUCAAGUUGGAAUUAAUUUUAUAAUAUUGAAUAACAACAAAGUAAAAUAAAAAAAUAAUUGAUUAAAUUUAUAAAUGAUUGGUCAGCAUAUUAAAUUCAAUUCUAUAAAUAAUUUAACUCGAUAAUAAUAAUGAAGUUAAAUUUAACUUUUCAAACUAAACUAAAGUAAAUUGCGAAGCAAAUGCUUGAUUUGCUAGCCAUUGCAUCUAUGUAGGUGGCAAAUUGUCAAAAAUAACAUAAAACUUUCACGUUAUUUUAGAAUAAUAAAUCAAUUUUUUUCUAAAUUUUUAACUUUUUUUGAAAAAAUUUAAAUUUAAUUAAAAUAUUAAAAAUUAAAAGUAAAAUUCUAAUUUAUUAUUCUCCUAUUAAAAAAUAUAAAAAAUAUAUGGAAUCGUAGUUUUAUACCCUCUUCCAUUCUCUAUAUGGUAUAUGGUAAAAAAAAAAAAAAAGCGAAGGCACUAAAGCCGAAAAAGAAAAGGCCACGAACAAUGGUGGGAAAAGCCAAAAGCACCAUCCACUAGACGCUGCCUACACCCCAACAUGCAACCGGAAGAAAAUAAGGUUCCGUUACUAUCCGAUCAAGACUCGGACGAGGAUGUAGCCUACGACUCCGGUUAAAAGGUCCACAUCGUUGGAAUCAACGAACCGGACGAUGAAGCUUCACUGGGUGUCGUCCCACCUUUUUCCUGGAAAAAGCUUUGGCUUUUCGCCGGAGCCGGUUUUUUAAUCUCAAUAGCGUUUUUGGACCCUGGGAAUUUAGAAGGCGAUCUCCAAACCGGAGCUAUAGCCUGUUACUCUUUACUGUGGCUGUUGAUGUGGGCUACGGCUAUGGGGUUGUUGGUUCAGUUGUUGGCUGCAAGGCUUGGUGUGGCGACAGGGAAACACUUGGCUGAGCUUUGUAGCGAAGAGUACCCGACUUGGGCUAGGAGGGUUUUGUGGGUGAUGGCGGAGCUGAUAUACAGGAAGUCAUUGAAAGUGCUAUUGCUAUUAAGAUUUUGAGUAAUGGUGCUUUGCCUUUGUGGGCUGGAGUUCUUAUUACAGCUAGUGAUUGGUUAGUGUUCUUGUUGAUAUUUUGAGUUAUUAUUAUUGUAGUUAGAAGUAUUUGUGUGCAUUAAAGGUUGCUUCUUUAUGAUAUAUGAUGUCUGAAUUUUCAAGGUUUUCGGUUUAUUUUCUAUGCUCACCUGGUUCUUCGUUUUCUUUGCCUUGGUACAGUUUUAUCUUCUUGUUUCUUGAAAACUAUGGAGUGAGGAAGCUGGAAGCAUUUUUUGCUGUCCUUAUUGCAACAAUGGCCGUCUCAUUUGCUUGGAUGUUCGGUGAAACAAAACCAAGUGGCACCGAGCUUCUUCACGGUGACAAACUCGGCUCCAUUGUAGCAAAUUCCAUGCUUCAUAUAUCUCAAUAAAUUUCAUUUAGUAUUGCAGUUCAUUGAUGCUCAAAUGGUUUCAUAUUUUCACAUGUGUUUUGGUUCCAAAACUCAGCUCCAAAACCAUCAAGCAGGCUGUGGGAGUUGUGGGCUGUAUUAUUAUGCCUCACAAUGUAUUCUUGCACUCUGCUUUAGUGCAAGUAACAAGAAAGGCCAGGUGCAAGAAGCUCUCAAUUAUUACUCGAUCGAGUCGACUGCUGCACUUAUAAUUUAAUUUAUAAUCAACCUGUUUGUUACCACUGUCUUUGCUAAAGCAUUUUGCAGGCCAGUAUCUUGAAGAAAAAUAUGGAGGCGGGUUACUCCCCAUUUUGUAUAUUUGGGCUAUUGGGUUGUUAGCAGCUGGACAAAGUAGCACUAUUACAGGCACUUAUGCAGGGCAGUUUAUCAUGGGAGGCUUCUUGAAGCUGAAGUUGAAAAAAUGGGUAAGAGCUUUGAUCACAAGGAGUUGUGCAAUUAUUCCUACUAUUAUAGUUGCUCUUGUUUUCGAUUCGUCUGAAGCAGCCCUCGAUACAUUGAACAAAUGGCUUAAUGUGCUUCAGUCAAUUCAGAUCCCUUUUGCUCUUAUCCCACUUCUUUGUCUAGUAUCCAAGGAACAAAUCAUGGGUGCCUUCAGAAUUGGCCAUGUACUCAAGGUAUGCUGCUAAUCGCCUUGUGUUGCGACUUGUUAAUACAUUAACCCGUCUCUACUGCCACUGACUGUGGCAUGAGCUAUAUAAAAUGCGAAAUUGGUUCAUUGAAAACGAUGUAGCGACCCUGAUAGCAGUUAGAACUUCUUACAUUCCAUCUUUUAGCAGGGGACAAUGUACAACUUUUGUUGUCUAAAAGCUACCUCUUGAGAGUUCGAGUUUCAGUACAUUUUCCAUUCAUAGACACUGUUAUACUGGAAUUCCUUGACGCCAUUGAUAUAACCUAGCUCUUUUUCUACACCCAGUCAUGAACUAAAUGCUUGUACCGUUCCAUCACGCAAACUAUCGACUCAUGCUAUUUGAUAAGUUCCACUUAUUUGGUGAUCAACAUCUUCAUACAUGCUUCAGUUCAUCAAUAUUUUCCCUAUUAAGCAUAGGAAAGGAAAUGUCAGUGAGUGAUGAUUGCCUUAUCAACACUAAAAUAAUGUGGUUACUGCAUGUAGAUCCUGUCAAAGAAGAAUUCGCCUUGUUUACGUUUUCCCCUCUCUUCUGCAGACAGUGGCAUGGAUUGUGGCAGCGCUGGUGAUCGUGAUCACCGGGUUUCUUUUACUCAAUUUCUUCUCCUCCGAAGUGAGUGGCCUAAUGUUCACAAGUAGUGUCUGCCUUUACAGGCGCAUAUCUUGCAUUUUUAGUUUACCUUGUUUCUCGAGGCUUUUCGACGUUUGAUACUCCCUAAACCGGCAUAUCGAAUCAAAGAAGUCGAUCUUAGACACCCUUGUCAAGGCAUGAUAUCAGAAAGCUCGAAACACCUUACACCUACUACCAAAUGCCAAUAUUGAUGAAAGCCUCCUAGUGGGAUUACUGUUUGAAACAACAGUGUUGUAAACAAUAUAUUUAUCAUAUCUUGCUGGAUAUAGAGGAUUGGAGUGAGUGAGACUCUAAACAAAAACAUUCUUUUCAAACAUUUCAAGGAACCAAACACUGUAGUUUUGAAAAUCUACCUUAAACUUUGUCCAAGCUGGAUAAUACGUGAACCAGCUUUUCAACAAAACAUGUAUUUCAAUUUACUGAUGCAUUUGGUUUUAUUUUAUUUUAUUUUAUUAUUAUUAUAGAAAUUUCUACUAAUAUUAGGAUUGCUUUUAACAAAUUGCUUUUUUUUUCUUCAUAUUCUUUGAUUCUAAAAUAUCUAUUUAUAUUGUGACCGCUUUCAAAAGAUUGAAACACCAACAUUUCGUAUUGCUUGUACUUGAAUAAUCUAUUCUAAAUAAAAUAUAUAUUACUCAGAAAGUAAAAUGUUAAAAUUUUGAAUUUUUUCAUAGUUUUUACAAAUGGUUUAAUAAUGAUUAAAAUUUUUUCAUUAGCAUUUUAUUUGAAUUAUUAAAAUAAUUUCUAUGUUAAUUAUUAUUUUGUAUAAUGAUGUUUUGUAUUGAUUACAUCUUGUAUAUUGAAUACGGUAAAAUUGAUUUAAUUAAAAUUUAAAUAUUUUUAAAAUUUUUUAAUAUUUAAAGUAUUAAAUAAGUUAAAAUAUUUUAAGUAUAAUGAUUUUUUUGAUCCUUCAAUUUUUAAAAAAUAAAUAUUUAACCCCAAAUAAUUUUUCGCCUCUUUUAACUUUUAAAUUUAUAUUUCUUGUCAAAUUAUCUAAAAUAAAUAAAAAGUUAACAUUGCGACGUGUCAUUCACAUGGUAAUCUAUAUGUAUGUCACGUAAAUAAAGUUAAAAAACAUUUAGCUUUUUCUUCUAUUUUAAGGAAAUUUAAUAAAAAAGACAAAAAAUUAAAUAAAUUGUUAAAAUAAAUUUUUUUAUAAAAUUAGAGAGUCAAGUCAUUAUGCCUAUAUUUUAAUAGAUUUCAUUUAGAUGGAUGAUCAGAUUGAUUCCAAUAAAGCUAAAAUCAGCCGCGAUGAUAAGAUUAAUAACUAUAGCAAUUAGAUUAAAAUUAGUGAUGAAUAAAAUGCGUAAAAUUUAUAUAUACGGGUAUUUUUAAUGAAUUUUUUUUAUUUUAUCCGAUAAAAAUGAUGUAAGGAUAUUUAGUUAUUUAUUACAUGAAGUAGGAUUACUACUUUUGGCCAAUCAUAAAAGUAUAAAAGAAAAUAAAUUCUAAAAUUCCAGUCAAAAUACCCAUAAAGAAAUUCCAAAACGACGAGAAUCUGCCAAUCUCCAACUAAGCAACGCCAGCAAAACGAUUAAAUAAAUUAAAAAAAGUAACUAAUUCCCAAAAAUUAAAAAAAAAAAAAAGAGCUUGAAAAAGGAAAAAGAAUGGCCUAAAGACCCAGCAACAGGAUAGCGAAAUCUGGGACUUAAUUAUUUUUUCUUUUUGGAAAGAUUAGUGAUAUCAAUAAACAAGAAGGAAAAAAAAACCCAAAAUUCAAAGCUGCAUUAAGGUAUUUUUUCUUUGGCUUUGGAAAUCUCUCUUUAUAUUGUUGAGUUCAAUUAUCUUUUUGGUUUUUGUAUAUGCAUUUGUGUUGUUGUUUACUUAUUUGGAGUUGGGUAUUUUUUUGAAAUAAUAGGUAAACCCAUUUGAUCUAAUUAGUUCCUUUAUGAUCAUAUUGUUUCAUGGUAUGAUUUUGAAAGGCUAAGUGGGUGUUUUGGAUAAAUUAUAUUUGAAGGACCACUGAUGGGGUUUUAGGGUUAAUUUUUAUUCAUUUAUUUAUCUGCCUUGCUGCUGGGGAAGUGCGAAAAACAGCUUAUGUUUGUUCAAUGAACCAAUUUAAUUUUUUAAUGAGUAUGACACUGAUAUGCAGGAGUGCCAAAAUCAGUAAGUUCUAAAACGAUUUGAUUAGGUUGUGACUUUACUAUUCUGUUAUUGGGAAGUUGGAAAGCAAGUAAAUUAUAAACUAAGAAAUAUAAAUGAUAUUAGAAACCAUUUCUGAUAGGUUUUGGAAGUAAUGGUUUAGGUAAAUUUGUAGCUUCAUUACAGCGCGCUUGUUUUCAUCUAGUAGCAUGUGGAACUUGACCAUGGUUCCCACGACAUUUUAUGUUUGUUUUUGUAAUUCUUGUUGAGACCUUUAUGUCCUUGAUUUGAAGCAUCAACUGAUUGAUUUGUAUAGGAUGGCUCUUUAUCCCAGUAUUCUUAUCCGGUUAUUUUGUUCUAAUAGUGUCUUUUUUCUAUUCUAAAAGGUGUGUCUGAUGUGCAGUAGGCGAAAUAUAUCCAAAUAACUAAUUGUUGAUUUCCUAGAAAUUAGGGCAGUAGUGAAGAGGGACUGCAGGUAGUACAGAAGCUUACAAAGUAUUGGAGUUAAGGCAAAUUCAUUUUAUCUAAUCUUUAGAGAAGGGUUUGGCUUGUUUUUAGUCAAGUAACUCUCUUUGGUAGUGGGUGAGUGGGGAUUGUGUUAUGUUUAAUGUGGAGAGGUCGCUGCUCUUGAUUAUUUCUUUUAGGUUUGCGUUUGUUACAUUUCAUGGAUGCUAGGAAAAUUAUCAGCAUAAUGAACUUUUUAAGGAAACUUUGCUGUAAUUGCUGUGAGUGUUUUGGAGGUAAAUAUUAUAUUUGAUGGUUUAAAUAUUUUUUUUUUUAUUUUGUUCGUGCUCUUAAUAUUUUAAGUUUCAAUCAAGCUUGAUCUAAAAUUUUGAUUCUACAGUGGGAUUACUAGUUGGCAAAAGUGAGAUUUCAAGAACCUGUCUGGUUCUUGUUAUCAAGAUAGUGUGCUACAUGGGCUAUGGUGCUGAUGUUCAAAAGGGUUUUCUUGAGUUUUAUGGAAUAAUAUGGUUUCCAAAGUAUUCGUCAUCCAUUAUUGAGAAAGGAUUUUGCUGUUAGAAUUUAUGAAACACGGUAUGUACUAUGUCCUUGUUGUAUGUGUCUUUCAGGCUUCACUUUUUUCGCCCUCCAAACUUCUGCAAAUGAGUUCAUGCAUUUUGUCCUGUAUCAGUUCGGUUAUGAAAAAACUGUUAUGUUGGCAGCAUAAGCUCUAGUUCAUUGAUAUUUUGCUUUAGGUUAAAUUGAAUUCCGAGAAAGGAAUUAUGUUGUUAAACUAAAGUAAUUAGGCCCAAAGUUUUCUCCCUGUUGUUUCACGACAAAGAUACUUGCAUCUUUUGUUUGCUUAUUAUUAUUCUUAAAGUUUUUCUCCUUCUACUCUUUCUUACGCGCGAUCUUUCUGACUUUUUUUGUUACCCAGAUCAUAUGGAGAUUUCUUUGUUAAAAGCACUUCUGGGUAACAUUUCCUCAUUUUUAAAUUUGUCAUCUUUUGAGAACAUUAACUCAGAACCAGUUCAGAAGUUUUACCAGAGAGCAGAAGAGAUACUACAGUUGUUGAAGCCAAUUCUUAGCGCAAUCAUUGAUUCAGAAAUUACUUCUGAUGAAGUGCUUAGUAAGGCAUUUGAAGGAUUGAGUCUCUCUAUAGAAGAAUUGAGAGAGCAAUUCGAGAGCUGGCAACCCCUUUUGAGUAAAGUUUACUUUGUAAGUUACUAGUUACUUGAGUUCACAUCUUCACUUAGCAAUUUUAGUCCACUUAUGACUGGAAAAGAAGUACCUAAGUUAAACAUCUAGGCAUUGGCAUUCACCUGAUAUUGUGAAGCUUUGAUCAAUUACCCGUCUGAACAUUAAUAUUUUCACAUGAGAUGCAUGUUGUAGAUUAUUGCUGUCAUUUUACAGUUAAUUCUUGUGGAUGUUUUCUGCCACUAUGGUCUAUGAACACAUUUUCUUCUAAUUUCUUAUGGUUAUUAGAACAUCAUCAUGUUUGUCCUAAGAGAUUGUUGGAAUAUAUGGCUUUUGGAAUAAGUUUAGCCCCUAAGUGCUGAUUCUUGAAUGUUCGCUCAUAUUUAGGUAGAAAGUUGCUAUAUAUGGGUGCCCUUUUAGGAAAUAAUGUUAUAGAAGAAUAUAAUUUUCUUUUAAGGUACUAUCAGUCAAUUAGUGUUGUCCUUUAGUUAAAUGCACUUGGAUAACUAUCUUCUCUUUCACUUGACCUUUAGGUUCUGCAAGUUGAGUCAUUAAUAUCGAAGAUUCGGAAUUUUAGCCUUGAUGUAUUCCAGUUCUUGAAGUCUUCCCAUCAGCAUCUGCCUGAUGAAUUGAAUUCAGCAUCUCUUGAGGUAAUUUAAAACCCAAGUUAAUUGAAGCUUUUACUUUUAUUUGAAGAUUGUACUCUUCAUCUUGUAUUUAAGUUUUAUAAAUACAGCAUAAUUAUUGUAUUCUCACAAUGAUUACCAAAAAACUGUCAUGUAUUGGAGCGUGAAUGGCAUCUAAGUAUACAGUUGUGAGAUGUGAAAAAAUAUGCAGCUUUCAUUUUGAUUUAAUUUCUGAGUUCAAAGAAUGCUAAAGGGGAUUCCACAUUUCAGGAUGUUUAACUAUUGGCAAUUGAUUGCAGCACUGCUUGCAGAAAAUUAAGCUUGUAGCAUAUGAGCAAGCAUCAUCUGUCAUCAGGGAAGCCAUACGGGAUCAAGUGGAUAGUGUUGGACCAUCCUUGGACAUAAUAGUGAAAAUUGCAGAGAACUUGAGUUUGAGGUCAAACCAGGAGAUUCUGAUAGAGGCCGUGGCCCUUGAAAAGUUGAAGGAGAAUGCUGAACAAGCUGAAAAAACUGCAGAAGCUGAGUUUAUUGAUCAAAUUAUUGCUCUUGUAAAUCGCAUGCAUGAUCGUCUUGUAUUAAUGAAACAAUCUGAGACCUGUAGCCCAGUUCCAAUACCUGCUGAUUUCUGCUGCCCCCUUUCCCUAGAGCUAAUGACUGAUCCAGUGAUUGUGGCAUCUGGCCAAACCUAUGAGCGGGCUUUCAUCAAGAACUGGAUUAGUCUUGGGUUCACUGUGUGCCCCAAGACACGGCAAACUUUGGCUCAUACCACUCUUAUACCUAAUUACACAGUAAAGGCACUAAUUGCAAAUUGGUGCGAGUCAAACAAUGUGAAGUUGCCUAAUCCCACGAAGUCCAUCAAUUUAGACCAAUCCCACCCCCUUCUUGUGCACGCAGAGUCUGGCUUGCCAAGGGAUUCAAAUAGUUUUCCUCCCCCUAGAAUCAGCCAACCAUUGUCACCUGAGUCACGGUCUAGAGGUCAAGCUGGUAAGAACCUAGUCACAUCCAGUGGACUUCAUCACAAGGGAACCUCCCCACUACAUCCUCGUUCUACCUCAGAAAGUUCCUUGCCAGCUAUAGCUGGAAAUGGAGGGGGUUUGGAUGUUGCAAGAAUAUCACUAAAGAGUGUGGAAGACAGGUCAAAGUUGGAACGAAGGUAUAGCGAUUCUGUUGGUGAACCCCCUGUGUCACCUUCUAACAAUAUUGGUCAGUCAUCUCAGAACCGCACAAGAUCUGUCUCAGCCUCUAGUGCACUUCCUAAUCCAGAUUCUCCUCUAGGAGCUGUUGGAGAUGCCAAUGAGACUUCUGAUGGUUCAACUCAUCUCGCAGCCUACAAUAGUGAUGCUUCUGGAGAGGUGAAAUCUGAUGCACAGCCUACAGUUAGCUCAGCCAUUCCACAAAGAGAACCUCAGUUUCCUCCUCGGUUGAUGGAUACACGAUCUCGAAGCCAAACAAUCUGGCGCCGGCCAUCGGAAAAAUUCAUUCCAAGAAUAGUUUCUUCUCCUGGUGUUGAGAACAGGGCUGACCUUUCUGGCAUUGAAGCCCAGGUGAAGAAGUUAGUGGAGGACUUGAAGUGCACUUCAGUUGAUACUCAAAGAGAGGCCACAGCUCAACUCAGGUUACUUGCUAAGCACAAUAUGGAUAAUCGGAUUAUAAUAGCGAACUGUGGGGCCAUUGUCUUGUUAGUUGAUUUGCUUCAUUCACCGGAUACGAAGACUCAAGAAAAUGCUGUUACAGCACUUCUUAACUUGUCAAUUAAUGAUAACAACAAAACAGCAAUCGCUGAUGCCGAUGCAAUUGAGCCUCUGAUUCAUGUCCUUGAGACAGGAAGCCCUGAAGCUAAAGAAAACUCAGCUGCCACUCUCUUCAGCCUUUCAGUCAUUGAGGAUAACAAAGUCAAGAUUGGAAGGUCUGGGGCAAUCAAGCCUCUUGUUGAUUUAUUGGGGAAUGGUACUCCUAGGGGAAAGAAAGAUGCAGCUACCGCUUUGUUUAAUCUGUCAAUAUUUCAUGAAAACAAGGCUCGAAUUGUGCAAGCCGGUGCUGUAAGACACCUUGUGGACUUGAUGGACCCAGCAGCUGGAAUGGUUGAUAAGGCAGUUGCUGUUUUGGCUAAUCUUGCUACAAUUCCUGAAGGGAGGAAUGCUAUUGGGCAGGAGGGUGGGAUUCCUGUGCUGGUCGAGGUUGUUGAGUUGGGCUCAGCGAGAGGAAAGGAAAAUUCUGCUGCUGCCCUUUUACAACUCUGCACAACCAGUGGUAGAUUUUGCAAUAUGGUUCUCCAAGAAGGAGCUGUUCCACCACUAGUGGCAUUGUCCCAGACCGGCACCCCAAGAGGUAAAGAGAAGGUAAUAGUUAUGCUGUUCUUUUUUCUUUUAUUUCUCACUAAACCUUUCUUCUUUACCGUUAUUUAAGCAUGAGUUGAUCACAGGCACAGGCACUUCUGAGCUACUUCAGGAACCAACGACAUGGUAGUGCUGGAAGAGGCUGAAAGUAGGCAUUGGGUCUAAAUACAGUUUGUAUACAUUUGAUGCUUCAAAUAAUGCAUUUUGAAGGUUUGCUGCUUGGGCUUACAUUUUAUACAGGGUUUUGUUGUAGAGAAAAAGAGAUUUUAUUUGUAGAGUCCUCUUGUGAAGUGCUUCUGAUACGUGGCAAUUGUGAAAUGUAAGAAGUUUCCUACAUGUGAGUCCGUCUGGUGUUUGCAGCCGGGGGAGAAGACGAUAGGAACCAAUGAAUAACGUCUGUCCUGGUUUAUCCCAUGUGCCUAAUUAUUUUUCGCUCGAAACUGUUCUUUCAGAUUAAACUAAAUAAUCAGAUUGAUUUGUAAGAUAUGCAUUUGCUGCCAUUUUAAGCUUUUCUGUACUUUCAUUGGAACAUUGUCUAACCAAACAACUCCUUUUUUCCCUGUAAUGGUUCAUAAGCUAUAUAUGAUCGUUUCAGUUUUGUUACUUUGACAAUGUUUAACCUGCACAAACGAUCUUGAGAUUCAUUAGCAUUGGUAUUAGUAAAAUAAAUUGUGAUUUUAUUAUAUAAUCGAAAAAGUUAAAGACAGAAAAUGGGUAAAUGAAGGGGAAAAAACAAGAAUAGUGGAAAUUACAGAGGAAAAAAAAAAACUAGAGUUUCCGCCUCUCAGUACACCAGCCAAAGAAUUACAACGCAAAAUGUGGAAUGUGAUCAAAACCAAUCUAGAAGCUCAAAGCAAUGGCUGCCCAUCCCAACGCCAACCCUCCAAUUAUCUUCUUCAUGUUCUUCAUUGCCUCUGCUCCACUCUGCAUUUGUUUACAAUAACUCUUUAAAUUUUACAGAUAAAUAUAGUUUUAAGAUGAAAAAAAAGAUCCGUUGGUCUGUCCUUUUUCAGAAAAUUAAAUGAACUAGCUCAACGGUGCAUCCUUUAGACGCGAUUAAACGAAAAACAAGAUCUCUCUACAUUUAUGCAGUGUAAAAGUUCAGAUCUGAAAGCGCAUUGUUAUAUGAUGUAAGCUACUGAAACGUUAGUAAAGAGAAGAGAAUGUACCUCGUCGGCAGCGACAGAUGGACCGGGAGAGGAAGCAUCGAGGCUCGGUCCAGGAGCUCCAGUUGGUGGAGCGGGAGGUCCAAGCAUAUCAGGUGAAGGAGCCGGAGCAUGGUGUUUCUUGGAUUUCUUGCUUUUGCUCUUGCUUGGAGCUGGGGCCGGAACCUCAGCAGUAGUUGGUGCCGCAACAGGAGCCGGAGGAGAGGCCGAGCUCUCUGGUGGAGUCGUCGGUGCAGCAACGGGAGGCGAUCUGGCUGGAGGAGAGCUCACAGGUACUGGAGCCGGUGGAGAACUCACCGGAGCAGCAGCCGGAGGAGAAGACGGAGCAGAUUUAGAUGGGGCUGGAACCGCCGCAGACUUCUCCGGAGCCGCAACCGGUGGUGAAGAAGUUGGUGGGGAAGUGGUAGGGGCAGCAGUUGGAGCCGGUGAUUUAGGUUUGCUAACAGGGGCAGUAGCGGGAGCAGUAGCAGGAGUAGUCGCGGCCGGCGGAGCUUUAGUAGGUGAGGCUGCCGGAGAUUGACCACCAACAGCGGUCACCACAAAACAAAUCAAAACAACUGCAAAUGCACUUCUACGAUCCAUUUCUUGAAGACAGAGGGAGAGUGAAGUAGUAACAGAAACUAAUGACAAGGAGACAACAGACUCUCA
rnacentral:lncRNA from 1 species